UCCUCCCCCAGUUUACCUGUCUCCACCUCCACCCUAUCAUCACUACUACGGUUCUCCUUCUCCUCACCACUACUAAGCAAGUGCAUAAGUUUUGAGGUAAUAAUACCUAUCCAAAACUUUAUCAACACAAACUGCCAUGUAUAUCAUGCUAAGGACGUACACUUGAUCCAUGAAAAUGACUAGUAGAAGAUUUUUUUUAAGAACCAAAGAAAUACAUUAUUUUUUCGGUCUGUUUUCAAGAAUUUGAGCAGUAUACAGAUUAAAGAGUGUUUUUUUUUUUGUAAACUUGCUUGUCAACUUAAAAAUGCACAUAGCUGAAAGCCAACUGAAUAUUUGCAGGCAAAGGAGAAGGCAAUCGGUGUUUGAGACCUUCAAGAAGAUGUAGAAGAAUAAGAAUAAAAGCCCAAUGCGAGGAUGAUUCCAAGUUUCUACGUUACCAUUUCUACAUCUAAAUUGACUUUAGCUCCUGAGUUCCAUGUUUAUGGGGUUUGUACCGUUUUACGUACCAUGCAGUACAUGCUUGCAAGGUUUUCUGUCCUGUUGGCAAACUGCAGGUCCAUAUAAUAAAUGAAUACUAUUUACAUUACGACACUUUUCUCUUUUUCUCUUAUAUUUUGUCUUUAAUAUUGUUGAUCAUUUUUUUUUUAUCAAAAGCAUCAAAUGCUUAGGUAAUUUGGUCUAAUGCUAAUUGUUUUACUUUUAUUUUUCACCUACACCCCUUUUCAACUCAAAGGAUGCUAUAGUUUGUGAUAAUUGUUUAAGACCGAAGCAUGAUACUAAUAAAUAUCUCAUUGAAAGUCAAGGAAACUAACAUUAGGAAAAGUUUAAAUCUUGAUUUGAUGAAACUAUUUAUUCGUGGAAUUUAGAGAUACAAAACUCAAAUUGUGACGGUGUUGUUGCUAAAUUAUUAAGGACAUUAUCACCAUUAUUUUUCCCUGAUCACUAGUUUCAACUGCAAUGAUCUCAAUCUUUUUGUGACUAAUUCUUUCCUUAAUAAUUUAUAAAGACAAAACUCACAAAGAAUAUGUGACUAAUUCUUUCCUUUCGUCUUCUAAAGAAAAUGCCAACUGUUAGUUUAUCAAGGGGAAAAAGGAUCGACAUCAGUUAUUAUUGAAACUAGUAAGGAAUAAAUAAUGGUGAUAAUGUCCUUAAUAAUUUAACAACAGCACCAUCAGAAUUUGACUUUGAGCUUCGGUCUUAAACAAUGAUCACAAACUACAGCAUCCUUUGAGUUGAAAAAGGAAGUAGGUGAAAAGAAAAGUAAAAAAUACAAUUAGCAUUCCCUCAAAUUGUAGAAAGUUAGGUAGCAUUAUAGACAAGUUGAUAGCGGCAAUUUUACAUUUCAAACUUCACCUAUUCAAUAACUAAUUCGAUGGCUUGCUACAUGGUCAAUCUUUGGACCCCUUCCUGCCUCCAGAUAUCCCUUUCCUCAAUCAGGGGCUUCUACAAUUACCAGUUUCAAUUGUAUGGUAUAGUGUAAAUAUCAACAAAUUAGAUGUAGAUGCUAACAUAAUAAAUGUGAAUGCUAAGACAGCAACAUACAAUCGAACCUGCAAUUGUAUGAACCCCAAUCUCGCUUCCUAGUCCACCAUCUUUCUCUAGGUAAUAAUCUCCCUUCUAAUUUAUUCACAAAAUGCACCUUUCAUCACCUCCAAUAGCGUCGACAUGAUCUUUACCCUAGAAGACUAUUCACCGACUCUCAAUUGACGUCAGAAAAUCUAAGAGUAAUUCUACUUUACCCUAAGAUUGAUAUCAACAAGACAAGGACAAUUUAGAAUUAUUACACGCCUCUUCUUAAUAGGAAAAAGAAAUAGAGAAGAAAGUCAGGCCAGGUCUAAUUUCUUUUCAAAGGCAAUACAACAUUACGAAAUCAAGCAUUCAUUCAUACAAAUAUUUCAUAGUCACCGGUUUGCUGAGUAGAAAAAUUUAGACAAAAACUUAAUAUUAUAUUGUUUAAGAGUUAACAAUUUAGAGCUUAAUCUCCUUGUACUUUGGAGUUAACAAUUUAGAGCUUAAUCUCCUUGUACUUUGGACUAAACUUGAACGUGAAAGGAAAUCCCAAAACCAUAUUGGGCAUGAAUUCACACUUAAUAUACCCAAUAAAAGAUGGCGACUGGUGAAAGGCAGUGGAGACUGGUGGAGAGAUUUGAGGAAUAGAAGCAGACGGAAAAGCAACAAAUUUUUGCCGAAAAACGGUCACUUUCAUGGUUAAUUUUGCUACUCUCCAAUUGUACUUGACCAAUUACAACAAUUUCAUGGAGUUUGAUACGUGAAAAGAAUUUUUUAUAAAUUUUAUUUUGAUCCAUAAUGUUAUCUUUACAUAUAUAAAACAUUUUACAAUUUUGAUUUUGGCGCAGCUAACUUUUGGUUAACAAAAAUGCUCAUGUUUAAAAAACCAGAAAUAAAACAAAACAAGAAACAAAAGAAAUAAGAGGGUAGCAUAGACAUUUUGGAUUUUUCCGUUAAUUUGGAUGAUUUCCACCCACGUUCUAAUUUAAUCCAAAACACAAAGGAAUUACGUAGAGGUUUUAAAUAAUCAGGGAGCUUCAUGAUCGAACCCCAAACCACGUGAUAGCAUACAAGAGUUCUAUUUCACUAUCGGUAGACAAAGACUUUCUAUGGUUGAUGUACCGUAGGAAAAAAUCUGCCUAUACAACGUGAUAGCAUUUUUUCAAAAACACAAGAUGGAAAAUUGCCCCCUUAAACGUGGAAAUUCAUGAUCUUUCCUCGAACAAAGAAUACUCACGCCUAUUCAAGAUGGAAAAUUGCCCCCUUAAACGUCUAUUUGUCAAUUCUUGAAAAAAGAAUACUCACGCCUAAAACACGGCCUCUUCAUCUGCAGAAUUCUAAAAAGUUACGUAAACUCUAUAAACAAGUUGAUAGGUACAAUCGUACCCAAGAUCAAGUACAGAUAGUUGUACAUUCACUGCUGCAAUAACUAAUCUGAUGACUUACAAACAUAUCAUGGUCAAUCGUUGAAUGGUAAUGAGUCUUUUGUUAUGCAUUAGUAUUAGUGUGUACACUCUAAUAGAUUGAUACUUAUACUCUUUAAAUUAUCAUAAUAAUACCCUUAAUUAACUUUAACUCUUAAAAAGAAUACGUGUUAAUACACGAGAGUGUGUAACCUGAAUUGUUACUUAUACAUUAGUGUGUAAUAGAUAGGGAUGGCAGUGAGGGCGAGUGCCCGCGGGGGGCUCUCGGGGCGGGGGCGGGGGAGAAUUUUUUCCCCCCGUUUAGAAACGGGGCAGGGGACGGGGGAGUAUACCCCCGCCCCAUCCCCCGCCCCGCCACCCGCAAAAAAAAUUAUAUAUAUAUAAUUAUAUAUAAUAUGUAAUUUAAUUAGUUAUAAACUUAUGAUAAUGAUAUUAUUAGUUAGAUGUAUUAUAUAAUGUAUAUUAGUGUAUGUAAUAUAAUUAAUAUUAUCAAUUAUACGAAUAAUUAGACAUGUCCACUAAUAGAGUUUAUUAAUUAGUUAUACUAAAUUUACUAAUACAUUUGUACUAAAUUUCUAAUUACACUUAAUAGAAUAACACUUUUUUCUAAAAAAAAAAGCACAAACACAAUAAUGAAUUAGUGAUUGUAUUUGUACCAAAAGUGAAAACUUAACUAUUUUAGUUGUAUUUAUUUCAUCAUGUUGGAUUGUAUUCAAAUAAUUUUUGUUUGAUUGUUUUUAUGAGUUUCAAUUGUAAAAUUAAAAUGAAUAAUAACUUGAUGAUGUGUUGAUAUUUUAGUACUUGAUUAUUUAUUGAUUUAACUAUAAUAAAAUUUUAUUUUAUUAAAAUUUAACUAUAAUAAAAUUUUAUUAACCAAACGAGUUAUUAAUCCCGCGGGGGCACCCACGGGGGAAGCGGGGCGGGGCGGGGGAGUGGGAGGCGGGGGACGGGGCGGGGGUGGGGGGAGUUGUAGGUAGCGGGGCGGGGGAUGGGGGAGGGGUCCCCCGCCCCAACCCCGCCAUCCCCCGCCCCGUUGCCAUCCCUAGUAAUAGACUGGCAAGCAUUGUGGUGGUCAUUGAGAACUUACUGGAGAAAUAGUCCUAUAAGCUGUUCAAUGAGCAAUCACAACUUGCUAAUUGGAUGACUAAUAUAGCUCUAGCUGUAAUGUUUUAAUUAAAUUACAUCACUAACGUUGGGAUGACUUUUUAACCAAAAAAAAAUGCCUUAGUUCAAGCUUUUCCCUUUAUUGUGCAUUUUUUAAAGCAUUUGAUAGGCACUGCAAAUCUGUCAUUUUGGACAUUUUAUUAUUGACUAACAAUGAAAGCCGUGACGUCUACCCAUAACCAACACAAGAUUAAAUUAAUAUUAGAAAAAAUAAUUGAGUAAUUGGAAAAAAAAAAAGAGACUCAUUUUCAUUGAAACCCACCGACAAACUAAACGUGUCCAUGGCUUUUGAAUAGUGCAUUCAACGUUUAAUUGUAUAGUCCAGUUCAUUGCAGAUUACAUGGAGUAAAGAUUGUGCUCUUUCCUUUUUCACCCCUUUUGGAAUCGAUACUGUGGAGAAUUGGGUUUUUCCCUUCUUUUUUUCUUUUCUUUCCUUCUGUGCUUUGCAAAACAUAGGUAAAAAUAUGAAAUCCGAAGCAUUCUUUAAUUGGGAUUAAGUAUUGUUGUUGAAAUUAAAAAGAAAAAAGAAAGAACAACAAAAUUCCCAAUCUGGGUUGAUUGUUGAGCUCUAGAUUGGUUGCAUCGUGCUUCCAUAGAAGCUCUCUUAGUGUGAUACACUGCUUUCAAUCAGUUUAACACGGGAAAAAAAAAAAAAGAGAUGAAAAGCAAAUUUGGUGGGGAUAAUUUCAGAAACCUCCCCUGAAGAUUUUGACUAUUCUACUGGUCUCCCUUCAGAUUUUAAAAAUUACACUAAUCUUCCUUGAAGUUAAUUAUCUUGUAACAUUUAAAUUCAAUCAAUAAUUUAAAAAAUGAUAUUAUGAGAGAGAAAAUAAUGAUUUUAUCAUUGCCCCCCAUCUUACUACAUUAUUUAAUUAAUUUAAUAGCAACCCACACAUUAAAGAAAAAUAUUAAAAUUUGUUGUUUAUCAUUAAAGAUCAAAUCGCUUAUAACAUCAAAUAAUAGUAUAUUAUUUAUAUUUUUCACUCAAUAUAAUAUCCAAAUUACUCUUUUCAAUUACAUACCCAUUGUUAGACAAUCAACAACAAAUAACCAAAAAAUUUGCAACCAAAAUAUUACAAAAAAAUAAACUUUAACAUAUAAAUAUUCUUAUCAACAUAUUAAAGUUAGUUACUGAAAUUUUUAUGCUGUUAAACUUCACUCUUUUUGGUUACAGAUUUUUUUGAUUAUUUGUUAUUAAUUAUGUUUGAUGAUGGAUUUAUAAUUGAAAAGAACAAUUUGAAACUUACAUUAAGUAAAAUAUAUAGAGUGAUAUACUAUUUUUUAUAACAUAUGUGAUUCAAUCCUUCUUGAUAGGAUUGGUAAUAGAGGUAGAGGGGGGAGCCGGCUGCAUCCGGUCUACUUUUCAUAGAUAGUACAAUAUUGCGAAAUCGAUCGCAUUCACGCAAUAUUAUUUCCAAGUCAUUGCAUGGCUAAGCUGCAAAAAAAGUACGAACACAUGUUAUUAUAUAGCUUACGAUUCAAAACUUUAGAGCAUAACCCUCCACCUAACACAAUUGAAUAAUGAACAUUCACGUUUGUCAAAUCUGUCAAAGCACAGUUUGAGGACAACCCAUUCCAACCUGCAAAAGAUUUUUUACUUUUCUAAAGUUGUUGAGAGCUGUAAAAAGACUUACCAUGCUUGCAUCCUCCGAGCCUUGGGAGUUAAAAAUGAAGGCACUGAGUGCUAUAAAAAGGGGAAUAGAGGCUGCCUAGAAGCAUAUCAGCCUAAAACAAGAAUUUGUAGUUAAGAUGGGAAGCAAAGCAAAAGCAAUGGGGUCUGGGCUGACUCCUCUUCUUGCCACUGUUUUAGUGGUGUUUGUUGCUCUUGGCUUGCCCUCACAAACUGCAGCUGAUGAUCACUACAAGUAUUCAUCUCCUCCUCCUCCUUACCACUAUCCCUCACCACCACCACCAGUGCAUAUACCUCCACCUCAUCCUGUUUACAAGUACAAAUCUCCACCACACCCCCAGUACAAGUAUAAGUCACCACCACCACCUCCUCAUCCGGUAUACAGUCUCCUCCGCCACCACACACCCAGUUUACAAGUACAAGUCACCACCACCACCUCCUCAUCCGGUACCACACCCAGUUUACAAGUAUAAGUCUCCUCCGCCACCAGUUUACAAAUACAAGUCUCCUCCACCACCACCUCCAGUGUACAAAUACAAGUCUCCACCACCACCAGUUUACCACUACAAGUCUCCACCACAGUUUACAAAUACAAGUCUCCACCACCACCCCCAGUUUACAAAUACAAGUCUCCACCACCACCAGUUUACCACUACAAGUCACCACCACCUCCUCCCCCAGUUUACAAAUACAAGUCUCCACCACCUCCUCACCACUACUAAGCAAUUGCUUCUGAGGUAAUAACACUUGUUCAAUAUACCCACUUCUGCAUGAUAAAGCAUAUCUCUAUCAACACAAACUGUCAUGUCUAUCAUGCUAAGUGCCUUCACUUCAUCCACCAAAAUGACUGCUAGAAAAUUUUUUUUAUGUUACCAAAGAAAGGCAUCAUUUUUUCCCUCUGUUAUCAAGAACUUGUACAGUAUAUAGAUUAAAGAGUAUUUUUUUAACUAGCUUAUCAACUGAGAAAUGCAUAUAGCUGAUAGCCAGCUGAAUAUUUGCAGGCAAAGGAGAAGGAAACCAGUGUUUGAGACCUUCUUGAAGAUGUAGAAGCAUAAGAAUUAAAGCCCAAUGUGAAGAUGAUGAUUUCAAGUUUUUCUACGUUACCAUUUCUUUAUCUAAAUUGGUUGUAGCGCCUUAGUUCCUUUGUUUAUGGGAUUUGUAUCGUUUUACGUACCAUGCAGUACAUGUCAUGUUUGUAAGGUUUUCUAUCCUGCCGGCAAACCGCAGGUUCCAUGUAAUAAAUCAAUACUAUUUAUAUUACGACACUUUUCUCUGUUUCUCUUAUAUUUUGUCGUCUUUAAUAUUCUUAAUCAUAUUUUUAACAAAAAUAUUCAAACACUUAGGCAAUCUGGUCUAAUGCUAAUUGUAUGUUUUACUUUUCUUUUUCACCUGCUCCCCUUUUCAACUCAAAAGGAUGCAAUAGUUUGUGAUCACUGUUUAAGACGGAAGCAUGAUACUAAUGAAUAUCUCAUUGAAACUCAAGGAAACUAACAUUGCGAAAAGUGUAAAUCUUGAUUUGAUGCAACUAUUUAUUCGUGGAAUCUAUAGUUACAAAACUCAAAUUCUGACUGCGCCAUUGAUAAAUUAUUAAUGACGCUAUCAUCAUUAUUUAUCCCUAACUAGUUUCGACUACAACUGAACCCAAUAUUUUCCCCAUGAUAAAAGUUUUUGACUAUUUUACUGGCCUCUCUUCAAAUUUUAAAAAUUACACUAAUCUUCAUUGAGAUUAAUUAUCUUGUAACAUUUAAGUCCAAUUAAUAAUUAAAAAAUGAUAUUAUGAGAGAGAAAAUAAUAUAAUUUUAUCAUUGCCCCCCAUCUUGCUAUAUUAUUUAAUUAAUUUAAUAGCAACCCACACAUUAAAGAAAAAUACUAAAAUUUGCUGCUUUUCAUUAAAGAUCAAAUUGCAUAUGCCAUAAAACAUAGUAUAUCAUUCUAUAUGUUUCACUUAAUGUAAGAUCCCAAUUGUUCUUUUCAAUUACAAACCCAUUGUCAAUAACAAAUAACCAAAAAAUUUGCAACCAAAAUAUUACAAAAAAAAACUUCAACAUCAUAAAUAUUCUUACCACCUCUAGUGCAUUCACCCUCAUAAAAUAAUUCAAGACCCUACUGUCAUAAAAUGACUGAUCAACUCCCGUAAACCUAAUUUGACAACAUUUAAAUGGAGAACUUUAGCUAAAAGAAUUAUGGUCAAGCUAAAGAAAAAACCAGUUAUUUUCCAACAUAUGCAAUCAUUGAUCAGGGAAAAAAAAAAGAGCAAAAAGACAUCUUCAAUCAUUUAAUAGCUUACAGGGCAAAUUAACCCCUAAGCGAAAACUGGUUGCUCUAGAAUCAAAAUUUUACUUUAGUUACCCAGGCAACUUUUUUGUUGCUUUUUUUUUUUUUUUCCUUUAGUUUUGCCCCCUCUGUCAAGCUUAUAAAAUUAUUAAGAUAAUAAAAGUGCCUUGAAUAGUAUUAAUAUAUCCAUUGACUUGAGCUGUCGUCAGUUUGCGAUUCCAUGAGGCCUUUUCAAAGUACUCAGAAAAUGGGGAGUCAUGAAAUCCAUUUGUUCUAUUCAUUGCUAAGAUGCUUUUCUCUAUAAAGAGACUUCCUAACGAAAAUACUUUGUAGAUUUCUUUACUCCAAGUGGUGCAUGGAAAAUUAAUAUUUUCAAUUAUCAAAUAAAAUUCCCUUUUUUCGGCGUAGAUUUCAUCCAUCCAGCUGUUAACACAUUCUAUAAAUCCGAAUUGACUAAUCUUUUCGUUUCCAUUUUCCAACUUGCGAAUACGGCAUAUAGUGUCUGCUAAACACUAUAUAUUCUCUGCCAAAUAUGAAUACAUAUCACUUUUCUGAGCAAGUGCAGAGUCAUUAUCAUUUUUAUUCCCACCUAACAAAUUAGGGAUAAAAAAGUUAAUAAUCUUUACAUGCUAUCAGGUCACAAGUUAAUAAUCUUUUAAAGAACAUGUUAAAUUAAUUUAUUGGUAUGAAUAGUAGUCAAAGAAGUAUGUUAAAGUUAGUAAUCUUUAAAAUAAUAUGUUAAAAUCAUUCGUACAAAUUAGUCAGAGAAGUAGCAUAAACACCGCGAUGCAAUUAAUACUUUCAAUCUCAAGGUCUCUAUUAUGGAAAUUUGCAUCGGUCAAUAUACACUUGGCAUAAUAUAAUCUCCCAACUCAUUUCUUUACAAAUGCACCUUUAAUCACCACCAAAAGGUGUGGACAUGAUCUUUACCCUAGAAAACUAUUCACCGACAGGCAAAUUGACGUCAGAAAUACUGAGGAAUUCUAGUUUCCUUCGGGUUCAUGCCAUGUUGUAUCCUUCAACUGUAACUCGAUUUCUAAGCUGUAAUUUGUGACAUAAUAGUCCUUAAACUAUGAAACCCUUCUUACUUAAUUACAAUGGUUAAUACAAUGCCCGUGACUAGACAAGUAUGAAGCAACCAUAACAGAAAAAAAAUCCAAAAUUAGAGAAAAGAAAGAAGUUUCGCGACCACCACCAGUUUACAAGUCACCUCCACCACCUCCUCCAGUUUACAAGUCACCUCCACCACCUUACCAUUAUUCCUCACCACCACCUCCAGUGCAUUCACCCCCACCACCACCAGUUUACAAGUCUCCGCCACCACCUUACCAUUAUUCCUCACCACCACCUCCUGUGCAUGCACCUCCACCACCAAUUUACAAGUCACCUCCUCCAGUUUACAAGUCUCCACCACCACCUUACGAUUAUUCCUCACCACCACCUCCAGUGCAUUCACCCCCACCACCACCAAUUUAUAAGUCUCCCCCACCGCCUCCCCCAGUAUAUAAGUCACCACCACCACCUCCUCCAGUAUACAAAUCACCUCCACCACCUCCUCCAGUUGACAAAUCUCCACCACCACCAAUUUAUAAAUACAAGUCUCCUCCACUACCUCCUCCAGUGUACAAGUCAUCACCACCACCUGCUUACAAGUCUCCACCUCCUCCAGUUUACAGUUCCCCACCACCACCAAUCUACAAGUCUCCACCUCCACCCUACCAUUACUACUACAAUUCUCCUCCUCCUCCUCGUCACUACUAAGCAAUUGUAUCCAAGUUUUUGAGGUAAUAACGCUUAACCAAUAAAUUAACUUUCGCAUGAUAAACCUUAUCUCUAUCAAGACAAACUGCCAUGUGUAUCAUGCCAAAUACGUACACCUAGAUCCAUGAAAAUGAAUGGUGAGGAGGGCCAUUUAGGCUCGGAGCGCCCUAGGCCUAGUUCCCCACCAUUUCCUGAAGUGCCGCCUCGGGUAUUAUCCUGGAAGGCGAUCGCGGCCCAUUUACCACCUCGGCUACAAUGUCAGGUCGUAACACCGAGGUGGACAUUGAAUGACAACUACGAAAAGGGGAGAUGUGAUCUCUGACACCUGAGCAAAGGCUGCUCUGACCCGCCGCCUGAAUCUGACAGAAUGUCCCAUCACGUCUCUUCAUGGAGACCGGUCAAGUCCACCUGAUCCACUGACUAUCUCAGAUCUUUUGGGACCCGUGCAAACAUCUCCUCUCUCCUAUCAGUCCCCUAUAAAUACACGAUACUUCUACUGAAAAAGGAGAUGACCAAUUUCUGGUAAAACACACUCCACUCAUUAUUUACUUCUCUAUAUCCGAACUGACUUAAGCUUCGGAGUUAUACCGGGGGAUCCAGCCCCUUUCUUAUCCAAGCAGGUGACUUCGUCCAAGAGAGUUGCCCAAGGUAAAGAUAUUCUUCCAAUUGAGGUGACUCACUCCUGCGGGUCGAAAAUCACCUCUUCAAUUGGCGCCGUCUGUGGGAACCGCAAAGAUAUUAGAAGAUGAAGCCUGCGCGUUCUAGAAGCAGAAAAGCUCUCACUAUCGAGGCUGGGCAAAGCAAUGCAGCUCAACAAGAAAAUAUUUCUGAAGGGCAGGAGUCCCCAAGGACUCAGCCCGCAAACGAAAAAGCCAUAACCCGUAUGGCCGAGUUUGUGACCGAGAACCCCAACAUCUUUGAAGAGUUGGGAAGAUACCUGAAGAGGCAAGGCAAACAAAAGGCCGAGUCCUCUAAAAGGAUGUCAGAUGGGUCUCUUGAGGACUCAUCUGAGGAGGAGUCGGAUGGAAGGCACUUAAGCCGAAGUGCCUCAAAGCGAGCAUUUUCUAAGGCCACUUCUAAGGUAGCCUCCCUGACCAAGGCGUUUUCCCGAGGGCUCUUGGGCCGACGACCCGAGGAAGAACCUCGGCCCUUGGGAAUACCCGGGGUGGACUGCAUGAGGGCUCCACCGUUCACGGAUGAUAUAAACGAGGAAAGGCUUCCUCCCAAUUUUAAGCUCCCCGCAGUACAAUCUUACGAUGGCCGAGGUGAUCCCGAGAAUCACAUCCAUACCUUCAUCUCGGCCUUCCAAAUAUACUGCAUCCCAGACCCUGUCAUAUGUCGGGCCUUUCCAGUAUUCCUCAGAGGAACUGCUCGAAAAUGGUUCUGAGCUCUAGAACCUAGGAGCAUUUCGACCCUGGGUGAAUUAGUGGAGAAGUUUCUCCACCGAUUUGUCUCCUCCCGACCUACGACUAGGACCUCGGCUUACCUGCUCACCGUGCAGCAGAACCCGGGAGAGUCACUCCGGUCGUACGUCCGGAGGUUCCAUGAGGAAAGCGUUCAGAUACCUGACCCCAAUGAGCAGGUAACCCUCGCUGCCUUUACCCAUGGACUCGUUGCCGGGGAGUUCAAUACGGGGAUCCAUAAAAAAUACCCCCGCACACUGCAUGAAUUGUGGUUGAAGGUUGAAAAGGGCAUACAGGCCGAAGACCUCCAUCGCAUGAAGAAAGAGGUCCAAGCCACCCGUCCAAGGGCUGAGCCCAGAAAGGGAAAAGACGCUGGCCGAACUGAAGUAGGGUCGGGAAGUGGCUUCCGAAGUCCUGGCCGAGACCGCCGCAGCGUGUUCGACAGGAUAUCCAAGGGGAAGUCACCUAUUCCCGAGUCCGAGUUGACUCCUUUAAAUACUACCCGAUCUCACGUGUUGUCCGUGAUGGAACAAAACAACCUCGGCAAGGGCCCGCCGAGGAUGUUUGGAAGCAGAGACAAGAGGAACUCGAACCUCUACUGCUUGUAUCAUCGUGACAUUGGUCACGAAACUGAGGAUUGCAACGAUCUCAAGAAGGAGAUCGAGAACCUCAUUAGACGGGGACACUUGAAACAGUUCAUCCGCAGAGGUGGAGGUCACCAACGUGACGAAAACCGGCAUGACAAAUGAGGUGACCAACGCCGAGAUGAGCGGCGGAGCUCCAGAAGCAGUUGCCGACCUCCUGAGGAUCCCAGGGAGACGAAAAGGCCUCCCCCAGACGGAUCUUCGGGACAUGGGCCAACCAUUGCCCGGGUCAUUAACACCAUUGCCGGAGGUCCGACGGGAGGGGACAGUCAGAACUCCCGGAAGAGAACCUAUAAGCAGGCUAACCCGGAUCAGGCCGAGUCGAGUUCUCGCCUGUCCGAGGUGAUCACCUACGGGCUCAGUGAUCCCAUCCCAGCUGCAUCCAGCAGUCAUGAAACCUUGGUGAUUGAAGUCCUCACCAAUAACUACAUUGUGAAAAGGUCUACAUAGACCCGGGAAGUUCAGUUGACGUCAUGUACCUCCGUACCUUUGAGAGCCUUAAAAUGGCUAAGGGGUGCAUGACCCCGCUGAGAACCCCUCUUGUAGGGUUCGGGGGACACGUGGUGCACCCCGAAGGGAUGGUGACUCUGACAGUGACCAUAGGGCAUCACUCUCGCUGUAGAACCGUCCCUGUCAAUUUUGUGGUGGUUAAGGCUGACUCCCCAUACAACCUACUUUUAGGUCGGCCUACGCUCAAUGCCUUGCGGGCGGUCUACUCCACCUACCACCUGAGCUUCAAGUUUCCUACCCCAGCAGGGGUGGCCGAGGUCAGCAGCGACGUCUGUGCUGUCCGGGAGUGCUACCUCGCCACCCUACAAGCAGCCUCCCCGUCUACCUCCGGUGCGAGGUCCGAGAAGAGGUCAAAUAUCCUCUCAAUAGAUAGCAUCGAUCCUCAGUGAGCUGAGAAGGUCCCGAGGCUGGAGACUGGGGAUGAGGUGGAAGAGAUUCCCCUGGACCCCACGAAACCUGAUCAGACAGUUCGCGUUGGUACCCGAUUGCCCGGUCCUAUCCGAAGAGGUAUGAUGGACCUCCUCAGGGAAUACCGGGACGUCUUUGCUUGGGCCGCCGAAGAGGUCCAAGGAGUCCCGCACCAUCUCAUGAUGCAUGACUGAACGUCGACCCCCAAGUCCGUCCGGUCAAACAGAAGAGAAGGCACAUCGGCCCUGAGCGCAGCCAAGCUGUUGGUGAGGAAGUGGACAAGCUUUUACCCGCUAAAAUAAUCCGAAAAGUCCAAUACCCGAUCUGGUUGUCUAACUCGGUCAUGGUCAAGAAGGAUACGGGGGCUUGGAGAAUGUGCGUCGAUUUUACCGACCUCAACAAAGCCUGCUCCAAGGAUUGCUACCCCUUGCCCAAAGUCGAUACUUUGGUAGACUCAGCAAUGGGCUACGAGAUCCUCUGUUUCUGGGAUGCAUUCAAAGGCUAUCACCAAAUUGGGAUGAGUCAAGAAAACCAGGAGAAAACGGCCUUCUACACCGACCGCGGCACGUACUGUUAUACUACCAUGCCAUUCGGGUUGAAGAAUGCCGGAGCCACUUAUCAACGCUUGGUCAACCAAGCAUUCAAGUCUCAAAUCGGCCGGAAUGUUGAGGCCUAUGUAGAUGACAUCCUCCUCAAAAGCCAGACGAACUCCACCUUCCUGGCCGACUUGAAGGAGGUCCUUGACAUCCUGCGGAAGGUGAAAAUGAUGCUGAACCCCAAGAAAUGUGUUUUUGGGGUCACCUCGGGGAAAUUUCUAGGUUACCUCGUCUCAAGGCGAGGUAUCGAAGCAAAUCCGGAUAAGGUGCGAGCCAUCCAGGAGAUGUCUCCACCCCGGUGCGUCCGCGAUGUCCAAAGGCUGACAGGGCGAUUAGCCGCCCUGAAUCGGUUCUUAUCGCAGUCGGCAGCUAAAGCACUGCCCUUUUUCAAAGUGUUGAAGAAAGCUGACCAUUUCUCCUGGACGGAAGAGUGUCAACAGGCGUUUGAGCAGUUGAAGGAUUACCUUCACUACCUUCCAACGCUCACCUCACCUCGUCCGGGGGACAAAUUAAUCUUAUACCUUUCUGCUGCGGCCGAAGCGGUGAGUGCCGUGCUGAUAAGGAAGGAAGGGGUCCAAAUGCCCGUCUACUACGUUAGCCGAGUCCUCCGAGGUCCAGAGACCAGGUACACACAAGCAGAGAAACUUGUGCUAGCCCUGAUCCACGCCGCCCGCAGACUCAAGCCCUACUUCCUAGCUCACCACGUCUGCUUGAGGACUGAUCAACCACUUCGGCAGAUUUUGACACGACCAGAGGUUUCGGGACGUCUUACCAAAUGGGCCAUUGAGCUGGGGGAGUACGACCUAACUUAUGAGCCUCGCACAGCGAUCAAGGCCCAGGCUCUCGCAGACUUCGUAGCCGAGCUCACCUUUGACGAGGUGCAAGGAUCCGUCCCGGCUGCCACAUCGGCCACAGUUGAUGUGGCCACCACUGGGCUCCAGCGGUGGAUCCUACACGUGGACGGUUCGUCAACAGUGAGGGUAGUGGAGCAGGCUUGCUCCUCGAAGACCCCCAAGGAGAAAUAUGCUAAUAUGCCUUAAGAUUUGACUUCGCUGCUUCAAACAAUGAAGCUGAAUACGAAGCCGUCAUUGCUGGACUGCAGCUAGCUCGCAAGCUCGGGGCCGCACACAUCUUGGUUUAUAGUGAUUCCCAACUCGUCGUGUGCCAGAUAUUAGGUGAGUACGAAGCCAGGGACGAGGUGAUGCAUCGUUACCUCUCCAAGGUCCUCCAGUUGGCGACUCACUUCGAGUCUUUUGAAAUUCAAAGAAUACCGCUAUCGAAAAACAGAAGGGCUGACGCCCUCUCCCGGCUUGCCUCAACCUCUUUCUCUGACCUGAACAAGACGGUUCUCGUUGAAGUUCUAGCCGAACCAGGAUAUGUAGCCGAGGUAGUAUACCCCGUCUACCCUGGGGACACCUGGAUGGGUCCCCUGACUCGAUUUUUCAGCCAGGGUGAGCUCCCCGAAGACCGAGCUGAGUCACGGAAGCUCCAACGAAAAGCAGCACGGUACAUUCUCCGACAAGGCCUUUUAUACAAAAGGUCUUACCUCGGCCCUUAGUUGCGAUGUAUCACGCCCGAGGAAGGCCAGAGAAUCCUCCAAGACAUACAUGAGGGGCUCUGUGGUGCUCACGUCGGCUACAGAAUGCUGGUAAAAAAGGCUUUGUUACUUGGGUAUUUUUGGCCCACUAUGAGGAUAGAUGCCCAGGUCAUGGUCCUUUGCUGCCCCUCCUGCCAGCAUCACGCUCCUGAGCACCACCAGCCGACCAAUUUAAUGAUCCCUAUCACCUCGUCAUGGCCAUUUGAGCAAUGGGGAACGGACAUAAUUGGCCCCUUUCCCAGAGCUCCAGGCAAUUAUACCUACGUGGUGGUAGCAGUGGACUACUUCACCAAAUGGGUCGAAGCUGAACCCCUAAAAAAUAUCACUGGUGCGGCAGUCCAGAAAUUCUUCUGGAAGAAUGUGGUUUGCCGCUUCGGCCUACCCCGGGUGAUCAUCUCGGAUAAUGGCCGACAGUUCGCCGAUAAUCCUUUCAAGGCCUGGUGUGAGAACCUCGGGGUCAAACAGCAUUUCACUUCGGUGGGACACCCCCAAGCCAACGGACAAGCCGAAAACUUCAAUCGCACGCUCCUCCAUGGCCUCAAGACCAGGCUCCACCAGGCUGGAUCGUUUUGGAUGGAAGAGCUCCCCAGUGUGCUGUGGUCCUACCGAACUACGCCGAGAUCAGCAACCCAGGAAACCCCGUUUUCCUUAACCUACGGGUCAGAAGCUGUUGUUCCAGCCGAAUUCAUCACCCCGAGUCCACGAAUGGCCGCAUAUGCUGCCGAAGUCAAUGAAGAAGAACGGCGAGUUGACCUCGACCUCGUCGAAGAGAAGCGUGAUAUGGCCGCGGCCAAAGUUGCUGUUUACAAAAAUAUCGUAGCUGGCUACUACAACGCUCGGGUUAAACAUUUGCGGUUCAGUCCGGGAGACCUGGUGCUCAGGAAGAACUCAGUCAGCCGGGCUGAACCUCAGGGUAAACUAACCCCCAAGUGGGAGGGACCAUACCGUGUUGUUGAGUCCAGCCAAAAUGGAUAUUGUAAAUUGGCAUACCGAGAUGGGUCUCUGAGUGCCCCGAACUUGGCAUGCUGAAAAUCUUAAGUUGUACUACCCUUGAGGGUAUGUGCUUUUAAUCUUGAGUUAUUUCACACUUAUUUUCAUUUCAUUAUAAGUGAAAAAUAAGGGGACAAAGUAGCAGUAAAGAGGAAAACCGAAUUUAAUUAAAAAGAAAGCAAGAAUAUGAACUCAAUUCCAUUGAAUUACAUAAAAGUAGAAAGCCGAGGUCACCUUUAAUUAGGAAGAAAGCAAGAAUAUAAACUCAAUUCCAUUGAAUUACAUAAAAGUAGAAAGCCGAGGUCACCUUUGACCUCGGCCUACAAUGACAAAAAAAAAAACAAGUGCCUCUAGGCACUCCCUACCCUGACAUCCUGGCCCCCCGUGGUCGCGCCACCCGUUUCGGCACCCUGUCCACCCUCAGCUCCUCCACCGGCCUGGUCGUCUUCAGUACCAUCUAGUUCAAACUCCUGGAGCCAUUUGUUGAAUUCGGCUCGGACUUCGGUUAGGUCUUUCUCAGUCCGGAUGCCCUCAGCCAUGCUGUCGCAUAGCUCCUUGGCAUCCUCGUUAUAGUGCGAAGUGCUCUGAAGGGACUCCAGUUGUUCAGAGGGAAGAAAGGAUGCCGCGUCAUUAAUAGCCGACGUGUACCCGAACAUGAAGCUUGGCCGGGUGAGCUCGCCGAGGUCACGGAUGAAGGACUCUGACGUCCGGAAGGCUUCCACAGCAGUGACCCCGGCCUUGUCCAUGGCCUCCCUGUUUGACUGUUCUUCUUGGGCCCUCCUUUUUUUCUCCUCAUCAAGAGCAGUCACCAGGGAAUUGUUCGCGACCUCGGCCCUUUUGUUAGCCGCCUUGGCCUUGUCACGCUCCAACUCGGUUGCCUUCAGUUUUUCUUCCAACUCGGCAAUUCUCUUCUGGAGCUCGGCAGGAGGCUCAUAGUUUUCCAUGAACUUUCCAUACCGUUGAAUCAUCUCGACAAAAAAAGCCGUGGUAGAGGCCCAUGACACCGAGGCGCUCUGCAUCAACUCCCCUGCGGAGAGCUUCCUAGCAUAAGUGCUAUCUCGUGGCAGCACUGAAUGCACCAAGAGCUCCUGAGCGACCAAAGGGUUCUUGCAGCGAUCGUUGAAAUUAAUCUCCCACUCUGGACACCAGUGUGAUCCGGGGUGUCUCUUGUCCUCCUCAGCUGCCUUGAAAGGCACAUGAUGGAGUUUGAACAAAGAUGACCCCGUGACGGGGUUCUCCGGAAAUAUGGUCACACCCUGACCCCGGGGGGGAGUGGCAAUCGUGACCCAGCGAGAAGGGAUUCCCACCGGAAUUGCCGAGGCUCGGGAACCUCCCGGAGUGGCCGAGGUGUGCGAGCCCUCGCCCACGAUCACCACGGCAGGCUCGCGGUCGCCCGACGCCGCGGUGGUUUUCUUAGCCGGCCUGGAAGAGGACCCUGCAGUGUCCUUGCGCUUUUUGGGAGCUCUUUUGACCACCUCGACAUCUCCCGAGGUUAUCAGGUCGAAAAUCUUCGUCACUGCAAAGUAGGAGACGAAGUCAGUUAGAAUUCAAGAGGGAUAAACUAAAAGGGAAGAAAUGGAAAAAUACAAAGUCUGUGAAGCCUAGUCGAGAGUAAGACAGGCUGGUCAGAGCUCGUCAAGGCUCAACUGAUCCCGCCUUCCACGAGCACCACUUCGGGAAAAUCCCAGCAGUUUAUCCUGAGGCCCGACCCCGUUAACUUCUGGAAGUUACGCUCUUCUAACUUCCCUGGAGAUAUCUCCUUGAUCGAGGUGGGAGGCCUCCACCAGAAUCCGCGAGGGAAGUCAUCGGCCGAGACGAAGAAGAAGUUUUGCUUCCACUCCUUUAUUGAGUUCGGAGCAUCAACCACCAACUUCGGAACUUUGUUUCCGAAGUAGAACCAUCCUUUUUCACUUCUGCUGUUCUUGAGUGAGUAACAGCGGCGAAAGAGGUUGACCUAAGGUUGUAUCUCCUGAUGUCGGCAAAGUAGCUGGAAGCCAACGAGAAUGCGAAUAGCGUUAGGGGUGAGUUGAGUGAUUCUCACCCCCCAGUACCUCAGGCAGUCCCGAAGAAACCUCGUCGUGGGCACUCUGAGUCCGGCCUCCAGCUGUUCCUGAUAGAUAGUCACCUUGCCCUUUGGUGGCAGUGCGGCUGACUGAUGCGGUUGGGGUAUGUAAAUACUAUAAUCCCUUCUCCAGGGAUACCUGCGGACCACCUCGGCUAUUGAGGCUUGUCCCAUACCACUACUGAAGAACGGCAUCUGGCCGUAGUCGAGAGUUGCCACGUUUGGAGGAGUGGAAGGUUCUUGUACUCCCUCGUCUCUAGGGAUCUCAAUCCCGAGGUCAUCGUUGUAUAGGACCUCGGGCUGGACCUCGAUCUCCUCGGGCUGCACCUCAACCGCCUCAGCUCGGCGUGAUGCCUCGGCACCUCCACCCUCAGCUUGGUGAGAUGCCUCAGCACCUCCGCCCUCGGACGCGGUCCUUUCCUGGGAGGGGUCAGGCCUCUCUGCCUCAGUGAGGUCAGGUCUCACUGUCUCUUUGUGCGUACGAGCUGUUCUAGCCAUUGUAUCAGAAGGGGAAGAAGUGAACUUACUUAGAAUCUGCGACUGGAAGAAGAUGCCGAAGUAGACGUGGUUUAGAAAGGUUGCCGAAGUGAAAAGAGAAAGAAACAGAGUUCUGGGGUGAUUCUUGAUUUUUGGUGAAGAGUAAAACGGUGAAAAAAGACCACUAUUUAUAGGCCACCAGGGUGAAACCCAAGAGACGGCACCCUCUCUCUUCAUUAAUGGGAGGACUGUUCGUCUGCCAACACAGCUGACAGCCGUCCCUUCAGUUAUCACUCAGUCCCAUCUAUGCGGUCAUGACGUGUCCGUGUUCCGUGUUUUAUACGCUUCUCAGCUUCGGGAAGUAACGACCACGGCGGAUGCCCAUCUCGCCCUUCUCAAAGCUUGGGGGGCUUAGUGAGGAGGGCCAUUUAGGCUCGGAGCGCCCGAGGCCUAGUUCCCCAUCAUUUCCUGAAGUGCCGCCUCGGGUAUUAUCCUGGAAGGCGAUCGCGGCCCAUUUACCACCUCGGCUACAAUGUCAAGUCGUAACACCGAGGUGGACAUUGAAUGACAACUACGAAAAGGGGAGAUGUGAUCUCUGACACCUGAGCAAAGGCUGCUCUGACCCGCCGCCUGAAUCUGACAGAAUGUCCCAUCACGUCUCUUCAUGGAGACCGGUCAAGUCCACCUGAUCCACUGACUAUCUCAGAUCUUUUGGGACCCGUGCAAACAUCUCCUCUCUCCUAUCGGUCCCCUAUAAAUACACAAUAUUUCUACUGAAAAAGGGGAUGACCAAUUUCUGGUAAAACACACUCCACUCAUUACUUACUUCUCUAUAUCCGAACUGACUUAAGUUUCGGAGUUAUACCGGGGGAUCCAGCCCCUUUUCUUAUUCAAGCAGGUGACUUCGUCCAAGAGAGUUGCCCAAGGUAAAGAUAUUCUUCGAAUUGAGGUGACUCACUCCUGCGGGUCGAAAAUCACCUCUUCAAAUGGUAGAAAGUUUUCUUAAGAACCAAGAACAGCAUUAGUAUUCCCUCUGCUUCCAAAAACUUGUGUAUUAAAUAGAUUAAUGAAUUGUUUAACAUGCUCAUCUACUUGAAAAUGCACAAUACCCAUAACCCACUGAAAUUUUUGCAGGAAAAGGGAAAGAGAAUCUGUGUUUGAGAGCUUCAUGAAGAUGUUGAAGAAUAAGAAUAAAAGCCCAAUGCGAGGAUGUUUUCAAGUUUUUCUAUGUCCACUUUAAUUUGUAAAUUGAAUUUUACAACUCAAUUAAUUCCUUGUUUGUGAGGUACGUAUUGUUUUACGUACCAUGCCGUACAUGUUUGUAAGGAUUUCUAUCCUAUUGGCAAAAGUCGGUUCCAUACAAUUAAUCAAUUCAUUUCACUUCUAUUGGCUCUACUAUUUAUGCAUGUUACGACACUCUUUCCCUUAUAUUUUGCCUUUAAUAUUAUGAGUCAAUAGUAAUAAUGGGCCUUUUUCUUAAAAUUAUACUAUUAUACAUAGGUAGUUUGGUCUAACGCUAAAUUCAUGUUUGUCUUUCUUUUAUUCCCUUUACAUCUCAAAGUAUACUAUAGUUUGUAAUCAUUGUGGUGAUGAUAUUACCAGCUGGUACUUAUAGUUUAAGGCAGAGACAUGAUAUUAACAACUAUCUCAUUGAAACAUAAGUCAAAAUCAUGACAAGUGUGAGUCUUGGUUAAUGCACAAUUUGUUAGUGGAAUUUAUAUUUAUAAAACUCAAAAAAAAUUUUUGACAAUGCUAUUACUAAUUAAUUAAGGACUUCAUUGCUAUAAUUUAUCGCUUACUAGUUUAAACUAUAAAUGAUCUCAAUACUUUUCUCCAUGAUGUCGAUUUCUUUAGACUACGAAAGGGAAAAAUUAGUGACAUAUCCCUUACUGAUUACAACAUCAGCAAAAAUUAGUUAUAAACUUUUCCGGUGGUUUUAAAUCCCUCGGGCACUAAGGUUUUUUGCACAUCGAGUGAAUUAAGGAACAUAGGCAAUUCGUUCUGCAUACCAAGUCCUUGUUUAAGAUGCACGUACUAAAAUGCAUCCACUUCAUUAAUUUGGAAAAUUGCCAUAGUUUUUUUUAAGCAUUUUGAUUUUUUACAUGAUUCAAAAUUUUCUUAUUGGAUACAAUCACUUUGUGUCAAGAACACAUUUUCAAUCAUCUUUUUUAUCUUCUCAAUAAGAAAAUAAAAAUUUAUUCAUGCUUUUCUAACAUAUCCAAUCAUUGAUCUGAAAAAUAAAGAAUUAAAAAAAAAAGACAUUUUCAAUCAUUGCUUACAGGGCAACUUCCCCAUGUGAACCUCUUCAAACAAAGCCAAUAAUAUGAAGGAACAUCUAAAUACACUUUUGCCCUAAAGGCUGGUUGCCUUGGGGUCAAAAUUUAACCUUCGGGAGUAUAAUUACCCGCCAAAUUUAUUAUUUUUUAUGGGUAUAUAGUUCCAAUUUUGCCUCCUGUUAAGCUUAUAAAUAUAUUACGACCCAGAAAAUAAAGGAAUCUUGAAUAGUAACAUGUCCAUUGACUUGAGUUGUCAUCAAUUUGGCUACUUCGAUUCCAUGAGGCCAAUCCAAUUCACACUAGCUAGAGAAAAUGGUGAUAAAGGCACUUAGAAAUUUAUAUGUAAUAUUGAUUGGUAGUAACUGAUAAGUAUAUAUUUUACGUGUUUUAAAUAUGUUUUAUUAGUUAGUUUUGGUGUGUUUUAACUACUUUUAUAACUAAUUAACUAGGAAUCUAGUGAAAAUAUGCAUUUUGUGGUUUGAAGUGUGAAAAUUGUAUUUCUAUGGAUUUUAAUGGUGAAAACUUCAUGUUUUUGUAGGUUUAAUGAUUCAAUCAUCAAAUGACAUGAUUUGAGAAGAUAAUUAGAUGAUUGAUGAUGUUUUGAAGUGAUAAAAAGAGAAUACAAAGUGCAAGAGAGGAAAUGCAAUCAAGAAUAAAAGAAGAAAAUUUUUGUAGCUUUGACAUAUUGUGGUAUUUUGGCAAUAUAUUGAGCUACAAUGAUUGGAUUAAGGUGAUUCUUAAACCAUUUGAAGCUAAGAUAUAGAUCUACAUUUGGUAUGAAGGCAUCGAAACCCAUGUCAGUCAUUUUCCUUGUCAAAAUGUUGAAAUACAGAAGUGCAACUCUGUUCUCGAAAGCUAAAACAGAGCUCUGGCUAGUCGAGGGUAUUUUCAUCAUUUCUUAGUCCACAGAGCUCCAAAUGAGAUGAUUCUUAAGGCAUUAGAACCCUAACUCAAAGAGCUACAACUUUCAUAUUUUGUACAAGAGUUAGUUCGGCCUCCAUCAUUCAGAAAAUAGUAGUUGAAGUGGUGCCAAAUGCAUAGAAGUGAAAACGCGAGCUAUCAAUACUCGACCUGAAGUCGCGUAUUCCUGAGGUCAUGCAUUCUCUUCUAUUUUCUGCAACUUGCCCUGCUUUCACAUAAUUUUUUCAUCUCAAUUCCAACUAUCAAUUUCGGCUAUAUCUGAUCAAGAAAAGUGUGGAAAGUUUGAAAGACAACUCAUAGGAGUUUCAAGAGUCAAAAAUUACAAUUAGAAACAACUCAUUUGGCUCUUGAAUCCUCUAUAAAUAGAGGCCUUUGAAGAACAUUUUCACAACUUUGGAAGGUUAGAGAAACUCCACAAAAACAUAGUCUUCACUAGAAUUUCCUUAGUUCAUUAGUUAGGGUAGUAUAGUAUAGUUAGUGUAGCUUUUCCUUCUUGUAUUUAUAGUUAGGUUUGAAUGAAGAUUCAGGAGCAAAGAUAGAGAGGUUGAUCUCAUGUGACAAGGGUGAUAUCUCUUCUACUACUUUCUCUUUUGUAUUUGAUUUCAUAUUUAACUAUACUACAAAUUUGGCUUUGUUUUUUUUUUUUAUCAUGUUUAGUUAAAGUUUAUGCCUAGAGUAUGGAUGACCUUUCUAUAUCUUGUUUGUGAUAUUUAACUGGUUAUUUGAUGAUGUUAUUUUUGAGCAAGUUAUUUAUCACUUUUGCUUUUCUAAUCGUGAUUAACUGGCCAUUAGUUGUGAUUAUCUAAAAGUGUUAAGUUUGUAAUGAGAAUUGGAGUUUAACACUAGUUCAAGGAAGUGAUAAAUUUAGGGAGUUCACUCAUGAGAGUAGAGGAACACCUUUGUGACCUAAGUGACUUGUUUCAUAUAAUUUCAUAGAAAAAAUGAACUUGUAAUUAAUUUCAUAACCACGAGAGUAAGUAUGGUUUAGCUAUAUGUAUAGUUGAUUCACUACGAGAGUAGGUUUCACAUACAUUAGAAAAUUACAUCAUAACUAGUCAAGAUAAUAUCAUUCAUUUAAUCAGUAAUCUCAUUUGCAUGAGUAGUAAGGCAUUCCAUAUCUCUAGGAGGUUUUUAGUAUUAUUUUCAUUACUUUUAUGUUUAUGGUAGUCUAGAUAAUAAUGGAGUUCAAAAACUACUAGUAAUUGAAAAUUUUCCCUGUGGGAUCGACCUUUAAUACCCUAUACUCGCUCUCGACUCGUAUACUUGCGAAAAAUCACGUGUGCGGUAUUUAGAAUUUAUAAAUGUAAAACUUGACUGUAGAUGAACUAAUUGAUAUAUGUAUACCCCGCACUCGUCAGUAACCAGCUUGUAUUGAUCCCAUUAUUGUGGAUAAUUGUGCUCUUAUGAAAAAAAAUUAUAAAAAAAUUAGCAAAAUUUAUGAUAACAAAUUAAAUUUAUUCAUACAAAUCAGUGAAAGAAGUAGAAUUUUAAAGACCAUGAUGAAAUUAAUACUUUCAAGGGCUCUAUUAGGAAGACUUCACUUGUUGGUGAAACUACACUAGCACAGUUAUAUGCACAUUUACUGUUUUGGUAUCUAAUUUCCUUGCCUUAAGUUGGGUGCAGAUGUUUAUAUUACAAAUAGAUGGUAUCAUAAAAUUGUUGUAUUCACGUUUGUUCUUUUUUUUUCUUCCUUAAGUUUUUUUCUUUAUUCUCGUGACUUCAAAAAUACGAACUCAAGAAAUUGGCUGCUUAAUCAAUAUGUCAUACAGGCUUCGCUAGUGAGGUAUAACUUCACAACUAGAGUCAAUAGAAAUUAUCAAAUGAUUUUUUAACAUCCAAAUUAAGCAAUAAAUUUUGUUUUCAUUUUAUGACAUAUAAUAGUACUACUUCAUGAGAGAUUUUAUAGUUUCUUUUAGGUAUCAUACCUACAAGUGAUAUUUGUCAUUGGAUAGUGACAGAAGUGUUAAUGAUUGUAAGAUUAAAUAUUGUUAAAUAUUGAAAUUUAAACUAUUUAUCUUUAUUGAAAGAUACAAGUUAAAGAAUCGUUCAAGGGGGCAAUUUUCCAUCUUGUCUUUUUGAAAAAACGCUAUCACAUUGUAUAGGCAUGAUAGGUUCAAAUUUGUCAUUAAAUUUAUGAUUGAUUUCCCUUUUAUUCAAGCCAAAUAUUGUUUUAAUUAUCAAAUUCUACUUAUAUUUGGUUAAUUGUACUAAUUGUAGGGCGGUAGAGCAAAAGUUGCUAAAAAUAGGUGAUUUUCUGCAAAUUGGUUGUCAAGGCUGAAGGAUUUGGGAUUCGCAUGUUCAAGGCCUGUUUCCAAGUUUGAUUCAAACUCUGGACAGUUUUAGAGGAAGAUUUGGAAGAUUUGAAAUUUCAUUAUUAGUUUUAUGGUUGAAUUAGGAAUCUUGGAAUAAUUUCUUUUGUGAUUUAUUUUUCUAUUUAGGAGACUAGUUGUUAUUUAGUAGUAGACUUCAAUUAGAAAACAAAGAGAAAAAGAAGGCCGGAAUCCCGCUUGAUUAAUACCUUGGCCAGGGAACAAUCUCGGUGGGGAGGACGGCCACUUAGCCUCUCAAUUCAUCUUGCUUUUCGUUAGUUUGAGAGGAAAACCAAUUGCAACUAGAUUCAAUGGAGUCUGGCAGAAUUUCUUCUAGGAUGCGUAGCUAAAUCCUCAAUUUUUAGUCGAAGGUCAAUUUGAAAAUUCGGUUCCAAAUAUCUGUGAAAUCGAAUUAUUUUACUUAUUUCUUUUAUUUAUUGGUAUUCGCACGUUUUCUGAUUUAACUUUUUAUGAUUGUUUUGUUAUUUGAAUGUCAAGGGUCCGAUAUUCGAAUUAACUUAAUAAUCUACUGCCAAAUUAACCGGUUAAAUCCGUAAUUGUUUGAUUGAUUAAUAUCAGUGGCGACUAGCGUGAUUGGUCCCAUGUUAGGAAAACGUCUGAUCUAAUUUAAACAAACCGUCGUAGCGUGUUUGUUGAUUAGGGUUGGACUUUUCUAAUUCUUAAUUCAAUUGAGAAAUUAAAUCUCCCGGUCGUACCUAAGAUUAUUUUUUUGUUAGCGAAAUAGUUAAUGGUCGUACCUUGACUAUCGAAAAAGUAAGGAAGAGUUGAUUGUUUAUCGCGUGUACGACAACUAUAAUCAAUCUAUUAAUGAGUAAUUGAAUUAUCUUUGCAUCAGUAAUCAGUUGAAUGGACCGUGUCUGAAAAGUUGUACCUUUGGCUAGAGUCUUAUCUGUUGUUGAUUCAUUCAUAUCUAUCUUCAUGCGUUGUUUUAAUUUAGUUAAUUAGUUAUUUUUAUAAAAACCCCUCAUCUCUGGACUCUAAAAGAAAUAAAUUAUUUCUAGUUCCUGUGGAUUCGAUCCUACUCACCGCUAUAUACAAAAUUUGUAUUUUUUUGAAUAAAUAAUUAUUAUUACACAGGCUUGACACCUGUCAAGGCAAAAUUUCCUUAACUUCAUCAUCUGUAGACGUAAACUUUCUACGGGUGAUAUAAUAUAAGGAAAUUUUGCCUAUACGAUGUGAUAGCAUUUUUUCAAAAAAGACAAGAUGGAAAAUUGCUCCCUUGAACGGAAAAAAUCAUGAUCUUUCCUCAAACUAGUCUACUAGUCAAUUCUUUACAAAAGAAUACUCGCUCCUAAACAUAGCCUGUUCAUCUACACUGUCCCGCAGAAUUCUAGAAAGUUAGGCAAAACUAGACAAGUUGACAGGUAUAAUCAUACCCAAGAUCAGGAACAAGCAGUUGCACAUUUCAAAAUUCGCUGCUGCAACAGCUAAUUUGAUGACUUACAACACUACACGGUCAAACUUUGAAUGGCAAUGGAUCUUUUGUUGUACGUCAUGAUGUAAUUUUCAUGUUACAUACAUUAAUAGGUUGAUAUCUAUAUUCUUUAAAUUAUCAUGAUAAUACCCUUAAUUAGAUUUAACUGAUAAAAAGAACACGUGUUAAUAUACAAAAGUGUGUAACGUGAAUGUUACAUUACUGUAUUGCAGAAGACCUAUAGUCUCUUCAUAUCUCUUCCUGCACGUAUCAAUUCGUUUCCUCUAGAUAAUAAUCUCCCAACUCGUUUCUUUACAAAUGCACCUUUUAUGUUUUAUUACCUCCAAAAGCCUUUACAGGGUCUUUACCCUAAAAAUCAAUUCACCGACUCGCAUUUGAUGUCAGAAAUUCUUAAGACGAAUUCUACUUUACUCAAAGAUUGACUGUUAAUAAUGAGACAGCGACCAUUUUGUAUUAUUAGACCGUCCUUCUUGAUAGGUAAAAGAAAUAGAGAGGAAAGUGGGUCCGUAUAUGGUCUUUUAUUCAUAGAUAAUACAACAUUACGCCAUCGAGCAUUCACACAAUAUUUCAAAGUCAUAGCAUGCCUAAGGCCCUGUUUGAUAGCUCAAUUUCGUAAUUAAAUUUAAUAGAUUCAAAUUUUAACACAUUUAAAUCAUUUGAUAACAAAAAAUUGAAUAUUUAAAUUAAUUAAGUAACACUGAACUUUCUAAACAAAACUUGCUUUCAAAAUUAAGUGAUAAGUUAUUCACUUAUCUUUGAAUGUGAUAUGCACUCAAAUAUAUUAAAUUUAAUAAUUUAAUGGAUUCAGAUUUCAGAUUUCAGUUUUAUUACACACCCUAAGUUGCAAAAUAAUACCAAAACUUGUUAUUAUAUAGCUUGAGAUUCAAAAAUUUAGAGCAUAAUUCUCAACCUAACACAAUCGAAUAAUGAAUAUUCACGAUUGUUUCAAAGUACAAUUUGAGGACAACCCAUUCCAACGCGUACACGAUUUUUAACUUUUCUAAAGUUGUUGAGAGCUGUUAAAAGAGAUUUACCAUGUUUACAUCUUCCAAGUCUUGGAAGUGAAAAAUGAAGCCACUGAGUGCUAUAAAAAGGGGGCUAGAGGCUGCCUAGAAGCAUAUCAGCCUAAAACAAGAAUUUGUAGUAACAAUGGGGAGCAAAGCAAAAGCAACGGGGUCUAGGCUGACUCCUCUUCUUACCACUGUUUUAGUGGUAUUUGUCGCCCUUGGCUUGCCCUUGGAAACUGCAGCUGAUUAUUACAAGUAUUCAUCUCCUCCUCCUCCUCCUUACCACUAUUCUUCACCACCACCUCCAGUGUAUUCACCUCCACCAACCCCUGCUUAUAAGUUACCCCCACCAUCUCCUCCAGUUUACAAGUCCUCACCACCACCUUACCACUACUCACCACCUCCGGUGUAUUUACCUCCACCAUCUCCAGUUUACAAGUCACCACCACUACCCCCUCCGGUAUACAACUCCCCGCCUCCACCAGUGUACAAAUACAAGUCCCCACCACCACCUCCUCCAGUUUACAAAUCUCCAUCGCCACCAGUUUACAAAUACAAGUCACUCCCACCACCUCCUCCGGUAUACAAGUCUCCUCCGCCACCUGUUUACGAGUACAAGUCUCCUCCACCACCUCCUCCAGUGUACAAGUCCCCACCACCUCCAGUUUACAAGUACAACUCACCUCCACCUCCUCCCCCAGUUUACCUGUCUCCACCUCCACCCUAUCAUCACUACUACGGUUCUCCUUCUCCUCACCACUACUAAGCAAGUGCAUAAGUUUUGAGGUAAUAAUACCUAUCCAAAACUUUAUCAACACAAACUGCCAUGUAUAUUAUCAUGCUAAGGACGUACACUUGAUCCAUGAAAAUGACUAGUAGAAGAUUUUUUUUAAGAACCAAAGAAAUACAUUAUUUUUUCGGUCUGUUUUCAAGAAUUUGAGCAGUAUACAGAUUAAAGAGUGUUUUUUUUUUUGUAAACUUGCUUGUCAACUUAAAAAUGCACAUAGCUGAAAGCCAACUGAAUAUUUGCAGGCAAAGGAGAAGGCAAUCGGUGUUUGAGACCUUCAAGAAGAUGUAGAAGAAUAAGAAUAAAAGCCCAAUGCGAGGAUGAUUCCAAGUUUCUACGUUACCAUUUCUACAUCUAAAUUGACUUUAGCUCCUGAGUUCCAUGUUUAUGGGGUUUGUACCGUUUUACGUACCAUGCAGUACAUGCUUGCAAGGUUUUCUGUCCUGUUGGCAAACUGCAGGUCCAUAUAAUAAAUGAAUACUAUUUACAUUACGACACUUUUCUCUUUUUCUCUUAUAUUUUGUCUUUAAUAUUGUUGAUCAUUUUUUUUUUAUCAAAAGCAUCAAAUGCUUAGGUAAUUUGGUCUAAUGCUAAUUGUUUUACUUUUAUUUUUCACCUACACCCCUUUUCAACUCAAAGGAUGCUAUAGUUUGUGAUAAUUGUUUAAGACCGAAGCAUGAUACUAAUAAAUAUCUCAUUGAAAGUCAAGGAAACUAACAUUAGGAAAAGUUUAAAUCUUGAUUUGAUGAAACUAUUUAUUCGUGGAAUUUAGAGAUACAAAACUCAAAUUGUGACGGUGUUGUUGCUAAAUUAUUAAGGACAUUAUCACCAUUAUUUUUCCCUGAUCACUAGUUUCAACUGCAAUGAUCUCAAUCUUUUUGUGACUAAUUCUUUCCUUAAUAAUUUAUAAAGACAAAACUCACAAAGAAUAUGUGACUAAUUCUUUCCUUUCGUCUUCUAAAGAAAAUGCCAACUGUUAGUUUAUCAAGGGGAAAAAGGAUCGACAUCAGUUAUUAUUGAAACUAGUAAGGAAUAAAUAAUGGUGAUAAUGUCCUUAAUAAUUUAACAACAGCACCAUCAGAAUUUGACUUUGAGCUUCGGUCUUAAACAAUGAUCACAAACUACAGCAUCCUUUGAGUUGAAAAAGGAAGUAGGUGAAAAGAAAAGUAAAAAAUACAAUUAGCAUUCCCUCAAAUUGUAGAAAGUUAGGUAGCAUUAUAGACAAGUUGAUAGCGGCAAUUUUACAUUUCAAACUUCACCUAUUCAAUAACUAAUUCGAUGGCUUGCUACAUGGUCAAUCUUUGGACCCCUUCCUGCCUCCAGAUAUCCCUUUCCUCAAUCAGGGGCUUCUACAAUUACCAGUUUCAAUUGUAUGGUAUAGUGUAAAUAUCAACAAAUUAGAUGUAGAUGCUAACAUAAUAAAUGUGAAUGCUAAGACAGCAACAUACAAUCGAACCUGCAAUUGUAUGAACCCCAAUCUCGCUUCCUAGUCCACCAUCUUUCUCUAGGUAAUAAUCUCCCUUCUAAUUUAUUCACAAAAUGCACCUUUCAUCACCUCCAAUAGCGUCGACAUGAUCUUUACCCUAGAAGACUAUUCACCGACUCUCAAUUGACGUCAGAAAAUCUAAGAGUAAUUCUACUUUACCCUAAGAUUGAUAUCAACAAGACAAGGACAAUUUAGAAUUAUUACACGCCUCUUCUUAAUAGGAAAAAGAAAUAGAGAAGAAAGUCAGGCCAGGUCUAAUUUCUUUUCAAAGGCAAUACAACAUUACGAAAUCAAGCAUUCAUUCAUACAAAUAUUUCAUAGUCACCGGUUUGCUGAGUAGAAAAAUUUAGACAAAAACUUAAUAUUAUAUUGUUUAAGAGUUAACAAUUUAGAGCUUAAUCUCCUUGUACUUUGGAGUUAACAAUUUAGAGCUUAAUCUCCUUGUACUUUGGACUAAACUUGAACGUGAAAGGAAAUCCCAAAACCAUAUUGGGCAUGAAUUCACACUUAAUAUACCCAAUAAAAGAUGGCGACUGGUGAAAGGCAGUGGAGACUGGUGGAGAGAUUUGAGGAAUAGAAGCAGACGGAAAAGCAACAAAUUUUUGCCGAAAAACGGUCACUUUCAUGGUUAAUUUUGCUACUCUCCAAUUGUACUUGACCAAUUACAACAAUUUCAUGGAGUUUGAUACGUGAAAAGAAUUUUUUAUAAAUUUUAUUUUGAUCCAUAAUGUUAUCUUUACAUAUAUAAAACAUUUUACAAUUUUGAUUUUGGCGCAGCUAACUUUUGGUUAACAAAAAUGCUCAUGUUUAAAAAACCAGAAAUAAAACAAAACAAGAAACAAAAGAAAUAAGAGGGUAGCAUAGACAUUUUGGAUUUUUCCGUUAAUUUGGAUGAUUUCCACCCACGUUCUAAUUUAAUCCAAAACACAAAGGAAUUACGUAGAGGUUUUAAAUAAUGAGGGAGCUUCAUGAUCGAACCCCAAACCACAAGGCGAUUUACUAUAUUUUACUCUUAAAUUUUGGUUUCAUCUCAUAGCAUACAAGAGUUCUAUUUCACUAUCUGUAGACAAAGACUUUCUAUGGUUGAUGUACCAUAGGAAAAAAUCUGCCUAUACAACGUGAUAGCAUUUUUUCAAAAACACAAGAUGGAAAAUUGCCCCUUAAACGGGGAAAUUCAUGAUCUUUCGUCGAACAAAGAAUACUCACGCCUAUUCAAGAUGGAAAAUUGCCCCCUUAAACGUCUAUUUGUCAAUUCUUGAAAAAAGAAUACUCACGCCUAAAACACGGCCUCUUCAUCUGCAGAAUUCUAAAAAGUUAGGUAAACUCUAUAAACAAGUUGAUAGGUACAAUCGUACCCAAGAUCAAGUACAGAUAGUUGUACAUUAACUGCUGCAAUAACUAAUCUGAUGACUUAUAAACAUAUCAUGGUCAAUCGUUGAAUGGUAAUGAGUCUUUUGUUAUGCAUUAGUAUUAGUGUGUACACUCUAAUAGAUUGAUACUUAUACUCUUUAAAUUAUCAUAAUAAUACCCUUAAUUAACUUUAACUCUUAAAAAGAAUACAUGUUAAUACACGAGUGUGUGUAACCUGAAUUGUUACUUAUAAAUUAGUGUGUAAUAGAUAGGGAUGGCAAUGGGGGCGGGUGCCCGCGGGGGGCUCUCGGGGCGGGGGUUGGGGCGGGGGGGAAUUUUUUCCCCCCGUUUAGAAAUGGGGCAGGGGACGGGGGAGUAUACCCCCGCCCCAUCCCCCGCAAAAAAAAAAUUAUAUAUAAUAUGUAAUUUAAUUAGUUAUAAACUUAUGAUAAUGAUAUUAUUAGUUAGAUGUAUUAUAUAAUGUAUAUUAGUGUAUGUAAUAUAAUUAAUAUUAUCAAUUAUAUGAAUAAUUAGACAUGUCUACUAAUAGAAUUUAUGAAUUAGUUAUACUAAAUUUACUAAUACAUUUAUACUAAAUUUCUAAUUACACUUAAUAGAAUAACACUUUUUUCUAAAACAAAAAAGCACAAACACAAUAAUGAAUUAGUGAUUGUAUGAUAGGGUGUAAUUUUACUAUUUAUUUUAUUAUUAAUUUCCCCUAUCACCUGACCUGAUGUGGAUUAAUUGCUGGAUUCUGCUCACUUUUAGUACUUUGUAUUUAUUUCAGGGAGUAGAACGGAAAUUUGAUAACAGGUGCUAAUUUGGCAGAAAAAGAGUCCAGAUGAUAGAGCUUGCCCCAAGGGCAUUUUUGGAAAGGAGAACUUGUGCCCAUCUUGGUAAUUUGGGAGAAAAGGGAAACAGACAAAAUGGGUCUAACAUGGAUUGGAAGCGGCCGCACAGUAGCAGGGAAGAGGGCAGACGUAAAAGCAAUUGCAGGGGGGAAAAGGAGUUUUUUUAGUUUUUAGCUUAGCAUCUGAUUUUCCCUGGGAGACUUUUGUUAAAGAUUUCCUUUUGGCUGAUAUUACGCAUGGCAGAUGGCUUUUAACUUAUUCCUCCAUCUUUGACUUUUCUUCUUUAGCUUGUGGCAGUGGAUUGCUACUUACGAAUGUCAGCACUUAGCCAUUCGUGGCUUUUGAUCUUUUCUUCCUUAGAAAUUCUGAGUAACCUCUUUUCCUUUGUGCGCCAGACGAAGUGAAAACUAUAAACUUUUGUAGUUUUUCUAUUCAUUCAAUAUAUUGAGACGAGUUGGAUUCUACCAAAUUUCAACGGACAUGGCCGCUGGUUUCUCUUCAAUUUUAUAUGGGCUUUGUUCAUCCAACAUGAACUAAUUUCACCACUCUAGUCAAGGAGCAACGAAGGCUCUGAUUUGCCUAAAAAUUGUGAGAUCGUUUUAAUUUAAUCUUUUCCUUUUAUUUAUUGGUAUCCGCACAUUUCUUGAUUGCUAUGCUUAUGGUUAUUUAAUUAAUUGAUUGUCUUGGAUCCAGAUAAUUAAUUGAUCUGAUAGCCUAUUGUCAAUUAGGGCAUUUAAAUCCGUAAUUGUUUAAUUGUCCUGAAAUAGUGACAACUGGCACGAUUAGAUUCGUGCCAGGGGGGAUAUGCGGGCUAAUCUAAAAUAACCCUGGUAGUGUGUUAUUUGGUUAGAAUAGGGCUCCUCUAAUACUAAGGCAAUUGGGGAAUUAAAUUCUACGGGCGUACCUAGGAUUAUUUCUUAAUUAGAGCAGUGAUUAACGGGCGUACCUUGAUCACCGACACAGUAAGGAGGGGUUGACCGUCAUCGCUUGUUUGGCAGUUAUAACCUAUUUAUCAGUAAAUAAUUGGGAUUGCCUUGCAUCAAUGAUCAAUUAGGUGAACCAUUGUUGAAGUUACUUCUUGGUUAGAUCUUUAGUUAAUAUUACCUUGAUUUUGGUGAAUUGCCAUUUGAUUUUUAGUUGCCUACUUUAUUUUAUUUUUAAUUGUUUCCUUGCUUUAAUUGAGUUAGGCCUUUAAUUAUUGUUAUUCUAAGUUUAGUGAAUUGUGGUUUAAUUCCUAAUUAGUUAUUUAUUUUUACUUUCUUAUUUGAAUUUAUUUGCUUGUUAUCAUUCCUACGAAAUCACCCCCCUGUGUUACUUUGGAUUUCUUAAGAAACAAAUAUACCCAAUCCCUGUGGAUACGACCCUACUUGCUCUGUUCACGAAUUCAUAAUUAUUUGUGAAAAGAAAUAACCAUUCCACUCGGGUAUAUCGGAUCAAGCAAAUUCUUCGGGAACAGGGUGAAUCAAGUAACCCAAUGCACACCUAGAGUCCCUGCUCCAGUACUUGGAAUUGGGUUUUGGUCAUUUUAACUGGCAAUUAGGUUUAAUUUUAUUAUUGCACAGGCUGACGACCCUGUCAAUUUUUGGCGCCGUUGCCGGGGACUGGCGUUAUUAUUUGUUUCUUUUUAAAUUCAUUCUUUGUCCUAAUUUUCUGGUUUUCUUCUAGUGUAUGCCUCGAUCUUCUCGUACAGGUAAUUUGAUUUUUGACCCUGAGGUAGAGAAGACCGCAUGUAGAACGAGAAAGGAAACCAGACAGCUCAGAGAAGAGCACUCCAGUGCUACAUCUCAGAGACCCGAGUCAGAAGUUGAACUAACAGAUUCGUUUGGUAACACUUCGAGUGACUCUGACCAGGAGGAAGACACCAUGGCUAAUGCACGAACAUUAAGGGAGUUGGCUGCUCCUGAUUUAACUCAGCAGCCUUUAUGCAUUACUUUCCCCACUUUAAAUGAUAACAUUCCAUUUGAACUAAAAUCUGGUCUGAUUCAGCUUUUACCCUCUUUUCAUGGUUUACCAGGUGAAGAGCCGUAUAAGCAUCUGCAGGAGUUUGAUGUCGUGUGUAAUAGUAUGAAACCCUCGGGAAUCACAGAAGAGCAGAUAAAAAUGAGGGCAUUCCUCUUCUCCUUGAAAGAUUCUGCGAAGGACUGGCUGUACUACCUGUCACCAGGUAGCAUCACCACGUGGGACCAAUUGAAGAAAAAAUUUUUGGAUAAAUAUUUUCCUGCGUCCAGGGCUGCAAGUCUAAGGAAAGAAAUUUGUGGGAUCAAGCAGCAUCCAGGGAAGUCACUUUAUGAGUAUUGGGAACGGUAUAAGAACUUGUUGCGCAGGUGCCCCCAACACCAAAUAAGUGAGCAAUUGAUCAUACAGUAUUUUUAUGAGGGGCUCCUUUUUAGAGACAGGAGCAUCAUUGAUGCCAGGGGGGAGGGUUGGGAUGGGUGGUACGGGGGGAGGGAGUGUAAGCAAGAGGUCUCGGGUUCGAGUCCUCCCGCUUACACACAAAAAAAAAGAUGCUGCAAGUGGAGGGGCACUGGUAAACAAAACCCCUCAGGAAGCACGGGAGUUAAUAGAGGGGAUGGCAGAGAAUUCACAACAAUUCAGUACAAGAGAGGAUGUCCCAAUACGUAAGGUGAAUGAGGUAGAGACACCCUCUAUGCAGCAGCAGCUAACUGAGUUGACCGCGUUUGUUAGGCAACUGGCUGUGAGAAAUGCAUCACAAGCCAGGGUGUGCGGGAUUUGCACUGGUAUGGGUCAUUCUGCAGACAUGUGCCCAAUGAUUCAGGAAGAAACUGCAGAACAGGUGAACAUGGCUGACCACGCGCCCGCGCCAAGGAAGCAGUACGACCCUUACUCAAGCACCUACAACCCCGGGUGGAGAGAUCAUCCCAACCUCAGUUAUGGAGAAAAUAGGCAGCCCAACAUUACACCGAACAGGCAGUCUAACUUUGUGCCAAAUAGGCCACCAGGGUACCAGCAGCAAUAUCAACCCCGACCACCUCCGUCCCCAAGCUCUGGCCCAUCUUUGGAGGAGAUGAUGAAACAAAUGAUGACAACUAUGGCUCAAAAUCAGCAAAUGACGGAGGCAACCAUUAUGCAAAAUCAGCAAAGGACGGACUCCGAAAUGAAGGAUAUAAGGAAUCAGAUAAGUCAAAUGGUCACAACAAUCAACCGUUUGGAUUCCCAGAACCAAGGUAAAUUGCCAUUUCAGCCCGAAUUAAAUUCGAAGAACGUGAGCGCAAUGACCCUAAGGAGCGGGAAAGAAAUUCAGGGGUCUGAACCUGUGAUCCCUAAGGAUAAGGAUGAGGAAAAGAUCGAAAAUGAGCUUGAAAGGGAGGACAGCAAUGGUGCAGAUCUAAAGGUACUUCCUGACCCAAUAAUUACAGCUAAAACUAACCCGCCUCCUUUUCCUAGCAGGUUGGAAAAAUCGAAAAAAGAGGAUAAGGAGAAGGAGAUCUUGGAGGUUUUUCGCAAGGUUGAGAUAAAUAUCCCCCUCUUAGACGCAAUCAGACAAGUACCAAAAUAUGCCAAGUUCCUAAGGGACUUGUGUGUCAACCGAAGGCAGUUGAGGGAAGAUGAACGGGUUAUUGUUGGGGAGAAUGUGUCAGCAGUCCUGCAGAGAAAGCUCCCACCAAAGUGCGGGGACCCAGGUAUGUUUACUAUUCCCUGUAGGAUAGGUAAUACUGUGAUAGAAGGGCCAUGUUGGAUCUGGGAGCAUCAAUUAAUCUCAUACCUAAAUCUAUCUAUGCUUCUCUAAAAUUAGGUCCAUUAAAAGAAACUGGAAUAAUCAUUCAAUUAGUUGACCGAACUAAUGCAUAUCCUGAUGGGUUGGUUGAAGAUGUGUUGGUAAAAGUUAAUGAUUUGAUGUUUCCAGCUGAUUUUUAUGUACUUGAUAUGGAUGAUGAUCACUCCCCUGAUCCCUCACCUCUGUUAUUGGGUAGACCCUUUAUGAGCACAGCACAGACGAAAAUUGAUGUUAAUAAGGGUAUCUUGUUCAUGGAGUUUGAUGGGAAAAUUGUGCAUUUCAAUAUCUUUGAUACUAUGAAAUAUCCCUCAAACUCCAACUUUAGCACAGUUUUCUCUGUGAGUGCUAUUGACCCUGUAGUGCAGGAAGUGUUUGAAACUGAUGGCAGGGAUGAGUUGGAGGUGGCUUUGACCAAGCACCUCGAGUUGGAGACAACUCCUGAGGUGGAAUGGAGCGAGGACCUAAAAUGCACAAUAGGUGCAUUACACUCAUUGCAGUCCACCACGAAAAGGUAUGAAGUCUUACCUAUUUUUACUCCCGAACCUCACCAGAGGGUGUUGCCAUCUGUGGUGCAGGCACCUGUACUAGAAUUUAAACCUCUAUCAGAGCACCUGAAAUAUGCAUAUCUGGGUGAUAAUGAGACACUCCCGGUGAUUAUCUCAUCGACACUGUCAAAAAUCCAGGAGGAGAAACUGAUCCGGGUCCUUAGAGAGCAUAAAGAGGCGAUAGGUUGGACAAUCGCAGAUAUUAAGGGGAUCAGCUCGGCCAUCUGUAUGCACCGGAUUAGACUAGAAGAGGAUGCCAAACCUGUUAGGCAGGCUCAAAGGAGGCUCAACCCCCUAAUGAUGGAAGUUGUAAAGAAAGAAAUUUUAAAAUUGCUAGAUGUGGGGAUUAUUUUUGCAAUAUCAGAUAGCCCUUGGGUAAGCCCGAUCCAGGUAGUCCCAAAGAAGGCAGGGGUGACGGUGGAGGCAAACCAAACGGGUGAGCUCGUGCCAGUGCGCAAACCCACUGGAUGGAGGCAGUGUAUAGACUACCGUAGGCUAAACGCCGUCACCAAAAAGGACCAUUUCCCUCUCCCUUUCAUUGACCAAAUGGUUGAACGUUUAGCUUGUAGAGCUUAUUAUUGCUUUUUGGAUGGAUUUUCAGGAUACUUUCAGAUAGCAAUUGCUCCAGAGGAUCAAGAGAAGACAACCUUCACGUGCCCGUUCGGGACCUUUGCUUAUAGACGAAUGCCAUUUGCGUUGUGCAAUGCACCUGCAACAUUCCAGAGGUGUAUGGUAAGUAUUUUUUCUGAAUAUGUGGAGAAAAUUAUUGAAGUUUUCAUGGACGAUUUCAGUGUGUAUGGUGAUAGUUUUGAUACGUGUUUAGAUAAUCUGAAAUUGAUCCUGAUAAGGUGUAUAGAGACUAAUCUUGUGCUUAAUUGGGAAAAAUGUCAUUUUAUGGUUGAGCACGGGAUAGUCCUGGGUCAUAUUGUAUCGUCUAAGGGCAUAGAAGUUGACAAGGCUAAAAUAGAUAUUAUUUUUGCAUUACCUUACCUCGCGAGUGUGCGGAAGGUGCGUUCUUUUCUUGGACAUGCAGGUUUUUAUCGAAUGUUCAUCAAGGAUUUUUCAAAAAUUGGAGCCCCGUUAUUCCAACUCCUACAAAAGGAUGUGACCUUCGAAUUCGAUGAUAAGUGUGAGGAAGCCUUCAACAAGUUGAAAGAAUUGUUGACCUCACCCCCAAUUAUCCAGCCCCCUGAUUGGAGUCUACCAUUUGAGAUCAUGUGCGAUGCCAGUGAUCAUGCCGUAGGGGCUGUAUUGGGGCAAAGAGUAGGGAAGGCAGCUCACGUCAUCUACUAUGCAUCCCGAGCAUUGAAUGGAGCCCAAUUGAAUUACUCCACUACUGAAAAGAAGCUUCUUGCAGUUAUUUUUGCUUUAGAAAAAUUCAGGUCAUAUUUGCUAGGUGCUAAAGUAAUUGUAUUUUCUGACCAUGCAGCAUUAAGGUACCUAAUGACCAAGAAAGAUGCCAAACUGAGGCUCAUUAGGUGGAUAUUGCUACUGCAGGAAUUUGACCUGGAGAUACGGGAUAAAAGGGGCUCAGAGAAUUUAGUAGCUGACCAUCUGAGUCGUAUACCCGUUGGAGAGGAUAAUGAACCAUUGAGGGAUGCGUUCCCUGAAGAGCACUUAUUUUCUUUAAAUUCUCAGUUGCCUUUGUAUGCCGAUCUGGUCAAUUAUUUGGUAACUGGUAAUUUUCCUGCAGGUUGACCAAAAUCGAAGAGGGAUAAAUUGAAGAGCGACGCCAAGUAUUUUAUUUGGGACGACCCGUACCUAUGGAAGAGGUGUGCAGAUCAAGUGAUGCGGAGAUGUGUAAGUGAAAUGGAAUUUCAAUCGAUUUUAGCUUUUUGUCAUACUUUUGCCUGUGGAGGUCAUUUGGACCCAAGAGAACUGCUCAUAAGGUUUUAGAAAGUGGAUUUUAUUGGCCUUCAUUGUUUAAGGAUGCCUAUGUGUUUUGUAAGUCAUGUGAUCGCUGUCAAAGGGUAGGUAAUAUACCCCGUAGAGAUCAAAUGCCCCAAGUCCCGUUGAUUUUUAUUGAAAUUUUUGAUGUCUGGGGUAUAGAUUUCAUGGGGUCUUUUCCUACUUCAUUUGGUUUUUUAUAUAUUUUGCUGGCAGUUGAUUAUGUGUCUAAAUGGGUGGAGGCUAAGGCCACUCGAACUAAUGACUCGAAAGUAGUUGCAAAUUUUGUCAGGUCUAAUAUUUUUGUGCGAUUUGGAAUGCCUAGUGCUAUUGUCAGUGAUAGGGGAACGCACUUUUGCAACAAAAUCAUAGCUGCGUUGUUUCGCAAGUAUGGUGUACUCCAAUGGGUCUCAACGUCGUACCACCCUCAGACCAAUGGUCAAGCGGAGGUGUCGAAUCGAGAGAUCAAGUCUAUCUUGGAGAAAAUGGUGCGCCCCGAUAGGAAAGACUCGAGUCAAAGGCUGGAGGACGCACUUUGGGCCUAUCGGACGGCGUACAAGACUCCUAUAGGGAUGUCACCGUACAGGUUGGUAUUUGGGAAGCCGUGUCACCUUCCAGUGGAGUUUGAGCACAAAGCUUUUUGGGCGAUAAAGUAAUGCAACAUGAAUUUAGAGGAAGCCGGUGCCCAACGAAAGUUGGAUUUGCAAGAAUUAGAAGAGAUCCGGAACGAGGCUUACGAAAAUGCACUAAUUUAUAAGGAGAGAAGCCGGAUAUUUCAUGAUCAACAAAUUUCAAGAAAAUCCUUUGAAGUUGGUCAGAAGGUCCUACUAUACCAAUCCAGGCUCAAGCUAUUCCCAGGUAAACUACGUUCCCGUUGGAUUGGACCUUUUCUUGUUACUCAUGUUUUUCCAUAUGGUGCAGUUGAAAUCCGGAGCGCUAAAACAGACAACAAAUUUGUGGUGAAUGGACACCGUCUCAAGCAUUACUACGAAGGAUUUUCAGGUGAAAAGGUGGAGACAAUAAGUCUAGACGCGCCACCGUGUCCUAAUCAGUGACAUUUUACUAUGUCUAGCCAAAGACAUUAAAGACAGGCGCUCAUUGGGAGGCAACCCAAUUGUCCCUUUUAAUUAUUUGUUUGAUUUCGUGUGAUAGUUUAAAUAUGUUUUCCUUGAAUUCGACUGAUUUUGGGUUUCAGUUUUCGUUUUUGCUGAAUUGUAGGUGACCUUCAGUCUUGACGCGCCCGCGUGAUGACAUGCAGGAAGCUCACGAUCAGAAUCGUCUGAAAGCUCUCUUGCCCUUUUGACGCACCCGCGUGAUGACGUGCAGGAAGCUCACGAUCAGAAUCGUCUGAAAGCUCUCUUGCCCUCUUGACGUGCCCGCGUCACGUUCGCAGGAAAGGUACGGGUUUCAAAAAUUUAAAGAAAAAAUAAUAAUAAUAAUAAUUUAAAAUUUUGAAAUUAACUUCCGUAAAAAAAAAAAAGAAGAAAAAAAAUUUCACCGUGGCUUAAAUAGAGCCUAAAGAAGAGAAAAAAGAAACAAUUUCUUUCUUUUUUUUUUCUUUUUCUUCUUUCUUCCUUCUUUCUUUCUUUCUUCUUUCUCUUUUCCCUCUCUCUUCUCCCCUGUUUCUUCUCCCCUGUCCGUCGCCCGUGCGCCCCAUCGCUGCUCCACCUCCACACGCACGCCGACGCUGCGAGCCACCUGCGACCCCAGCGCCAGAUCUGGACCAUCGCCGAAACCCGCAGCCUCCGCCACCUCCACCUGAGCUCUGCCUCGCGCGCAACCCAGCUGCUCUGCGCCCGAAGCUCCACCGCCGCCACAGCCUCCCCACGCAGCUCCCUGCUCACGCGGCCACAAGCCCAUUGGAAACGGGACAGAGACUGCCGCCGAGCCACUUGCCCGCGUGACCGCCGCUGUUUUCCACCACCUCCCUCACGCGAGCUCUUUCCCUCUCAGCAGCAAUCCACUUCACAGCGCACCCGCUGCGCGCCGUCGCAGCCCUCGCAGCUCCAGCCCGUCUGGUCUAGUCCGCCGCGCGCACCAACCACCCACGGACGCUACCCCCAUCGCUAACCCACGCGGCCUCCACUCCAGUCUGUCCGCCGCCGCUGCUCGUGUCUCCCUUGCGCACCUCACGCCACCCGCUACUGUCCCCUUCCGUUUGGUUAGCAUCCACGGUGGAGGUAAUUGGAGGUUAUUUUCUCAAUUGUGUGACUUCCGCCUGUGAUACUGGUUGCAUUAUUUUUGCUGGGAAUUGCUACUUCUUUUGGGUUGGGUUCAACUGUGCAAUUAAUUGGCCAACUGGAGCCAUUUGUUGGGAUUUUGGGUGAGCUGAAAUACUGCAUUUGUGUGUUACAUUGGGAGGUUUAUUGGGUACAUUCUAACCGCUGUUUUCCAUUGUUACUCUCGCUGGGGUGUCUAUUAAAUUGCGAUUGAAGUAUUUUGGAUAUUGCAUGUUGAGAUUGAGGUUUCAUUGAAUUUGGCCUACGUUCUGCCCCCAGUGGUACUGGUGGGAAUAUUUUCAAUUGAAUUUGUUACCUCUAGUUGGUUGGCUACAUUAUUAUGGUCGAAUUCCUAAGUUGUCGUCAUUGCAUUUGUUGAUCUUGAUUUGGGGCAUUAACCGGCCAACUGGAGCCAUCUGUGCGUUUUUAGGCGCUAUUAUUGGUUUCUUCUCCCUUAACUUUGUCAACUAUAUUUGGUUGGGUAUUUGGUUGACUGCCACGGACUUGUAACUGUGUUUUGCUUCUAAUUGACCAGUUGCACAGCAGUUUUUUUUUAAUUGAUAGGGUGGUUAUACCUCUGGAUAUUUGUAUCCACUGGUUUGAGGACAUGGUGAGACCAAAAUCCUCCUCUAGGUCUAGGACCCCUAGAACCUCGCAAUCCCAACCCCAAGCCUCUACUCUAGUCAAUACCCCUAUAAAUCAACCUACUGCUCCCGGUGUCCGAACCUGGUUAGGUAGGGGUAGAGGUGCCCACGUGGCUUCCGCCACUCACUUGGGAGGGCAUUUGGAAUUCACUAGAGCCGCCGAUCAGCGACGCUAUGCUCAAGCUUGUGAGCGGCGUAUCAUUCCGUGCAAAUGCGCGGACCACAUUACUAUGGUUUUUCUGGGGAUCCAAGGGGAGGUUGAGCGCAUGUACACCGCCAUUGGAUGGCGCCCCUAUCUGGAUAUUUUCCAGCCAGCCUUUGUCGAGUUGACUAGAGAGUUUUACACCACUUUUAAGUUUGAAUUACCGACUAGGUAUACUGUUGCGACUCCCGAUAUCAUUCACUUCCGUCUCAUGGGCCAGGAAUUCAAUUUCUCUAUCACCCAGUUCAAUCUGGCUUUCGGUUUCAUCACUCGGGAGUAUGCAGAGACUAGGGAAUACGGUGAGAGUGCCUGCGAUUUUGUGGAACCUUUCCUUACCGCCUACCGUGAGGUGUGGGAGGACAUGUCUGUGGACAUGCAGCGUUACGAUCCCUCUCGGUCUCGGAGCUCCUUUCUAGAGGACCCGAGUGCUCGGUAUGUUCAGCGGCUUUUAGCAUAUAGCUACUCGGGCAGAAAGAACAGCUUCGGUAUUAUCUCUCGGCCGGAGCUCUUCUUCCUUUGGUGUAUGAAGAAUGGGUUCAAGGUCAAUUUGGGUUGUUGGUUGGCGGCACAGUUCAAGACCGUCAUGGCAAAGAAGAACAAGCCGUUGAUUCUUGGGUCGUAUAUCACGUACUUGGCGGUCCAGCUAGGCGUUCUGAAUCUACAGGAUCACGAUUUGCACUUGGCCUGCGACAUGGAGUAUCUCACUGCUGACCGGCUAGAGAAGAUGGGGGUUCUGGAGCUUGUCGAUGGCCACUACCGAUUUGUGCCCCCGGGACCGCCCCGCGCCCCGCCUCGCUCUUCCUCCACCCAUUCGGCCCCAGUUGGCGGUGAUCCUGGCCCGUCGACAUCCGCUCAGCUCCCUCCACCAGCAGGGGCUGAAGAUUGGCACCAAAUCAGGACGCAGAUUCAGAAUUUGGACGCCCGGAUGAUUAGCAUCGAGAGCAACGUGGCGGCUAUAUCACAGAAUCUGGCGGCAUUCCUGCAGCACUCGGGUUUCCCGCCCCCAAUCCCACCUCACCCUCCACUAUGACCCGGUUUCAGGGAAGUUUGGUUACUUUCUCCCUCACUUUUGUUGUUUUUUGACACAUUGAGGACAAUGUGUCCUAUAGGUGUGGGGGGGUCUAUAGUCUUUCUAGUUUUUAGUAGUUGUUAGUUUUUAGUUUUUUAGUAGUUUUAGUUUUAUUUCUAGUUGCGUAUUUUCUUUCUUUUCUUAGUGCUUAUUCCCCAUGUGAAAAGAAAAAGAAAACAAAAAAAAAGAGAAAAAAAUGUUGGUUUAUUGACUCUAACUCUACUUUUGCCAAGUUUUUUUUAAAUAAAAAUGUAUCGGGUUAAUGUGGUUGGAUCCAGAAUAUCUCCCUGGUGAAUAUCGGAUUGCUUGGCUCUUUUGAUUUCUGUGUUAAUUUCUCUAGGCAUAGGGAAUGACUGUUGGCAUUUUAAUGUGAACUGGUCCAAUAUUGACUCCAGUUCUCUAUGUUUGGCAAUAAUGAGGCGAGCUGUUCCUAUUUUUGGUUCUUAGUGUUGUUAUUAUGUGUUUUUGGCUUUGUUUGGCUGUGAAUAAUCUGGACUGUACUCCGCUAUGAGUUACUACUGAGUAACCGAGGAUCGGCACCUAAAAGUGUCGAUUCUCGCGUCAAAAGGUGGUACUUUAUAUGAGUACGUGGUCGUAUAGCAGUAGGAGCUGAGUAACCGGGCUCCUUCAUCUAAAAAUGUUGGAGUUCGCGUCAAAAGGCCCCGACGGCUAACGACUAAGUCUUUUUGUGUUAAUUAUUAUUGCUUUGAAAAACAAAAAAAAAAAAGAACGAAAAAAGAGAGAAUAAAUAAUAGGAAGGCUUGCCGGUUUAUGGACUUAAUAUGGAGACUUGUGUGAAUAUUUGGACCAUUAGCUAAUAAAUGUUGUGCGCCAUUCCCUUUUCUUAGAGUAGUUAACCUGGAAAUUGAAGGAAUUUGCAGUUUAGGGGCUAACCGGGGGGGAGGCUUCUUGGAUUUUAAUCACCAAUGCUCGAUAUAUGUUUUUCUCUUGAAGAUCUUGGCAAUAUAGGAGAUUGGACAAUGGCCAUCAUCGAAUUUUGGUGUUCGUUUACUAUUCUUAUGCUUGAGGACAAGCAUGGUUUAGGUGUAGGGGGAAUUGAUAGGGUGUAAUUUUACUAUUUAUUUUAUUAUUAAUUUCUCCUAUCACCUGACCUGAUGUGGAUUAAUUGCUGGAUUCUGCUCACUUUUAGUACUUUGUAUUUAUUUCAGGGAGUAGAACGGAAAUUUGAUAACAGGUGCUAAUUUGGCAGAAAAAAGUCCAGAUGAUAGAGCUUGCCCCAAGGGCAUUUUUGGAAAGGAGAACUUGUGCCCAUCUUGGUAAUUUGGGAGAAAAGGGAAACAGACAAAAUGGGUCUAACAUGGAUUGGAAGCGGCCGCACAGUAGCAGGGAAGAGGGCAGACGUAAAAGCAAUUGCAGGGGGGAAAAGGAGUUUUUUUAGUUUUUAGCUUAGCAUCUGAUUUUCCCUGGGAGACUUUUGUUAAAGAUUUCCUUUUGGCUGAUAUUACGCAUGGCAGAUGGCUUUUAACUUAUUCCUCCAUCUUUGACUUUUCUUCUUUAGCUUGUAGUAGUGGAUUGCUACUUACGAAUGUCAGCACUUAGCCAUUCGUGGCUUUUGAUCUUUUCUUCCUUAGAAAUUCUGAGUAGCCUCUUUUCCUUUGUGCGCCAGACGAAGUGAAAACUAUAAACUUUUGUAGUGUUUCUAUUCAUUCAAUAUAUUGAGACGAGUUGGAUUCUACCAAAUUUCAAUGGACAUGGCCGCUGGUUUCUCUUCAAUUUUAUAUGGGCUUUGUUCAUCGAACAUGAACUAAUUUCACCACUCUAGUCAAGGAACAACGAAGACUCUGGUUCGCCUAAAAAUUGUGAGAUCGUUUUAAUUUAAUCUUUUCCUUUUAUUUAUUGGUAUCCGCACAUUUCUUGAUUGCUAUGCUUAUGGUUAUUUAAUUAAUUGAUUGUCUUGGAUCCAGAUAAUUAAUUGAUCUGAUAGCCUAUUGUCAAUUAGGGCAUUUAAAUCCGUAAUUGUUUAAUUGUCCUGAAAUAGUGACAACUGGCACGAUUAGAUUCGUGCCAGGGGGGAUAUGCGGGCUAAUCUAAAAUAACCCUGGUAGUGUGUUAUUUGGUUAGAAUAGGGCUCCUCUAAUAUGUAAGGCAAUUGGGGAAUUAAAUUCUACGGGCGUACCUAGAAUUAUUUCUUAAUUAGAGUAGUGAUUAACGGGCGUACCUUGAUCACCGACACAGUAAGGAGGGGUUGACUGCCAUCGCUUGUUUGGCAGUUAUAACAUAUUUAUCAGUAAAUAAUUGGGAUUGCCUUGCAUCAAUGAUCAAUUAGAUGAACUAUUGCUGAAGUUACUUCUUGGCUAGAUCUUUAGUUAAUAUUACCUUGAUUUUGGUGAAUUGCCAUUUGAUUUUUAGUUGCCUACUUUAUUUUAUUUUUAAUUGUUUCCUUGCUUUAAUUGAGUUAGGCCUUUAAUUAUUGUUAUUCUAAGUUUAGUGAAUUGUGGUUUAAUUCCUAAUUAGUUAUUUAUUUUUACUUUCUUAUUUGAAUUUAUUUGCUUGUUAUCAUUCCUACGAAAUCACCCCCCUGUGUUACUUUGGAUUUCUUAAGAAACAAAUAUACCCAGUCCCUGUGGAUACGACCCUACUUGCCCUGUCCACGAAUUCAUAAUUAUUUGUGAAAAGAAAUAACCAUUCCACUCGGGUAUAUCGGAUCAAGCAAACUCUUCGGGAACAGGGUGAAUCAAGUAACCCAUUGCACACCUAAAAUCCCUGCUCCAGUACUUGGAAUUGGGUUUUGGUCAUUUUAACUGGCAAUUAAGUUUAAUUUUAUUAUUGCACAGGCUGACGACCCUGUCAUUGUAUUUGUACCAAAAGUGAAAACUUAACUAUUUUAGUUGUAUUUAUUUCAUCAUGUUGGAUUGUAUUCAAAUAAUUUUUGUUUGAUUGUUUUUAUAAGUUUCAAUUGUAAAAUUAAAAUGAAUAAUAACUUGAUGAUGUGUUGAUAUUUUAGUACUUGAUUAUUUAUUAAAAUUUAAUUAUAAUAAAAUUUUAUUAACUCAACGAGAAAAAUUUUAUUAAUCCCGUGGGGGCACCCGCGGGGAAAGCGGGGCGGGGCGAGGGGAGUGGGAGGCGGAGGACGGGGCGGGGGCGGGGGAUGGGGGAGGGGUCCCCCGCCCCAACCCCGCCAUCCCCCGUCCCGUUGUCAUCCCUAGUAAUAGACUGGCAAGCAUUGUGGUGGUCAUUGAGCAACUUAUAGGAGAAAUAGUCCUAUAAGCUGUUCAAUGACCAAUCACAACUUGCUAAUUGGAUGACUAAUAUAGCUCUAGCUGUAAUGUUUUAAUUAAAUUACAUCACUAACGUUGGGAUGACUUUUUAACCAAAAAAAAAAAGCCUUAGUUCAAGCUUUUCCCUUUAUUGUGCAUUUUUUAAAGCAUUUGAAAGGCACUGCAAAUCUGUCAUUUUGGACAUUUUAUUAUUGACUAACAAUGAAAGCCGUGGACGUCUACCCAUAACCAACACAAGAUUAAAUUAAUAUUAGAAAAAAUAAUUGAGUAAUUGGAAAAAAAAAAAAAAGAAGAGUCUAAUUUUCAUUGAAACCCACCGACAAACUAUACGUGUCCAUGGCUUUUGAAUAGUGCAUUCAACGUUUAAUUGUAUGGUCCAGUUCAUUGCAGAUUACAUGGAGUAAAGAUUGCGCUCUUUCCUUUUCACCCCUUUUGGAAUCGAUACUGUGGAGAAUUGGGUUUUUCCCUCCUUUUUUUCUUUUCUUUCCUUCUGUGGUUUGCAAAACAUACGUAAAAAUAUGAAAUCCGAAGCAUUCUUUAAUUGGUAUUAAGUAUUGUUGUUGAAAUUAAAAAGAAAAAAGAAAGAACAACAAAAUUCCCAAUCUGGGUUGAUUGUUGAGCUCUAGAUUGGUUGCAUCGUGCUUCCAUAGAAGCAAGAUUUGUAAAAUCGGAAUCCUACAUAGGAUCGAUUUUAGUUUCACAGGAUCGGAUUGUAAAAUCGUAAGAUCCUACCAAAAGCUCUCAAUUGCAAUUAAAGGUUGCAAUUCUUUAAUAAAUUACAAAUAUACCACAAAUAUUUUCAUUUACUUGCAAAAUGGAGCUUCGUAUUUCACAAAUUUACAAAAAAAUUGUAGGAUCGUACGAUCCUACCGAUCCUACGAUCCUACACGAUCCUACCGAUCCUGCUACGAUUCUAUGCGAUCCUACAAAGAUUAAUAUGAUUUGCGACUCUGCAUACGAUCCGGAUCGAUUUUGGUUAUCCGGAUCGUAGGAUCGUAUGAUCCUACGAUCCGGAUCGCGAUUUUGACAACUAUGCAUAGAAGCUCUCUUAGUGUGAUACACUGCUUUCAAUCAGUUUAACACGGGAAAAAAAAAAAGAGAUGAAAAGCAAAUUUGGUGGAGAUAAUUUCAGAAACCUCCCCUGAAGAUUUUGACUAUUCUACUGGUUUCCCUUCAGAUUUUAAAAAUUACACUAAUCUUCCUUGAAGUUAAUUAUCUUGUAACAUUUAAAUUCAAUCAAUAAUUUAAAAAAUGAUAUUAUGAGAGAGAAAAUAAUAUGAUUUUAUCAUUGCCCCCCAUCUUACUACAUUAUUUAAUUAAUUUAAUAGCAACCCACACAUUAAAGAAAAAUAUUAAAAUUUGUUGUUUAUCAUUAAAGAUCAAAUCGCUUAUAACAUCAAAUAAUAGUAUAUUAUUUAUAUUUUUCACUUAAUAUAAUAUCCAAAUUACUCUUUUCAAUUACAUACCCAUUGUUAGAGAAUCAACAACAAAUAACCAAAAAAUUUGCAACCAAAAUAUUACAAAAAAAAUAAACUUUAACAUCAUAAAUAUUCUUAUCAACAUAUUAAAGUUAGUUACUGAAAUUUUUAUGCUGUUAAACUUCACUCUUUUUGAAUACAGAUUUUUUUGAUUAUUUGUUAUUAAUUAUGUUUGAUGAUGGGUUUAUAAUUGAAAAGAACAAUUUGAAACUUACAUUAAGUAAAAUAUAUAGAGUGAUAUACUAUUUUUUAUAACAUAUGUGAUUCAAUCCUUCUUGAUAGGAUUGGUAAUAGAGGUAGAGGGGGGAGUCGGCUGCAUCCGGUCUUCUUUUCAUAGAUAGUACAAUAUUGCGAAAUCAAUCGCAUUCACACAAUAAUAUUUCGAAGUCAAUGCAUGGCUAAGUUGCAUAAAAGUACGAACACUUGUUAUUAUAUAGCUUAAGAUUCAAAACUUUCGAGCAUAACCCUCCACCCAACACAAUUGAAUAAUGAAUAUUCACGAUUGUCAAAUCUGUCAAAGCACAGUUUGAGGACAACCCAUUCCAACCUGCAAAAGAUUUUUUACUUUUCUAAAGUUGUUGAGAGCUGUAAAAAGACUUACCAUGCUUGCAUCCUCCGAGCCUUGGGAGUUAAAAAUGAAGGCACUGAGUGCUAUAAAAAGGGGAAUAGAGGCUGCCUAGAAGCAUAUCAGCCUAAAACAAGAAUUUGUAGUUAAGAUGGGAAGCAAAGCAAAAGCAAUGGGGUCUGGGCUGACUCCUCUUCUUGCCACUGUUUUAGUGGUGUUUGUUGCUCUUGGCUUGCCCUCACAAACUGCAGCUGAUGAUCACUACAAGUAUUCAUCUCCUCCUCCUCCUUACCACUAUCCCUCACCACCACCACCAGUGCAUAUACCUCCACCUCAUCCUGUUUACAAGUACAAAUCUCCACCACCCCCACCACCACACCCAGUUUACAAGUAUAAGUCACCACCACCACCUCCUCAUCCGGUAUACAAGUAUAAGUCUCCUCCGCCACCACCACACCCAGUUUACAAGUACAAGUCACCACCACCACCUCCUCAUCCGGUACCACACCCAGUUUACAAGUAUAAGUCACCUCCACCACCUCCUCAUCCGGUACCCACAGUUUACAAGUAUAAGUCACCACCACCACCUCCUCAUCCGGUAUACAAGUAUAAGUCUCCUCCGCCACCACCACACCCAGUUUACAAGUAUAAGUCACCACCACCACCUCCUCAUCCGGUGCCACACCCAGUUUACCACUACAAGUCACCACCACCACCUCCUCAUCCGGUACCACACCCAGUUUACCACUACAAGUCACCACCACCUCCUCACCCAGUUUACAAAUACGAGUCUCCACCACCACCAGUUUAUAAGUACAAGUCACCACCACCUCCUCCACCAGUUUACAAGUAUAAAUCUCCUCCACCACCACCACCAGUUUACCACUACAAGUCUCCACCACCUCCUCCCCCAGUUUACAAAUACAAGUCUCCACCACCUCCUCACCACUACUAAGCAAUUGCUUCUGAGGUAAUAACACUUGUUCAAUAUACCCACUUCUGCAUGAUAAAGCAUAUCUCUAUCAACACAAACUGUCAUGUCUAUCAUGCUAAGUGCCUUCACUUCAUCCACCAAAAUGACUGCUAGAAAAUUUUUUUUAUGUUACCAAAGAAAGGCAUCAUUUUUUCCCUCUGUUAUCAAGAACUUGUACAGUAUAUAGAUUAAAGAGUAUUUUUUUAACUAGCUUAUCAACUGAGAAAUGCAUAUAGCUGAUAGCCAGCUGAAUAUUUGCAGGCAAAGGAGAAGGAAACCAUGUUUGAGACCUUCUUGAAGAUGUAGAAGCAUAAGAAUAAAAGCCCAAUGUGAAGAUGAUGAUUUCAAGUUUUUCUACGUUACCAUUUCUUUAUCUAAAUUGGUUGUAGCGCCCAAGUUCCUUUGUUUAUGGGAUUUGUAUCGUUUUACGUACCAUGCAGUACAUGUCAUGUUUGUAAGGUUUUCUAUCCUGCCGGCAAACCGCAGGUUCCAUGUGAUAAAUGAAUACUAUUUAUGUUACGACACUUUUCUCUGUUUCUCUUAUAUUUUGUCUUUAAUAUUCUUAAUCAUAUUUUUAACAAAAAUAUUCAAACACUUAGGCAAUCUGGUCUAAUGCUAAUUGUAUGUUUUACUUUUCUUUUUCACCUGCUCCCCUUUUCAACUCAAAAGGAUGCAAUAGUUUGUGAUCACUGUUUAAGACGGAAGCAUGAUACUAAUGAAUAUCUCAUUGAAACUCAAGGAAACUAACAUUGCGAAAAGUGUAAAUCUUGAUUUGAUGCAACUAUUUAUUCGUGGAAUCUAUAGUUACAAAACUCAAAUUCUGACUGCGCCAUUGAUAAAUUAUUAAUGACGCUAUCAUCAUUAUUUAUCCCUAACUAGUUUCGACUACAACUGAACCCAAUAUUUUCCCCAUGAUAAAAGUUUUUGACUAUUUUACUGGCCUCUCUUCAAAUUUUAAAAAUUACACUAAUCUUCAUUGAGAUUAAUUAUCUUGUAACAUUUAAGUCCAAUUAAUAAUUAAAAAAUGAUAUUAUGAGAGAGAAAAUAAUAUAAUUUUAUCAUUGCCCCCCAUCUUGCUAUAUUAUUUAAUUAAUUUAAUAGCAACCCACACAUUAAAGAAAAAUACUAAAAUUUGCUGCUUUUCAUUAAAGAUCAAAUUGCAUAUGCCAUAAAACAUAGUAUAUCAUUCUAUAUGUUUCACUUAAUGUAAGAUCCCAAUUGUUCUUUUCAAUUACAAACCCAUUGUCAAACAUGAUCAAUAACAAAUAAUCAAAAAAUUUGCAACCAAAAUAUUACAAAAAAAAACUUUAACAUCAUAAAUAUUCUUACCACCUCUAGUGCAUUCACCCUCAUAAAAUAAUUCAAGACCCUACUGUCAUAAAAUGACUGAUCAACUCCUGUAAACCUAAUUUGACAACAUUUAAAUGGAGAACUUUAGCUAAAAGAAUUAUGGUCAAGCUAAAGAAAAAACCAGUUAUUUUCCAACAUAUGCAACCAUUGAUCAGGGGAAAAAAAAAAGCAAAAAGACAUCUUCAAUCAUUUAAUAGCUUACAGGGCAAAUUAACCCUUGAGUGAAAACUGGUUGCUCUAGAAUUAAAAUUUUACCUUAGUUACCCAGGCAACUUUUUUGUUGCCUUUUCUUUUUCUUUUUUGGGUAUAUAGCUCCAGUUUUGCCCCCUCUGUCAAGCUUAUAUAAUUAUUAAGAUAAUAAAAGUGCCUUUAAUAGUAUUAAUAUAUCCAUUGACUUGAGCUGUCAUCGAUCGGUUUGGGCUACUUCGAUUCCAUGAGAACAAAUGGUAAUAAAAGUACUCAGAAAAUGGGGAGUCAUGAAACCCUUUUGUUCUAUUCAUUGCUAAGAUGCUUUUCUCUAUAAAGAGACUUCCUAACGAAAAUACUUUGUAGAUUUCUUUACUCCAAGUGGUGCAUGGAAAAUUAAUAUUUUCAAUUAUCAAAUAAAAUUCCCUUUUUUCGGCGUAGAUUUCAUCCAUCCAGCUGUUAACACAUUCUAUAAAUCCGAAUUGACUAAUCUUUUCGUUUCCAUUUUCCAACUUGCGAAUACGGCAUAUAGUGUCUGCUAAACACUAUAUAUUCUCUGCCAAAUAUGAAUACAUAUCACUUUUCUGAGCAAGUGCAGAGUCAUUAUCAUUUUUAUUCCCACCUAACAAAUUAGGGAUAAAAAAGUUAAUAAUCUUUACAUGCUAUCAGGUCACAAGUUAAUAAUCUUUUAAAGAACAUGUUAAAUUAAUUUAUUGGUAUGAAUAGUAGUCAAAGAAGUAUGUUAAAGUUAGUAAUCUUUAAAAUAAUAUGUUAAAAUCAUUCGUACAAAUUAGUCAGAGAAGUAGCAUAAACACCGCGAUGCAAUUAAUACUUUCAAUCUCAAGGUCUCUAUUAUGGAAAUUUGCAUCGGUCAAUAUACACUUGGCAUAAUAUAAUCUCCCAACUCAUUUCUUUACAAAUGCACCUUUAAUCACCACCAAAAGGUGUGGACAUGAUCUUUACCCUAGAAAACUAUUCACCGACAGGCAAAUUGACGUCAGAAAUACUGAGGAAUUCUAGUUUCCUUCGGGUUCAUGCCAUGUUGUAUCCUUCAACUGUAACUCGAUUUCUAAGCUGUAAUUUGUGACAUAAUAGUCCUUAAACUAUGAAACCCUUCUUACUUAAUUACAAUGGUUAAUACAAUGCCCGUGACUAGACAAGUAUGAAGCAACCAUAACAGAAAAAAAAUCCAAAAUUAGAGAAAAGAAAGAAGUUUCGCGACCACCACCAGUUUACAAGUCACCUCCACCACCUCCUCCAGUUUACAAGUCACCUCCACCACCUUACCAUUAUUCCUCACCACCACCUCCAGUGCAUUCACCCCCACCACCACCAGUUUACAAGUCUCCGCCACCACCUUACCAUUAUUCCUCACCACCACCUCCUGUGCAUGCACCUCCACCACCAAUUUACAAGUCACCUCCUCCAGUUUACAAGUCUCCACCACCACCUUACGAUUAUUCCUCACCACCACCUCCAGUGCAUUCACCCCCACCACCACCAAUUUAUAAGUCUCCCCCACCGCCUCCCCCAGUAUAUAAGUCACCACCACCACCUCCUCCAGUAUACAAAUCACCUCCACCACCUCCUCCAGUUGACAAAUCUCCACCACCACCAAUUUAUAAAUACAAGUCUCCUCCACUACCUCCUCCAGUGUACAAGUCAUCACCACCACCUGCUUACAAGUCUCCACCUCCUCCAGUUUACAGUUCCCCACCACCACCAAUCUACAAGUCUCCACCUCCACCCUACCAUUACUACUACAAUUCUCCUCCUCCUCCUCGUCACUACUAAGCAAUUGUAUCCAAGUUUUUGAGGUAAUAACGCUUAACCAAUAAAUUAACUUUCGCAUGAUAAACCUUAUCUCUAUCAAGACAAACUGCCAUGUGUAUCAUGCCAAAUACGUACACCUAGAUCCAUGAAAAUGAAUGGUAGAAAGUUUUCUUAAGAACCAAGAACAGCAUUAGUAUUCCCUCUGCUUCCAAAAACUUGUGUAUUAAAUAGAUUAAUGAAUUGUUUAACAUGCUCAUCUACUUGAAAAUGCACAAUACCCAUAACCCACUGAAAUUUUUGCAGGAAAAGGGAAAGAGAAUCUGUGUUUGAGAGCUUCAUGAAGAUGUUGAAGAAUAAGAAUAAAAGCCCAAUGCAAGGAUGUUUUCAAGUUUUUCUAUGUUUCCACUUUAAUUUGUAAAUUGAAUUUUGCGACUCAAUUAAUUCCCUGUUUGUGAGGUACGUAUUGUUUUACGUACCAUGCCGUACAUUUUUUUUUUCCAACAAACGGUAUCAUGUUAUAGAUAUUAACACUUGACCUUACAAGGAUUAGUUACAAAAAGGGGAUACUACCCUCAACUCUGUCCUAGCUAAAUCAGUCAGCCAUAUUGGGAAAUUAGUUUCCCAUUCAAUAUCAUGUACAAGCUUCACAGCAUAUUGUGCUAAUUGAUGGCUGAUGUGAUUUUCAGUUCUAGGUAUAAACACAAAAGAACAUUUUUCAAAAGCUAGACUAAGUUCCUGCACAUCUUCUAAGAUAGUUGCAGUCGUGUAGUCAUACUCCUUGCGUUUAGUAAUCUGCUCUACCACUGAUUUGCAGUCUGUAUGGACUAUAAUUUGUGUCCAACCUGCUUGGGUAGCCAUCAGCAGAGCAUUUCUCACAGCCCGAGCUUCCACUUCACUUGCCGAUCCCUUUCCCUGUGUGACAAUUCCUUUUGCUUUCAAAAGCUGUCCUUUCCAAUUUCUUGCUAUAAUCCCUUGUCCGGUCCUGACUCGUUUAGCUGAUAUCGCUGCAUCGGUAUACAGCCUUAUCUCUUCCUUCCUUGGCCGCACUCUCCUGGUAGGUAAGGCAUCAUUCAGCUUCCCUGCGAUCUCCUUCUGGUCUGUACUCCCUACCUGUUCAAACUCAAGCCAUUCCUCCUGUGCUUUCCUUACUAUUUUUACUGGAUCCUGGUUGGCUUGUUCAAAAAAUUUUUUGUUCCUGGCUUUCCAAAUUUGCCAAAGGAUAUUGAUAGUAAGACUAACUCUCUCCUGACCUUGGUUCAGUGCCAGCGAUUGUGUGACUUGUUCCCACCAUAACCAAAAGUUAUAUUGCAUACCCAGUAAUCCAUCCCACCUGACCGGUGCUAGCUUCCACGUUUCCACAGCCUUUUCACAGAAGAAAAACAAAUGCUCAAUAGUUUCCAUAUCUUCACCACAGCAACCACAUCUGCCUUCCCCUCUAUGUAGCCUUUUCGACAUCUGUUCAUUGACUGGCAGACAAUUUUGUAAGCACUUCCACAUGAAGUGUUUUAGUUUGGCCUUCACCUUCAAAUGCCAUAGCUGCUUCCACACAUUUCGUUUUCGUAUCUCCCAACUUGUUUCUGCCUCUUGGCCUGUCCUUGUACCUGCUUUUCCUUCCCGUUGCCUUGCUAAAGCAUAACCAGAUUUCACGCUAUAAAUUCCAGCUUUGGAAUGCCCCCAUACCAACCUAUCCUUUCUUCUUCCUAUACUUGUUGGAAUUCCCUUUAUGUGCUCUGCAUCUUUUGCACAAAACCACUUGAGAAGCAAAUCAUUUUUCCAUUUCCCUUCCUCUAUCAGCUCACUUACCCAUUCCAACUUGCAUCCCACAGGUUGUGUGGUUGAUGCAAAGCCGGUAUCUGAACCAACUAUCCAUCUGUCCCGCCACAUGUUGACUGACUUGCCAUCUCCAAUUCUUUUCCAAAGACCAUCAUACAGAAAGGAGGCUGCACUAUGAAUACUCUUCCAACACCAUGAGGCUGAAGAGACUGGCUUCUUGUCCAUCCAUUUUUCAUCACUCAUAUACUUCGCCUUCAUUACCUUACUUACUAACAAAUUUGGAGCCAUUAAGAAUCUCCAAAUUUGUUUUGCCAGUAAUGCUGUGUUGAAGGCCUCCAAAUCUCUAAAGCCUAAACCUCCUCUUCCCUUAACUUCUAAGAGCUUCUUCCAGCUUGCCCAAUGUACACAGGUACCCUUUUCUCCCUUCCCCCACCAGAAACUCGCUAUUUUACCUGUGAUUUGUCUACACAAACCCCUUGGAAGUCUAAAGCAAGCCAUCACAUAUGUUGGCAUAGCCAUAAUCACUGAUUUGACCAGAAUUUCUUUCCCUCCUUGGCUCAACAGUUUUUGUUUCCAACCUUGCAACUUGUUACUAAUUUUGUUCUGGACAAAUGCAAAGACCUGUGUCUUUGAUCUUCCAAUUGCCAUUGGGAGUCCUAGGUAGGUUCCAUUCCUUGCCUCUUUAAUGUUAUCUAAUACCUCCCUCACUCCAUUCUUCCUUUGAUCAGUGGUAUUUUUGCUAUAGAAGAUAGCUGACUUUUCAAAAUUCACCACCUGUCCGGAUGCUUGACCAUAUCUUUCCAAUAUGCUUUUGACCUUCCUCGCCUCCUGCUUGGUUGCUUGGCAGCAUAGUAGAGAAUCAUCUGCAAAAAAUAGGUGAGAAACCAUCGGACUGUCCUUGCAUAUUUUGAUCCCUGUAAUUUCCUUGUUCAUCAUAGCUUUAUGGAUCAAACAUGAAAGACCUUCAGCGCAUAUAAUAAACAAGUACGGGGAUAGGGGGUCUCCUUGUCUAAGCCCUCUACUCGGUUGAACACAGCCUACCUUUUGCCCAUUUAAGUUGAAGGAGUAAGUCACAGUAGAUAGGCAAGACAUGAUCCAUUUAACAAAAAUUGGACAAAACCCCAUUUUCAUCAUAACUCUCCCCACAUAUUUCCAUUCGACUCUAUCGUAAGCUUUGGACAUGUCCAGUUUAAGAGCCAUAAAUCCUACCCUUCCCUUUCUCCUAUUUUUCAAAAAAUGCAGGAUUUCAUGUGCAACUACUACAUUAUCAAGAAUUUGACGGCCUGGGAUAAAAGCGGAUUGAGAGGGACUAAUACAAUGAUGCAAGACACCUUUCAAUCUAUUAGCUAUGAUUUUAGAAAUGAUUUUAUACAGGACAUUGCACAAGCUAAUAGGUCUAAAAUGCACCACAGAUUCAGGAGUAUCAACUUUAGGAAUCAACGAAAUAAUAGUAUCAUUCACAGCUUUGAGCAAAUGCCCAGUAUGAAAGAAACUCUUAAUAGCUGCUACCACAUCAUCCUUGAUAAUAUCCCAAUAGUGUUGAAAAAAUAGAGGAGACAUACCAUCCGUUCCUGGUGCUUUAUUAGGGUGCAUCGAGAACAAAGCUUUCCUGAUCUCACUUUCCUCCACUUGUCGUAUCAGUUGUCCAUUCAUAUGACUCGAAAUAGUGCUUGGAAUUUCAGCUAGAAUGUCCUCAAAGCAGUCCGGGUUAGUAGUGGUAAAAAGGUCUUUAUAGUACUCACAAAGUUCCUCCUCAAUCUCAUGUUCCUCCUUGCACCAUGUCCCAUCUUUUUUCUGCAAUAUAGUGAUCUUAUUUCUCCUCCUCUUUGCCAUGACCGAAGAAUGGAAAAAAGCUGUAUUCUUGUCCCCUUCUUUGAGCCACUUGUUCCUGGAUUUUUGACUCCAAAACAUCUCUUCCUCUGCAUAAGCUUUAUUCAAUUGUGCUUUUAGUUCAGCCACUUGUACUCUUUUCCCUUCAUCCUUUCUUGCUUUCACUUCAGCCAAUUUCUCCUUUAACACUUUAAUUCUAACCUUUGAGUUUCCCUGCACCUUUUUCCUCCAAUCCAGAAUAGCCAUGCGACAUUCCUUUAUUUUUGUAGCCACUCUAAACAUCCUGGACCCUGACUUCACCUUUGUCCAUGCUCCUUGAAUCACCCUUUUUGCUUCUGGAUUUAGCGUCCAUCGUUGAUCAAAGUAAAAUCUCCGUUUUCUCCUUGUGUUUUCCGGGUUUGUAUCCACAAGAAGCAUUAGAUGAUCAGAGGCUUCAGUAUCUAAAUGAGUACACUGUGCCUUUUCAAAUCUUUGCAGCCAUUCGGUGCUGCAUAAACAUCUAUCCAACCUCUCUUUCACUUCCCCAUCCCCCUCCCAACUAUUGCACCAAAUCCACGGGACCCCUUGAUAACCUAAGUCAACCAGGUUAUUGUCUUUGAUAAACCUGUUGAACUCCCUAAAACAUCUUUCAGCUCUAUCCCUUCCUCCCCACUUCUCCUCACUAGACCUCAAAUCAUUAAAAUCUCCUACAAUGAUCCAGCCAUCCCCCCAGUCCCUCAUCCUGUCCUCUAAAUAUUUCCAUUGUGCUUUUCUAAUGUUACUAUCUGUGCUUGCAUAAACACACACUAGCCCCCAGUAUCCUUUAGUAUCCUUGUCCUCAACUCUAGCACUAAUACACCAAUCAGUACUUACAAUCUGGUCUAAAAUCACCUCAUUGUUCCAGAAUAAUGCUAGACCGCCUGCUUUACCUAUUGAAUUCACAAAAAAGCUAUUGUCAUACUGAAUCUUCCUUUGAACCUUGCCCAUAAACCCUUCCUGAUUCUUAGUUUCACAAAGGAACACCACCUUAGGAGAGUGGAAGUUAGUCACUUCCUUUAGUUGGGGACUUGUCAAGGGGCCUCCUACACCUCGACAAUUCCACACCACAACCUUCAUUUACACUUUGGAGGCUUUCCGGGGCUAGCCUCCAUUUCCCCUAUUGUACUAACAUUUAUUAGAUCCAGUUUCAUAACCUUUACCUUCGGUACAUUAUCAUCAUCCUCCUCUAUCGGUUGUGUUCCCUGAAACAUACCAUCAGCCUUCCUUUUAGCACACGAAACCUGCGUUACUUGUCCAUUUGUAUCUGCCUUUAAGGAUGUUUUAGCCGGCCUCCCUCUUCUUUUAAAACUGCUUCUUUUUUCAGCUUUGUUAUCUUCUUCCCCUGGAGUAGCCUCCUUUCUUGGCAUUCUUGCAUUUGUCUCCUCCUGCUUUAUUGACCCUACCCGCAAACUUUCACAUUCCUGUUUUGAGCUGUCCGUUUCCAUAUCCUCAUAAUCUACUGGUGGGAUUACGCUGCUCCCUCCUUUACUCCCUUCCUGUACCCUACCCUCCUUUUCACCAUUUCCCUCCAUUAAGACCACAGCCAAACUUUCCACCCGUUGGUUUGCCUUUCCAUACUGCCUGCUGUCUUUUAGAAUCUCAUCCCACCUCUCUUCAUAUUGUCUCGUCAUCAUUUUCUCCUUAUCCCCCCUUUCCUUUCCCCCCAAGACUCUACCAUUUUUUCCCCCAAGAGUUAAUGUAUCUCCAGCCAUUUGUACUCCAGUUUGAACUUCACUACUAGGAGACCCUGCCCCCACCCUCCUUGCAUCAAUUUCACUUACUCCUUCCAGCCGUCCCUUUAAGGGAGAUACCAUUAUAUUUCCAGCUCUCAUCCAGGCACCAUAUUGUUCCUCUCGCUUCUCCCCCCCACCCUUCCUACCACAGUACAAGUCCUAUCACUAUGCCCAAUGAUACCACACCUAUAACAGAAAUCAGGGCAGCGUUCAUACCUGAACUCAACCCACACUGCCUGGUUCUUACAGUUGAUCUUUGUCCCUCUAACCAGUGGUUUCGUUAUAUCUACCUCAGCCAUAAUCUUCAUGUGGCGACCCUCUUUCCCACCACUUCCUGGGAGAAUCACUCCCCUCACUGAUUUAAAGAUCCCUCCUAUUUUCAAACCCACUGCUCUGCUCAACCAGUGCACCGGUAGGUUCCAUAGUUGAAUCCAAAGAAAGGAAUGCUGGAAAAAGCUGCUGUUUGUAUCAUACCCCUCUACCCACUCCUUCACUAUCAGCAACUGGUUGUCCAUGACCCAAGGCCCUCCAGAUAAGAUCUUUUUCUUUUCCCCUUCAUCUCCCAGAUGGAAAUGGAAUAAGUUAGGACCUAACUCAGUCACUUUCAUCUUUGAGGGGUAUCCCCAUGCAUGAUUUGUAAAGUUCUUUAACCCCGUAAAGUUGGCAAUUUUUUCACCAAUCAGCUUUCCUACCAGGCUUCCUUGACACUCAGAGACGCCUUCUUCCAGGUCCUCACCACUCAGAUCGACACCUCCUAACUCUGUUUCAGACAAGUCAAAAUUUUGAAAGGCUCUUUCUAAAGCAUCCGCCAUUGCUGUGACGAGAGCUCCUUGAGAAACCAAGCACUAUUUCUGAGCUAUGAGUGACCCACUGACAGACCUGUGAAGAAUUGCAAAGACAGACAAAGCUGUGUUAUCCGUACACACUAAAAACCAACCAGAAAAACAGAGAGGAACUCGACAGAAAAAGCACAGGCACAAGAAGAAACGAAAGAAAAAAGAAAAACCAACAAACCACUAUCCCACUCCCGACCACAUAACAGCAUUAAAGAAAGGGACACAAAUACGACACUCCAACUUCCGAUCACAUGCUCUGACUCAAUGGAUCAUAUCUUGCCCAAAGCGUUUACUCCUCCAACCGAUUCCAAACCACUACAGACAUUGUCUCCCAUUUUGAAGCCGGAAGAAAGGUGGCUUCUGGACAGGGAACAUGAAAGCAAAGGUUGAACUAAAGAUUUGAUUUUAGAUCUGAAAAUUACGCUGUAGGAAAAAGUGCUAUGUGUUUGUACCUCACCCACUCUCCCACACCGAGGAGGGGAACCUCUAAAGUUAGAGAGAGAAGCUCUCAAGUUAGAGAGAAGCUUUGGAAGUUAAUUACCAACGUACCAUGCCGUACAUGUUUGUAAGGAUUUCUAUCCUAUUGGCAAAAGUCGGUUCCAUACAAUUAAUCAAUUCAUUUCACUUCUAUUGGCUCUACUAUUUAUGCAUGUUACGACACUCUUUCCCUUAUAUUUUGCCUUUAAUAUUAUGAGUCAAUAGUAAUAAUGGGCCUUUUUCUUAAAAUUAUACUAUUAUACAUAGGUAGUUUGGUCUAACGCUAAAUUCAUGUUUGUCUUUCUUUUAUUCCCUUUACAUCUCAAAGUAUACUAUAGUUUGUAAUCAUUGUGGUGAUGAUAUUACCAGCUGGUACUUAUAGUUUAAGGCAGAGACAUGAUAUUAACAACUAUCUCAUUGAAACAUAAGUCAAAAUCAUGACAAGUGUGAGUCUUGGUUAAUGCACAAUUUGUUAGUGGAAUUUAUAUUUAUAAAACUCAAAAAAAAUUUUUGACAAUGCUAUUACUAAUUAAUUAAGGACUUCAUUGCUAUAAUUUAUCGCUUACUAAUUUAAACUAUAAAUGAUCUCAAUACUUUUCUCCAUGAUGUCGAUUUCUUUAGACUACGAAAGGGAAAAAUUAGUGACAUAUCCCUUACUGAUUACAACAUCAGCAAAAAUUAGUUAUAAACUUUUCCGGUGGUUUUAAAUCCCUCGGGCACUAAGGUUUUUUGCACAUCGAGUGAAUUAAGGAACAUAGGCAAUUCGUUCUGCAUACCAAGUCCUUGUUUAAGAUGCACGUACUAAAAUGCAUCCACUUCAUUAAUUUGGAAAAUUGCCAUAGUUUUUUUUAAGCAUUUUGAUUUUUUACAUGAUUCAAAAUUUUCUUAUUGGAUACAAUCACUUUGUGUCAAGAACACAUUUUCAAUCAUCUUUUUUAUCUUCUCAAUAAGAAAAUAAAAAUUUAUUCAUGCUUUUCUAACAUAUCCAAUCAUUGAUCUGAAAAAUAAAGAAUUAAAAAAAAAAGACAUUUUCAAUCAUUGCUUACGGGGCAACUUCCCCAUGUGAACCUCAUCAAACAAAGCCAAUAAUAUGAAGGAACAUCUAAAUACACUUUUGCCCUAAAGGCUGGUUGCCUUGGGGUCAAAAUUUAACCUUCGGGAGUAUAAUUACCCGCCAAAUUUAUUAUUUUUUUUAUGGGUAUAUAGUUCCAAUUUUGCCUCCUGUUAAGCUUAUAAAUAUAUUACGACCCAGAAAAUAAAGGAAUCUUGAAUAGUAACAUGUCCAUUGACUUGAGUUGUUAUCAAUUUGGCUACUUCGAUUCCAUGAGGCCAAUCCAAUUCACACUAGCUAGAGAAAAUGGUGAUAAAGGCACUUAGAAAUUUAUAUGUAAUAUUGAUUGGUAGUAACUGAUAAGUAUAUAUUUUACGUGUUUUAAAUAUGUUUUAUUAGUUAGUUUUGGUGUGUUUUAACUACUUUUAUAACUAAUUAACUAGGAAUCUAGUGAAAAUAUGCAUUUUGUGGUUUGAAGUGUAAAAAUUGUAUUUCUAUGGAUUUUAAUGGUGAAAACUUCAUGUUUUUGUAGGUUUAAUGAUUCAAUCAUCAAAUGACAUGAUUUGAGAAGAUAAUUAGAUGAUUGAUGAUGUUUUGAAGUGAUAAAAAGAGAAUACAAAGUGCAAGAGAGGAAAUGCAAUCAAGAAUAAAAGAAGAAAAUUUUUGUAGCUUUGACAUAUUGUCGUAUUUCGGCAAUAUAUUGAGCUACAAUGAUCGGAUUAAGGUGAUUCUUAAACCAUUUGAAGCUAAAAUAUAGAUCUACAUUUGGCAUGAAGGCAUCGAAACCCAUGUCAGUCAUUUUCCUUGUCAAAAUGUUGAAAUACAGAAGUGCAACUCUGUUCUCGAAAGCUAAAACAGAGCUCUGGCUAGUCGAGGGUAUUUUCAUCAUUUCUUAGUCCACAGAGCUCCAAAUGAGAUGAUUCUUAAGGCAUUAGAACCCUAACUCAAAGAGCUACAACUUUCAUAUUUUGUACAAGAGUUAGUUCGGCCUCUAUCAUUAAGAAAAUAGUAGUUGAAGUGGUGCCAAAUGCAUAGAAGUGAAAACGCGAGCUAUCAAUACUCGACCUGAAGUCGCGUAUUCCUGAGGUCAUGCAUUCUCUUCUAUUUUCUGCAACUUGCCCUGCUUUCACAUAACUUUUUCAUCUCAAUUCCAACUAUCAAUUUCGGCUAUAUCUGAUCAAGAAAAGUGUGGAAAGUUUGAAAGACAACUCAUAGGAGUUUCAAGAGUCAAAAAUUACAAUUAGAAACAACUCAUUUGGCUCUUGAAUCCUCUAUAAAUAGAGGCCUUUGAAGAACAUUUUCACAACUUUGGAAGGUUAGAGAAACUCCACAAAAACAUAGUCUUCACUAGAAUUUCCUUAGUUCAUUAGUUAGGGUAGUAUAGUAUAGUUAGUGUAGCUUUUCCUUCUUGUAUUUAUAGUUAGGUUUGAAUGAAGAUUCAGGAGCAAAGAUAGAGAGGUUGAUCUCAUGUGACAAGGGUGAUAUCUCUUCUACUACUUUCUCUUUUGUAUUUGAUUUCAUAUUUAACUAUACUACAAAUUUGGCUUUGUUUUUUUUUUUUUAUCAUGUUUAGUUAAAGUUUAUGCCUAGAGUAUGGAUGACCUUUUUAUAUCUUGUUUGUGAUAUUUAACUGGUUAUUUGAUGAUGUUAUUUUUGAGCAAGUUAUUUAUCACUUUUGCUUUUCUAAUCAUGAUUAACUGGCCAUUAGUUGUGAUUAUCUAAAAGUGUUAAGUUUGUAAUGAGAAUUGGAGUUUAACACUAGUUCAAGGAAGUGAUAAAUUUAGGGAGUUCACUCAUGAGAGUAGAGGAACACCUUUGUGACCUAAGUGACUUGUUUCAUAUAAUUUCAUAGAAAAAAUGAACUUGUAAUUAAUUUCAUAACCACGAGAGUAAGUAUGGUUUAGCUAUAUGUAUAGUUGAUUCACUACGAGAGUAGGUUUCACAUACAUUAGAAAAUUACAUCAUAACUAGUCAAGAUAAUAUCAUUCAUUUAAUCAGUAAUCUCAUUUGCAUGAGUAGUAAGGCAUUCCAUAUCUCUAGGAGGUUUUUAGUAUUAUUUUCAUUACUUUUAUGUUUAUGGUAGUCUAGAUAAUAAUGGAGUUCGAAAACUACUAGUAAUUGAAAAUUUUCCCUGUGGGAUCGACCUUUAAUACCCUAUACUCGCUCUCGACUCGUAUACUUGAGAAAAAUCACGUGUGCGGUAUUUAGAAUUUAUAAAUGUAAAACUUGACUGUAGAUGAACUAAUUGAUAUAUGUAUACCCCGCACUCGUCAGUAACCAGCUUGUAUUGAUCCCACUAUUGUGGAUAAUUGUGCUCUUAUGAAAAAAAAUUAUAAAAAAAUUAGCAAAAUUUAUGAUAACAAAUUAAAUUUAUUCAUACAAAUCAGUGAAAGAAGUAGAAUUUUAAAGUCCAUGAUGAAAUUAAUACUUUCAAGGGCUCUAUUAGGAAGACUUCACUUGUUGGUGAAACUACACUAGCACAGUUAUAUGCACAUUUACUGUUUUGGUAUCUAAUUUCCUUGCCUUAAGUUGGGUGCAGAUGUUUAUAUUACAAAUAGAUGGUAUCAUAAAAUUGUUGUAUUCACGUUUGUUCUUUUUUUUCUUCCUUAAGUUUUUUUCUUUAUUCUCGUGACUUCAAAAAUACGAACUCAAGAAAUUGGCUGCUUAAUCAAUAUGUCAUACAGGCUUCGCUAGUGAGGUAUAACUUCACAACUAGAGUCAAUAGAAAUUAUCAAAUGAUUUUUUAACAUCCAAAUUAAGCAAUAAAUUUUGUUUUCAUUUUAUGACAUAUAAUAGUACUACUUCAUGAGAGAUUUUAUAGUUUCUUUUAGGUAUCAUACCUACAAGUGAUAUUUGUCAUUGGAUAGUGACAGAAGUGUUAAUGAUUGUAAGAUUAAAUAUUGUUAAAUAUUGAAAUUUAAACUAUUUAUCUUUAUUGAAAGAUACAAGUUAAAGAAUCGUUCAAGGGGGCAAUUUUCCAUCUUGUCUUUUUGAAAAAACGCUAUCACAUUGUAUAGGCAUGAUAGGUUCAAAUUUGUCAUUAAAUUUAUGAUUGAUUUUCCUUUUAUUCAAGCCAAAUAUUGUUUUAAUUAUCAAAUUCUACUUAUAUUUGGUUAAUUGUACUAAUUGUAGGGCGGUAGAGCAAAAGUUGCUAAAAAUAGGCGAUUUUCUGCAAAUUGGUUGUCAAGGCUGAAGGAUUUGGGAUUCGCAUGUUCAAGGCCUGUUUCCAAGUUUGAUUCAAACUCUGGACAGUUUUAGAGGAAGAUUUGGAAGAUUUGAAAUUUCAUUAUUAGUUUUAUGGUUGAAUUAGGAAUCUUGGAAUAAUUUCUUUUGUGAUUUAUUUUUCUAUUUAGGAGACUAGUUGUUAUUUAGUAGUAGACUUCAAUUAGAAAACAAAGAGAAAAAGAAGGCCGGAAUCCCGCUUGAUUAAUACCUUGGCCAGGGAACAAUCUCGGUGGGGAGGACGGCCACUUAGCCUCUCAAUUCAUCUUGCUUUUCGUUAGUUUGAGAGGAAAACCAAUUGCAACUAGAUUCAAUGGAGUCUGGCAGAAUUUCUUCUAGGAUGCGUAGCUAAAUCCUCAAUUUUUAGUCGAAGGUCAAUUUGAAAAUUCGGUUCCAAAUAUCUGUGAAAUCGAAUUAUUUUACUUAUUUCUUUUAUUUAUUGGUAUUCGCACGUUUUCUGAUUUAACUUUUUAUGAUUGUUUUGUUAUUUGAAUGUCAAGGGUCCGAUAUUCGAAUUAACUUAAUAAUCUACUGCCAAAUUAACCGGUUAAAUCCGUAAUUGUUUGAUUGAUUAAUAUCAGUGGCGACUAGCGUGAUUGGUCCCAUGUUAGGAAAACGUCUGAUCUAAUUUAAACAAACCGUCGUAGCGUGUUUGUUGAUUAGGGUUGGGCUUUUCUAAUUCUUAAUUCAAUUGAGAAAUUAAAUCCCCCGGUCGUACCUAGGAUUAUUUUUUUGUUAGCGAAAUAGUUAAUGGUCGUACCUUGACUAUCGAAAAAGUAAGGAAGAGUUGAUUGUUUAUCGCGUGUACGACAACUAUAAUCAAUCUAUUAAUGAGUAAUUGAAUUAUCUUUGCAUCAGUAAUCAGUUGAAUGGACCGUGUCUGAAAAGUUGUACCUUUGGCUAGAGUCUUAUCUGUUGUUGAUUCAUUCAUAUCUAUCUUCAUGCGUUGUUUUAAUUUAGUUAAUUAGUUAUUUUUAUAAAAACCCCUCAUCUCUGGACUCUAAAAGAAAUAAAUUAUUUCUAGUUCCUGUGGAUUCGAUCCUACUCACCAUACAAUCCAACCUGCAAUUGUAUGAACCCCAAUCUCGCUUCCUAGUCCACCAUUUUUCUCUAGGUAAUAAUCUCCCUUCUAAUUUCUUCACAAAAUGCACCUUUCAUCACCUCCAAUAGCGUCGACAUGAUCUUUACCCCAGAAGACUAUUCACCGACUCUCAAUUGACGUUAGAAAAUCUAAGAGUAAUUCUACUUUACCCUAAGAUUGAUAUCAACAAGACAAGGACAAUUUAGAAUUAUUACACGCCUCUUCUUAAUAGGAAAAAGAAAUAGAGAAGAAAGUCAGGCCAGGUCUAAUUUCUUUUCAAAGGCAAUACAACAUUACGAAAUCAAGCAUUCAUUCAUACAAAUAUUUCAUAGUCACCGGUUUGCUGAGUAGAAAAAUUUAGACAAAAACUUAAUAUUAUAUUGUUUAAGAGUUAACAAUUUAGAGCUUAAUCUCCUUGUACUUUGGAGUUAACAAUUUAGAGCUUAAUCUCCUUGUACUUUGGACUAAACUUGAACGUGAAAGGAAAUCCCAAAACCAUAUUGGGCAUGAAUUCACACUUAAUAUACCCAAUAAAAGAUGGCGACUGGUGAAAGGCAGUGGAGACUGGUGGAGAGAUUUGAGGAAUAGAAGCAGACGGAAAAGCAACAAAUUUUUGCCGAAAAACGGUCACUUUCAUGGUUAAUUUUGCUACUCUCCAAUUGUACUUGACCAAUUACAACAAUUUCAUGGAGUUUGAUACGUGAAAAGAAUUUUUUAUAAAUUUUAUUUUGAUCCAUAAUGUUAUCUUUACAUAUAUAAAACAUUUUACAAUUUUGAUUUUGGCGCAGUUAACUUUUGGUAAACAAAAAUGCUCAUGUUUAAAAAACCGGAAAUAAAACAAAACAAGAAACAAAAGAAAUAAGAGGGUAGCAUAGACAUUUUGGAUUUUUCCGUUAAUUUGGAUGAUUUCCACCCACGUUCUAAUUUAAUCCAAAACACAAAGGAAUUACGUAGAGGUUUUAAAUAAUGAGGGAGCUUCAUGAUCGAACCCCAAACCACAAGGCGAUUUACUAUAUUUUACUCUUAAAUUUUGGUUUCAUCUCAUAGCAUACAAGAGUUCUAUUUCACUAUCUGUAGACAAAGACUUUCUAUGGUUGAUGUACCAUAGGAAAAAAUCUGCCUAUACAACGUGAUAGCAUUUUUUCAAAAACACAAGAUGGAAAAUUGCCCCCUUAAACGGGGAAAUUCAUGAUCUUUCCUCGAACAAAGAAUACUCACGCCUAUUCAAGAUGGAAAAUUGCCCCCUUAAACGUCUAUUUGUCAAUUCUUGAAAAAAGAAUACUCACGCCUAAAACACGGCCUCUUCAUCUGCAGAAUUCUAAAAAGUUAGGUAAACUCUAUAAACAAGUUGAUAGGUACAAUCGUACCCAAGAUCAAGUACAGAUAGUUGUACAUUCACUGCUGCAAUAACUAAUCUGAUGACUUACAAACAUAUCAUGGUCAAUCGUUGAAUGGUAAUGAGUCUUUUGUUAUGCAUUAGUAUUAGUGUGUACACUCUAAUAGAUUGAUACUUAUACUCUUUAAAUUAUCAUAAUAAUACCCUUAAUUAACUUUAACUCUUAAAAAGAAUACGUGUUAAUACACGAGAGUGUGUAACCUGAAUUGUUACUUAUACAUUAGUGUGUAAUAGAUAGGGAUGGCAAUGGGGGCGGGUGCCCGCAGGCAACCGCCCCGCGGGGGGCUCUCGGGGCGGGGAGGGGGGAAUUUUUUCCCCCCGUUUAGAAACGGGGCAGGGGACGGGGGAGUAUACCCCCGCCCCAUCCCCCGCAAAAAAAAUUAUAUAUAUAUAAUUAUAUAUAAUAUGUAAUUUAAUUAGUUAUAAACUUAUGAUAAUGAUAUUAUUAGUUAGAUGUAUUAUAUAAUGUAUAUUAGUGUAUGUAAUAUAAUUAAUAUUAUCAAUUAUACGAAUAAUUAGACAUGUCUACUAAUAGAAUUUAUUAAUUAGUUAUACUAAAUUUACUAAUACAUUUAUACUAAAUUUCUAAUUACAUUUAAUAGAAUAACACUUUUUUCUAAAAAAAAAAGCACAAACACAAUAAUGAAUUAGUGAUUGUAUUUUUACCAAAAAUGAAAACUUAACUAUUUUAGUUGCAUUUAUUUCAUCAUGUUGGAUUGUAUUCAAAUAAUUUUUGUUUGAUUGUUUUUAUGAGUUUCAAUUGUAAAAUUAAAAUGAAUAAUAACUUGAUGAAUAAUAAUGUCAAUCGUUGAAUGGUGUGUACACUCUAAUAUUAUGCAUUAGUAUUAGUGUGUACACUCUAAUAGAUUGAUACUUAUACUCUUUAAAUUAUCAUAAUAAUACCCUUAAUUAACUUUAACUCUUAAAAAGAAUACGUGUUAAUAACUCUUAACCUGAAUUGUUACUUAUACAUUAGUGUGAAAUAGAACGGCAAGCAUUGAGCAACUUAUAGGAGAAAUAGUCCUAUAAGCUGUUGGAUGACUAAUAUAGCUCUAGCUGUAAUGUUUUAAUUAAAUUACAUCACUAACGUUGGGAUGACUAAUGGUUUAAAAAUAAUUGAGUAAUUGGAAAAAAAAAAAGAGACUAAUUUUCAUUGAAACCCACCGACAAACUAAACGUGUCCAUGGCUUUUGAAUAGUGCAUUCAACGUUUAAUUGUAUAGUCCAGUUCAUUGCAGAUUACAUGGAGUAAAGAUUGUGCUCUUUCCUUUUUCACCCCUUUUGGAAUCGAUACUGUGGAGAAUUGGGUUUUUCCCUUCUUUUUUUCUUUUCUUUCUUUCUGUGCUUUGCAAAACAUAGGUAAAAUUAUGAAAUCCGAAGCAUUCUUUAAUUGGGAUUAAGUAUUGUUCUUGAAAUUAAAAAGAAGAAAGAAAGAACAACAAAAUUCCCUGAUUGGUUGCAUCGUGCUUCCAUAGAAGCUCUCUUAGUGUGAUACACUGCUUUCAAUCAGUUUAACAUGGAAAAAAGAAAGAGAUGAAAAGCAAAUUUGGUGGGGAUAAUUUCAGAAACCUCCCCUGAAGAUUUUGACUAUUCUACUGGUCUCCCUUCAGAUUUUAAAAAUUACACUAAUCUUCCUUGAAGUUAUAACAUUUAAAUUCAAUCAAUAAUUUAAAAAAUGAUAUUAUGAAAGAGAAAAUAAUAUGAUUUUAUCAUUGCCCCCCAUCUUACUACAUUAUUUAAUUAAUUUAAUAGCAACCCACACAUUAAAGAAAAAUAUAAAAUUUGUUAUUUAUCAUUAAAGAUCAAAUCGCUUAUAACAUCAAAUAAUAGUAUAUUAUUUAUAUUUUUCACUUAACAUAAUAUCCAAAUUACUCUUUUCAAUUACAUACUCAUUGUUAGACAAUCAACAACAAAUAACCAAAAAAUUUGCAACCAAAAUAUUACAAAAAAAAAUAAACUUUAACAUCAUAAAUAUUCUUAUCAACAUAUUAAAGUUAGUUACUGAAAUUUUUAUGGUGUUAAACUUCACUCUUUGUAAUAUUUUGGUUACAGAUUUUUUUUGAUUAUUUUUUAUUAAUUAUGUUUGAUGAUGGGUUUGUAAUUGAAAAGAAUAAUUUAAAACUUACAUUAAGUGAAAUAUAUAGAGUGAUAUACUAUUUUUUAUAACAUAUGUGAUUCAAUCCUUCUUGAUAGGAUUGGUAAUAGAGGUAGAGGGGGGAGUCGGCUGCAUCCGGUCUUCUUUUCAUAGAUAGUACAAUAUUGCGAAAUCAAUCGCAUUCACACAAUAAUAUUUCGAAGUCAAUGCAUGGCUAAGUUGCAUAAAAGUACGAACACUUGUUAUUAUAUAGCUUAAGAUUCAAAACUUUAGAGCAUAACCCUCCACCUAACACAAUUGAAUAAUGAAUAUUCACGUUUGUCAAAUCUGUCAAAGCACAGUUUGAGGACAACCCAUUCCAACCUGCAAAAGAUUUUUUACUUUUCUAAAGUUGUUGAGAGCUGUAAAAAGACCUACCAUGCUUACAUCCUCCGAGCCUUGGGAGUUAAAAAUGAAGGCACUGAGUGCUAUAAAAAGGGGGCUAGAGGCUGCCUAGAAGCAUAUCAGCCUAAAACAAGAAUUUGUUGUUAUGAUGGGAAGCAAAGCAAAAGCAAUGGGGUCUGGGCUGACUCCUCUUCUUGCCACUGUUUUAGUGGUAUUUGUUGCUCUUGGCUUGCCCUCAGAAACAGCAGCUGAUGAUCACUACAAGUAUUCAUCUCCUCCUCCUCCUUACCACUAUCCCUCACCACCGCCUCCAGUGCAUUUACCUCCACCAGUGUACAAAUACAAGUCCCCACCACCACCUCAUCAUGUUUACAAGUACAAAUCUCCACCACCCCCACCACCACACCCAGUUUACAAGUAUAAGUCACCACCACCACCUCCUCAUCCGGUACCACACCCAGUUUACAAGUAUAAGUCACCACCACCACCUCCUCAUCCGGUAUACAAGUAUAAGUCUCCUCCGCCACCACCACACCCAGUUUACAAGUAUAAGUCACCACCACCACCUCCUCAUCCGGUACCACACCCAGUUUACAAGUAUAAGUCUCCUCCGCCACCAGUUUACAAAUAUAAGUCUCCUCCACCACCACCUCCAGUGUACAAGUACAAGUCUCCACCACCACCAGUUUACAAGUACAAAUCACCACCACCUCCUCCCCCAGUUUACAAAUACAAGUCUCCACCACCACCAGUUUACCACUACAAGUCACCACCACCUCCUCACCCAGUUUACAAGUACAAAUCUCCUCCACCACCAAUUUACCACUACAAGUCACCACCACCUCCUCCCCCAGUUUACAAAUACAAGUCUCCACCUCCUCCUCACCACUACUAAGCAAUUGCUUCUGAGGUAAUAACACUUGUUCAAUAACACUUGAUAGCCAGCUGAAUAUUUGCAGGCAAAGGAGAAGGAAACCAGUGUUUGAGACCUUCUUGAAGAUGUAGAAGCAUAAGAAUUAAAGCCCAAUGUGAAGAUGAUGAUUUCAAGUUUUUCUACGUUACCAUUUCAAUAUCUAAAUUGGUUGUAGCGCCUUAGUUCCUUUGUUUAUGGGAUUUGUAUCGUUUUACGUACCAUGCAGUACAUGUCAUGUUUGUAAGGUUUUCUAUCCUGCCGGCAAACCGCAGGUUCCAUGUAAUAAAUCAAUACUAUUUAUAUUACGACACUUUUCUCUGUUUCUCUUAUAUUUUGUCUUUAAUAUUCUUAAUCAUAUUUUUAACAAAAAUAUUCAAACACUUCAGCAAUGGUUCACCUAGUUGAUCAUCGAAGCAGAGGCAAUUCCAAUUAUUUAUCAAUAAAUAGGAUAUAACUACCAAACAAGCGAUGGCAGUUAACCCCUCCUUACUGUGUCGGUGAUCAAGGUACGCCCGUUAAUCACUGCUCUAAUUGAGAAAUAAUCCUAAGUACGCCCGUAGAAUUUAAUUCCCCAAUUGCCUUACAUAUUAGAGGAGCCCUAUUCUAACCAAAUAACGCACUAUCAGGGUUAUUUUAGAUUAGCCCGCGUAUUCCCCUGACAUAAAUCUAAUCAUGCCAGUUGUCAUUAUUUUGAGGUAAUUAAACAAUUACGGAUUUAACACCUCAAUUGACAAUAGAUUAUUAAAUUAAUUAAUUAUUCGGAUCCAAGACAAUCAAUUAAUUAAACAACCAUAAGCACUACAAUCAGAGAAUAUGCAAAUACCAAUAAAUAAAUAAAAAAUAAAAUUAAAUCGAUCUCACAAUUUUUAGGCGAAUCAGAGCAUCCGUUGUCCCUUGACUAGAGCAAGGAAAUUAGUUCAUAUUUGAUGAACUAAACCCAUACAAAAGGGAAGCGAGAAAUGCAGCCAUUAUCCUUUGAAAUCUGGAAAAUUCAACUUGUCCGAAUAUCGAAUAGAUAGUAAUACUACAAAAGGUAAUUCAUAGCUUCCCUUUCGUCUGACACACAAGAAGAAAAAAAAGGGCUGCUAAUAACUAAAGGAGGAAAAGUCAAAGUCCUAAGCUAUGCUACAAGACGAAAAACUAAAGAAGACAAAAAGGCAGUGCUCAUUCCCUGCAAUCUCAAUUCCUAUUCUAUCUAAGUGCUCUCCAAUGUGCGGCGGCUCCCCUUCCGGAGAGGACGAAGUGGCACCCUUUUUUCCUGCGCAAUUUUCCUAUAUAAAGUAGUGCUCCUUGCAGCGGCUCCUGUGCGAAAAAAUGAAGACUUCGGCCCAAUUUGCCUAACAAGGGCUCACGUUUUGUUGUUCUAAAAAUGUCCCUAGGACAAACUCUAUCAUCUGAACUCUUUUCUUGCCAAAUUAGUACCUGUUAUUAUAUUUUCGUUCUACUCCCUGAAAUAAAUGCAAAAUAUCAAAAGUGAGUAGAAUCUAGCAAUUAAUCCACAUUAGGUCAGGUAAUAGGGAAAAUUAAUAAUAAAAUAAAUGAUAAAAUUGCAAUCUAUCACGGGACCACUGUGGUAAGGUGUGUUUCGCCUAUUAUAAGGAGUUCGGAGAGUUAGACGUGUUGGAGGCGGAGGCGCGGUCACUCCUGCACGCCCUCCAGCUGUGUGCAGAUCGCGAGGUACGGGCGUUGACUGUAGAAUCUGAUUCAAAGGUGCUUGUUCAACUAGUUUGCUCGGAUAUGAGGUCGAAGUGGCCGGUGUGUAUCGUAUUGCGGGAAAUAAGACAUUUGAUCCGGCGGAUGGGUGCAUCCCUUCAUCAUAUAUUCCGUGAGGCCAAUUCGGUGGCGGACGCAUUGGCUUCUCUGCAAUUGGGAGGGCAGCAGUACUACACCUCAGGCGUGGCGCUGCCUUUCAGGCCCAGAGGAGAGGCUCUGCUGGAUCGUCAAGGAGUACCUCGCAUCCGUGAGGCGCUCACUAAGGUUUGAUAGGCUAUGUCCUCCUUUCAAAAAACUUAUUUCAUCUACUCCUUGUAAUCAUUUUUCUUAUCAAUAAAUUGAGGCUUUUUAUUUAAAAAAAAACAUAUAAUUUAAGGCAAAAAUAUGAUCCUAGCGAGUAUCGCACUGAGACAUUAGGAAACAUCAUUAAAAGAGUAUUUCUUGAGUUAGUGCAACUAUUUCUUAGGGGAAUUUAUAGUUACAAAAUUCAAAAAUUUGAGAUUCUAUUACUGAUUAAUUAAGGGCGUUAUCACUAUUUUUCUUAUUAUCACCAUUAUUUACCCCACAUACUAUAAGUUUUUUUAGGGCACAGGAAAAGAGGUGGGCCGAUGUUUAGUUAUGUACAAAAGUUCAAAAUUUGUAGAUAACUUAUCAUGUGCCCUUAGAGCGUAGAAUACAGAAAAAAUAUCUUAAACUAUAACUAAUCCUAAUAUUUUUCUCUAUGAUAAACUAGCUCUUAUCCAUUUCUUUAGAUGAUGAAAGGAAAUAGUUAGUCACCUGUCCUCUAGUGAUUACAACAGCAUCAAAACAAAUUAGCACUCUUUUCCCGUAGUUUAAAAAUCCCUCAGCCACUAAGAUUUUGCAUGUCGAACGAAUUAAGGAACAUAGAAGGUUCGUGCUGCACCACAGUGUCCUUGUUGACGAUGCAAAGACAGAAAUGCAUCCGCGUAUACUUCCUUAAGCAUUUUGAUUACUUUAUGAUUCGAACUUUUCUUGUCUGACAGCUGGACUUAAUUGAAAAACACAAGUAACAAUAUUUCAAAGUUGAUUCGUCAAAGUUUACCCAAUUGGUGAAACUUUCUUCAUAGAGCUGACUUUGUAUUAGGUGACAAUGAUAUGGAAUUGAUGUCCUUCCCUUUUUCCUUUUUUUGUGUUGAAGACGCACAACGUUUUCAAUGGCAAAUUUAUAUGGGCUUUUCACGACAAAAUGUGUUCUGAAAAGUUCAUUCCAGAGGUUAAAAUUUUGUGUGUUAAAAAUUUGCUUCUCAGGACUUUGAUGGGAAAGUCUUGGUGUUUCCAAAAAGUUUAAGCAGGAUGCUUCUGGCUUUCUCUCCAUGUAUUUGUGAGUUAGAUCUAAAAUUAUCAGGGCUCCAGAGAUCUCUUGAAAUCGCAGCAUAUAUUGAAGUCUUUCCAGAAGGAGUCUUUUUUUUUUUUUUUAUGAAUUAUGAUAGAUAAUUAAUCUGACGGUGCAUAUAUAUAUAUAUGUGAUUUGCAGUAGGGUGUUUGACGAAAUGGUUAGGCUUCCUAAGUAAUGAUAGGAAUGCCAUUUGCAAAGAAGGACAGGGGGCUGGUGCUGUCAUAUUUUAUGCGAUUUGAUCCGUUGUUGUAUAAGUUUAAACUUUUGACGUGCAAUUGUGCUAUAAUAUUAUACUAAAUAUAUGUGUGAAAUAUUUUGUCUAUAUACAUCACUUUUAUCAUGAAUACAACAGCUGAGUAUAAUAAUAUAGUAUAAUGUAAUUGUACACCAAAUAAUGUAGCAAAUAUAACAAUUGAUCCGAAUUACACGGAACCAUAACAACAAGAUCACCGCCUCCCAAAUUUUACAAAAUUAGGUUUUUUUUUUUUCUCUUAGAUUAUUGAAAAUUUUCAAAAAUAAUCUACAUAAUUUAAGCUUUUGUCCUACAAAAAUUUGAAGAGAUUUUACAUUACAAGCUUAAGCUUAGAUAUAUUAAACUUUGCCCCCAAGAUUAAUUUUCCGUUUUUAUCUAUGAACCGAUCCAUAUAGCUAGUUAGACUGUAGUCCUCACAUUUGUGGGAUUUAACACCCAAGAUUCUCCUUCUUGGAAUGUAAAAUGUAGAUCUUCUAUGUUAAUAAUUCAAGACCCUACUGUCAUAAACGAAAUGACUGAUCAACUCCUGUAAACCUAAUUUGACAACAUUUAAAUGGAGAACUUUAGCUAAAAGAAUUAUGGUCAAGCUAAAGAAAAAGCCAGUUAUUUUCCAACAUAUGCAAUCAUUGAUCAGGAAAAAAAAAAAAAAGCAAAAAGACAUCUUCAAUCAUUUAAUAGCUCACAGUGCAAAUUAACCCCUAAGCGAAAACUGGUUGCUCUAGAAUCAAAAUUUUACCUUAGUUACCCAGGCAACUUUUUUGUUGCUUUUUUUUUUUUCUUUUCCUUUUUGGGUAUAUAUAUAGCUCCAGUUUUGCCCCCUCUGUCAAGCUUAUAUAAUUAUUAAGAUAAUAAAAGUGCCUUGAAUAGUAUUAAUAUAUCCAUUGACUUGAGCUGUCAUCGAUCGGUUUGGGCUACUUCGAUUCCAUGAGAACAAAUGGUAAUAAAAGUACUCAGAAAAUAGGGAGCCAUGAAACCCUUUUGUUCUAUUCAUUGCUAAGAUGCUUUUCUCUAUAAAGAGACUUCCUAACGAAAGUACUUUGUAGAUUUCUUUACUCCAAGUGGUGCAUGGAAAAUUAAAAUAUUCAAUUAUCAAAUAAAAUUCCCUUUUUUCGGUGUAGAUUUCAUCCAUCCAGCUGUUAACACAUUUUAUGUAUCCGAAUUAUAUAUUCUCUACCAAAUAUUGUAACUUUUCUGAGCAUCUUUACAUUUUUAUUCCCACCUAACAAAUUAGUUGUUGAGCAUCUUUACAUGCUAUCGGAUCACAAGUUAAUAAUCUUUUAAAGAACAUGUUAAAUUAAUUUAUUGGUAUGAAUAGUCAAAGAAGUAUAUUAAAGUUAGUAAUCUUUAAACACCACGAUGCAAUUAAUACUUUCAAGCUCAAGGUCUUUUUUUUUUUUUUUUUUGGUACUGUACUUCCUUGCUUUAUAGUAUGCACGUUUAUUUCUGUGGAUUGCUUAAGCUUAUAUUGUUAAUAAUUGGGCAUUUAACCAUAAAUUAUAAUGAUUAUGAAGUCAUAUAUAUAUAUAUAUAUAUAAGAAAAUUACCACAAUUAUUCAAUUUUUUUUGCAAAUUCAAAUUUUAUUAAUAAGAAAUAGGCAGUAAGCUUUUACAAACGGAAAAAAAAAAUCCUACAACAACUCUAGGACCUUUGAAAGAAAGAAAAAAAAAAGAAAAGAAAAGCUUAAGGACUCUACCUCAUAGAAGCUAAACAAUCCUACAAAUAAACUGCAAAAUAAAUCACAAUAACGCAAAAUUUUUGUCUUUCUUCCGUAUGAAAUGAAACUACGAAGUCAAGAAUUGACUCCUUUAACCGCUAUUGCCAGCGGGCUCCGUCAGCAAGAUACAACUUUGCAAUUUGAUUCAAUAGAAAUCCUCAAAUAGCUAUUUUGACAGGCAAAUUAAGCAUUAAUUUUGGUAUCCCUUCAUAAAAUACAAGAGUACUUUUGAUUAUAUCUAUAGAUCAACUUUCUAGGCUAUUUUGAUGUAUUAUAAGAAAAUCUGCCUCAACAAUUUUGAUAGCAUUUUUCCAAAAGCAGAAGAUGGAAAAUUGCCCAUUUGUACUGGGGAGUUCGUGAUCUUUUCCUCCUUCUAGUCUACUUACAAUUCUUGGAAAAAGGAAUACUCACAUCUCAAACAACUGCCUGUUCAUCUGCAAUGUCCUGCCGAAUUCUAGAAAGUUAGGUGGCAAUGCUAAUUACAUUUCAAAAUUGACUGCUGCGAUGACUAAUUCGAUGGCUUACUACAUGGUCAACGUUUGGAUCCCUUCCUGUCCUUUUUGGAUGCACAUUUUUUUUCUCUAGGCAAUAUAUAAUCUCCCAACUCAUUUCUUUACAAAUGCACCUUUAAUCACCACCAAAAGGUGUGGACAUGAUCUUUACCCUAGAAAACUAAUCACCGACAGGCAAAUUGACGUCAGAAAUACUAAGAGGAAUUCUAGUUUCCUUCGGGUUAAUGCCAUUUUGUACCCUUCAACUGUAACUCGAUUUCUAAACUAUAAUUUGUGACAUUAUAGUCCUUAAACUAUGAAACCCCUCUUACUUAAGUACAAUGGUUAAUACAAUACCCGUGACUAGACAAGCAACCAUAACAAAAAAAAAUCCAAAAUUAGAGAAAAGAAAGAAGUUUCGCGACCAAAGUAUGUAUCAAGGCAUAGUAUAGAAAUAAAAGUGUCCAAAUUAAGAGUUUAGGGAUAAAAGAGAUCAAGAUAUAGUUUAGGGAUUGAUUUGUCUCAAUUAGAGUUUUGAUGUCAACUAAGAAGAGAGAUAUAGUUGAAGGGUAGAAUAUAGAUAUAACAGUUCAAUGAUUGAUAUCAACGAGACAAUGACAACUUUGGAUUAUUACCAACCUCUUCUUGAUGGGAAAAGGAAAUAGAGAAGAAAGUCGGGCCUGGUCUAAGCCUGCUUCGGAGGCAAAACAACAUUAUGAAAUCACCGGCAUUCACACAAAUAUGUCAAAGUCACCGGCAUGCUAAGUUGCAUAAUUUAUACAAACACUGAAUAAUAUAUUGUUCUUAAAAUUUUUGUUUAAGAUUUAACAAUUAGAGCACGGUACACGAAUUAGCAAUAUUAAAUAAUGAAUGUUCACGAUUGAUAAAGUUAUCAAAGUACAGUUUGAGGACAACCCAUUCCAACGUGUACAAGAUGUUUAGCCUUUGAAAAGUUAAUUAGAGAAGGUGACGAGAUUUUACUAGGCUUAAAUCUUCUAGGCCUCGGAAGUAAAAAAUGAAGGCCUUUGAGUGCUAUAAAAAGGGGGCUAGAUGUUGCCUAGAAGCAUAUCAGCCUCAGACCACAUUUUGUAGCAAUGGGGAGCAAAGCAAAAGCAAUGGGGUCUAGGCUGACUCCUCUUCUUACCACCGUUUUAGUGGUAUUUGUUGCUCUUGGCUUGCCUUCAGAAACUGUGGCUGAUUACUACAAGUAUUCAUCUCCUCCUCCUCCUUACCAUUAUUCCUCACCACCACCUCCUGUGCAUUCACCUCCACCACCGCCAAUUUAUAAGUCACCCCCACCACCUUACCACUACUCCUCACCGCCACCUCCAGUGUAUUCAUCUCCACCACCACCUUCGCCAGUUUACAAGUCUCCGCCACCACCUUACCAUUAUUCGUCACCACCGCCUCCGGUGCAUUCACCUCCACCACCACCUGUUUACAAGUCACCUCCACCACCUUCGCCAGUUUACAAGUCUCCGCCACCACCUUACUAUUAUUCGUCACCACCGCCUCCGGUGCAUUCACCUCCACCACCACCGAUUUACGAGUCACCUCCACCACCUCCUCCAGUUUACAAGUCUCCGCCACCACCUUACCAUUAUUCCUCACCACCACCUCCAACGCAUUCACUCCCACCACCAGUUUACAAAUCACCGCCACCACCUCCUCCUAUGUAUAAGUCCCCUCCACCACCUUAUCAUUAUUCCUCACCACCACCUCCAGUGCAUUCACCCCCACUGCCACCAAUUUACAAGUCUCCGCCACCUCCAAUCUACAAGUAUAAGUCACCACCACCUCCUCCCCCAAUUUACAAGUCACCACCACCACCUCCUCCAGUAUAUAAGUCCCUACCCCCACCAGUGUAUAAGUACAAGUCUCCACCACCACCUCCUCCAGUAUACAAAUCACCUCCACCACCUCCUCCAGUUUACAAAUCUCUACCACCACCAAUUUAUAAAUACAAGUCUCCUCCACCACCUCCUCCGGUUUACAAUUCCCCACCACCACCAAUCUACAAGUCUCCACCUCCACCCUCCCAUUACUACUACAAUUCUCCUCCUCCUCCUCCUCAUCACUACUAAGCAAUUGUAUCCAAGUUUUUGAGGUAAUAAUGCUAAACCAAUAUAUUAACUUUCGCAUGAUAAACUUUAUCUCUAUCAAGACAAACUGCCAUGUGCAUCAAGCCAAAUACGUACACUUCGAUCCAUGAAAAUGACAAGUAGAAGGUUUUCUUAAGAACCAAGGAACAGCAUUAGUAUUCCCUCUGUUUCCAAAACUUGUGUAUUAAAUAGAUUAAUGAAUUGUUUAACAUGCUUAUCUACUUGAAAAUGCACAAUACCCAUAACCCACUGAAAUUUUUGCAGGUAAAGGGGAAGAGAAUCUGUGUUUGAGAGCUUCAUGAAGAUGUUGAAGAAUAAGAAUAAAAGCCCAAUGCGAGGAUGUUUUCAAGUUUUUCUAUGUUUCCACUUUAAUUUGUAAAUUGAAUUUUUCGACUUAAUUAAUUCCCUGUUUGUGGGGUACGUAUUGUUUUACGUACCAUGCCGUACAUGUUUGUAAGGAUUUCUAUCCUAUUGGCAAAAGUCGGUUCCAUACAAUUAAUCAAUUCAUUUCACUUCUAUUGGCUCUACUAUUUAUGCACGUUACGACAUUUUUUCUCUCUUUCCCUUAUAUUUUGUCUUUAAUAUUAUUGAGUCAAUAGUAAUACUGGGCCAUUUUUUUUAAAACUUAUACUAGUAUACAUAGGUAGUUUGGUCUAACGCCAAAUUCAUGUUUGUCUUUCUUUUAUUCCCUUUACAUUUCAAAGUAUACUAUAGUUUGUGAUCAUUGUGGUGAUGAUAUUACCAGCUGGUACUUAUAGUUUAAGGCAGAGACAUGAUAUUAACAACUAUCUCAUUGAAACAUAAGGAAAAAUCAUGACAAGUGUGAGUCUUGGUUAAUGCACAAUUUGUUAGUGGAAUUUAUAUUUAUAAAACUCAAAAAAAAAAUUUUGACAAUGCUAUUACUAAUUAAUUAAGGACUUUAUUGCUAUAAUUUAUCGCUUGCUAGUUUAAACUAUAAAUGAUCUCAAUACUUUUCUCCAUGAUGUCGAUUUCUUUAGAUACGAAAGGGAAAAAUUAGUGACAUAUCCCUUACUGAUUACAACAUCAGCAAAAAUUAGUUAUAAACUUUUCCGGUGGUUUUAAAUCCCCGGGCCCUAAGAUUUUUUGCUCAUCGAGUGAAUUAAGGAACAUAGGCAAUUCAUUUUGCAUACCAAGUCCUUGUUUAAGAUGCAAGUACUAAAAUGCAUCCACUUCAUUAAUUUGGGAAAUUGCCAUAGUUUUUUUAAGCAUUUUGAUUUUUUACAUGAUUUAAAAUUUUCUUAUUGGAUACAAUCACUUUGUAUCAAGAACACAUUUUCAAUCACCUUUUUUUAUCUUCUCAAUGAGAAAAUAAAAAUUUAUUCAUGCUUUUCUAACAUAUUCAAUCAUUGAUCUGAAAAUUAAAACAUUAAGAAAAGGACAUUUUCAAACAUUAAGAAGUAGUAUUUUAAAGACCAUGAUGAAAUUAAUACUUUCAAGGUCUCUAUUAGGAAGACUUCCUUUAUUAAUACUCUACUAGGCAGAGUUAUAUGCACGUUUACUGUUUUGGCCUUAAGUUGGGUGCAGAUGCUUAUAUUACAAAUAGAUGGUAUCAAAAAAUUGUUGUAUUCACGUCUGUUCUUUUUUUCUUCCUUAAGUUUUUUUCUUUAUUCUCGUGACUUCGCUAGUGAGGUAUAACUUCACAACUAGAGUCAAUAGAAAUCGUCAAAUGAUUUUUUGACAUCCAAAUUAAGCAAUAAAUUUUGUUUUCAUUUCAUAACAUAUAAUAGUACUACUUCAUGGGAGAUUUUAUAGUUUCUUUAGGGUAUCAUACCUACAAUUGAUAUUUAUCAUUGGAUAGUGAAAGAAGUGUUAAUGUCUCUAAGAUUAAAUAUUGUUAAAUAUUGAAAAUUUGAACUAUUUAUCUCUAUUGAGAGAUACAACUUAAAGAAUCCUACCCAAAAGAGACUAGAAUUUUCUCUGUUUUUCAUCAUCUGUAGACAUAAACUUUCCACGGUUGAUAGCAUUUUUCAUCAUCUAUAAGGAAAUUUUGCCUAUACAAUGUGAUAGCAUUUUUCAAAAAGACAAGAUGGAAAAUUGCCCCCCUUGAACGGAAAAUUGCCCCCUUGUCAAUUCUUUAAAAAAGAAUACCGUCCCGCAGAAUUCUAGAAAGUUAGGCAAAACUAGACAAGUUGACAGGUAUAAUCAGACCCAAGAUCAGGAACAAGCAGUUGCACAUUUCAAAAUUCGCUGCUGCAACAACUAAUUUGAUGACUUACAACACUAAAUGGUCAAACUUUGAAUGGCAAUGAAUCUUUUGUUGUACAUCAUGAUGUAAUUUUCAUGUUACAUAAUAGAUUGAUAUCUAUGUUCUUUAAAUUAUCAUAAUAAUUAAAUUUAACUGAAAAAAAGAACACAUAUCAAUACACAAAAGUGUGCAACGUGAAUGUUAUUUUAGUGUAUUGCAGAAGACCUAUAGUCUCUUCAUAUCUCUUCCUGCACGUAUCAAUUCGUUUCCUCUAGAUAAUAAUCUCCCAACUCAUUUAUUUACAAAUGCACCUUUUAUGUUUUAUUACCUCCAAAAGCCUAAAAAUCAAUUCACCGACUCGCAUUUGGUAUCAGAAAUUCUUAUUACGAAUUCUACUUUACUCAAAGAUUGACUGUUAAUAAUGAGACAACGACCAUUUUGUAUUAUUACACCGUCCUUCUUGAUAGGCAAAAGAAAUAGAGAGGAAAGCGGGUCCGUAUAUGGUCUUUUAUUCAUAGAUAAUACAACAUUACGCCAUCGAGCAUUCACACAAUAUUUCAAAGUCAUUGCAUGCCUAAGGCCUGCUUGAUAAUCUAAUUCCGUACUUAAAUUUAAUAAAUUCAAAUCUUAACACAUUCAAAUCGUUUGAUAACAAAAAAUUGAACAUCUAAAUUAAUUAAGUAACACUGAAUUUUCUAGGCAAAACUUGCUCCCAAAAUUAAGUGAUAAGUUAUUCACUUAUCACUGAAUAUGAUAUGUAUUCAAAUGUAUUAGAUUUAAUACUUAAUAAUUUAAUGAAUUCAAAUUUCAUAUUUCAUAUUUCAGUUUUAUCAAACACACCUUAAGUUGCAAAAUAAUACCAAAACUUGUUAUUACAUAGCUUGAGAUUCAAAAAUUUAGAGCAUAAUUCUCAACCAAACACAAUUGAAUAAUGAAUAUUCACGAGUGUCAAAUCUAUCAAAGUACAAUUUGAGGACAACCCAUUCAAACGCGUACACGAUUUUUAACUUUUCUAAAGUUGUUGAGAGCUGUUGAAAGAGAUUUACCAUGUUUACAUCUUCCAAGUCUUGGGAGUAAAAAAUGAAGCCACUGAGUGCUAUAAAAAGGGGGGUAGAGGCCACUUGAGAUCCUCGGUGACAUGUUUUCUAUGCCAAUCCAAUGCCACCAAUAGUGUUGCGCCAAGUGUCAUGUUAUUAUUUACACUUGUGUUAAACUAAGCCAAGUUGAAUUAUUAGAAAAUUAAAGUGUAAAUAAUAACAUGACACUUGGCGCAAUACUAUUGGUGACAUUGGGUUGGCAUAGAAAAUAUGUCACCGAGGAUCCCAAGUGGAUAGAUGCUGCCUAGAAGCAUAUCAGCCUAAAACAAGAAUUUGUAGUAACAAUGGGGAGCAAAGCAAAAGCAACGGGGUCUAGGCUGACUCCUCUUCUUACCACUGUUUUAGUGGUAUUUGUUGCCCUUGGCUUGCCCUUGGAAACUGCAGCUGAUUAUUACAAGUAUUCAUCUCCUCCUCCUCCUCCUUACCAGUAUUCCUCACCACCACCUCCAGUGUAUUCACCUCCACCAACCCCUGUUUAUAAGUUACCCCCACCAUCUCCUCUAGUUUACAAGUCCUCACCACCACCUUACCACUACUCACCACCUCCUGUGUAUUCACCUCCACCAUCACCAAUUUACAAGUCACUGCCACCACCCCCUCCAGUAUACAACUCCCCGCCUCCACCAGUGUACAAAUACAAGUCCCCACCACCACCUUCUCCAAUUUACAAAUCUCCACCGCCACCAGUUUACAAGUACAAGUCACCCCCACCACCUCCUCCGGUAUACAAGUCUCCUCCGCCACCUGUUUACGAGUACAAGUCUCCUCCACCACCUCCUCCAGUGUACAAGUCCCCACCACCUCCAGUUUACAAGUACAAGUCACCACCACCUCCUCCCCCGGUUUACCAAUCUCCUCCACCACCAGUUUACAAAUACAAGUCACCACCACCUCCUCCCCCAGUUUACCAGUCUCCACCUCCACCCUAUCAUCACUACUACGGUUCUCCUCCUCCUCACCACUACUAAGCAAGUGCAUCUAAGUUUUGAGGUAAUAAUACCGAUCCAAAACUUUAUCAACGCAAACUGCCAUGUAUAUCAUGCUAAGGACGUACACUUGAUCCAUGAAAAUGGCUAGUAGAAGAUUUUUUUUAAGAACCAGAGAAAUACAUUAUUUUUUCGCUCUGUUUUCAAGAAUUUGAGCAGUAUACAGAUUAAAGAGUGUUUUUUUUAAACUUGCUUAUCAACUUAGAAAUGCACAUAGCUGAAAGCCAACUGAAUAUUUGCAGGCAAAGGAGAAGGCAAUCGGUGUUUGAGACCUUCAUGAAGAUGUAGAAGAAUAAGAAUAAAAGCCCAAUGCGAGGAUGAUUUCAAGUUUCUACGUUACCAUUUCUACAUCUAAAUUGACUUUAGCUCCUGAGUUCCAUGUCUAUGGGGUUUGUACUGUUUUACGUACCAUGCAGUACAUGCUUGUAAGGUUUUCUGUCCUGUUGGCAAGCCGCAGGUCCAUAUAAUAAAUGAAUACUAUUUAUAUUACGACACUUUUCUCUCUUUCUCUUAUAUUUUGUCUUUAAUAUUGUUGAUCAUUUUUUUUUUUUAUCAAAAGUAUCAAAUGCUUAGGCAAUUUGGUCUAAUGCUAAUUGUUUUACAUUUAUUUUUCACCUACAUCCCUUUUCAACUCAAAGGAUGCUACAGUUUGUGAUCAUUGUUUAAGACCGAAGCAUGGUACUAAUAAAUAUCUCAUUGAAAGUCAAGGAAACUAACAUUAUGAAAAGUGUAAAUCUUGAUUUGUGAAACUAUUUAUUCGUGGAAUUUAGAGAUACAAAACUCAAAUUGUGACGGUGUUGUUGCUAAAUUAUUUUUUUUUUAUAAUAAAACACAGUUCAUUCAAGGAUUACUGGAAAUCGUCCAGCACAAUUGAGAUACAUUGUUGCCCAGGUGGCAGAUAAAUAUGCACUAAAAUUAUAGAUAUGCAAUUUAACAAAUACAUAAGAUUUGAGAAAUUAAGGACAAAUCUAAAAAGGACCAUAAAUUUGAAAAACAUUUCAUCCUAGAAUAAGUCGCUGCAACUCUCUUUGUGCAUGCUGUAAUCGUCAGAUCUACUAAUCAACAGUUGUAAGGUCCAGUAAAGAUGGUGAGAUCUGCCGAGAUUGAUCCAAAUCUGAAAUAUUCCCUCAGAUCUGCUAUCCAAUUGGUUCAAACUCAAUACUGAAAGUGAAAUCUGAUGAGAAGACUGAAAAAAUUGUAGAUCUAACAUAUAGAUCUAAAAAAACUCCAAGAUUUGAAAAAGUAAAGAAACAAAACUAAAUAAAACUCUCAUUAAGAUAGUUUAGGAGAGACUAAAACUCUCAAUAGGACACCCUAGGAGAGAAGAAAACUCUCACUAGGAUAACCUAUGAGAGACUUUAUUGAAUGAAAGGAAAAGCAAAGGACAAAGGAAGAAGAAGGGAGACCUUGGCUUAAGGCCAAGGUCUCCCUCCUAUGGAGGAGGAAGGGUAGAGGAGGAAGCCUAGAGAGAAGGAAGAGAAUCCCUCCGCUAGAGGGAAGGAAGAGCCUCUGAGAGGGUACCCGUGUUGUUGCUAAAUUAUUAAGGACAUUAUCACCAUUACUUUUCCCUUACUAGUUUCAACUGCAAUGAUCUCAAUCUUUUUGUGACUAAUUCUUUUCUUAAUAAUUUAUAAAUACAAAACUCACAAAGAAUAUGUGACUUAUUCUUUCCUUUCGUCUUCUAAAGAAAAUGCCAACUGUUAGUUUAUCAAGGGAAAAAGGAUCGACAUCAGUUGUUAUUGAAACUAGUAAGGAAUAAAUAAUGGUGAUAAUGUCCUUAAUAAUUUAACAACAGCACCAUCAGAAUUUGAGCUUUGUAUCUAUAAAUUCCACGAAUAAAUAGUUUCAUCAAAUCAAGAUUUACACUUUUCAUAAUGUUAAGUUUCCUUGACUUUCAAUGAGAUAUUUAUUAGUAUCAUGCUUCGGUCGUAAACAACGAUCACAAACGAUAGCAUCCUUUGAGUUGAAAAGGGUAGUGAAAAAGAGAAGUAAAAAAUACAAUUAGCAUUCCCUCAAAUUGUAGAAAGUUAGGUAGCAUUAUAGACAAGUUGAUAGCCGUAAUUAUACUAAAAAUCAGGCAAAAGCCAGCAAUUUUACAUUUCAAAAUUCACCUAUUCAAUAACUAAUUCGAUGGCUUGCUACAUGGUCAAAAUUCACCACAUAUCCCUUUCCUCAAUCAGGGGCUUCUACAAUUACCAGUUCCAAUUGUAUGGUAUAGUGUAAAUAUCAACAAAUUAGAUGUAGACACUAAUAUAAUAAAUAUGGAUGCUAAGGCAACAACAUACAAAAACAUAAUAAAUUUUGGCAUUCCUUAAAAAAUUACGUCCCCAAAUCAAUCUCAUACACCCAAUUUCUAAUUUAUUUAACUCAUUCCGUCUAUUAACUGCACCAUACAAUCCAACCUGCAAUUGCAUGAACCCCAAUCUCGCUUCCUAGUCCACCAUUUUUCUCUAGGUAAUAAUCUCCCUUCUAAUUUCUUCACAAAAUGCACCUUUCAUCACCUCCAAUAGCGUCGACAUGAUCUUUACCCUAGAAGACUAUUCACCGACUCCCAAUUGACGUCAGAAAAUCUAAGAGUAAUUCUACUUUACCCUAAGAUUGAUAUCAACUAGACAAUGACAAUUUAGAAUUAUUACACGCCUCUUCUUAAUAGGAAAAAGAAAUAGAGAAGAAAGUCAGGCCAGGUCUAAUUUCUUUUCGAAGGCAAUACAACAUUACGAAAUCAAGCAUUCAUUCAUACAAAUAUUUCAUAGUCACCGGUUUGCUGAGUAGAAAAGUUUAUACAAAAACUUAAUAUUAUAUUGUUUAAGAGUUAACAAUUUAGAGCUUAAUCUCCUUGUACUUUGGACUAAACUCGAACGUGAAAGGAAAUCCCAAAACCAUAUUGGGCAUGAAUUCACACUUAAAUAGACCCAAAAAAAGAUGGCGACUGGUGAAAGGCAGUGGAGACUGGUGGUGAGAUUUGAGGAAUAGAAGCAGACGGAAAAGCCACAAAUUUUUGCCGAAAGAGGGUCACUUUCAUGGUUAAUUUUGCUACUCUCUACUUGUACUUGACCAAUGACAGGUUGUCAGUCUGUGCAAUAAUAAAAACCUGUUCAAACUAAAAGUAAUUUCUGUAGAUAGUGGUAAGCAGGGUCGAAUCCACAGGGAUUAGGUGUAACUGUUUCUUUUCAAAUUCACAAUAACAAAGGGGGUGUUUUUAUGCAGAAUGUGACAAUCAAAGAAAUUCAAUUAAAAGUAAAAUAAUAAAAAUAAAAUAGCCAACUAGAAAUUAAAUAACAAUUUACUAAAAUCAAAUGAGUGAUAAUUAAGGAUCUAGCCAAGGAAUAACUUCAGCAGUGGUUCACCUAAUUGAUCAUUGGAACAAAGGCAAUUCCAAUUAUUUACUAAUAAAUAGGUUAUAACUGCCAAACAAGCGAUGACAGUCAAUCACUCCUUACUGUGUCGGUGAUUAAGGUACGCCCGUUAAUCACUGCCCUAAUUGAGAAAUAAUCUUAGGUACGCCCGUAAGAUUUAAUUUUCCAAUUGCCUUACAUAUUAGAGGAGUGUCAGGAACAAGGAAAUAGAAUGGGACGUCGUUUAAUGCAAAGGGUUGUGCGUUUAAGGCCUUAGAAGCAAUACUACGUCGUUCUAAUAACAUAGGCGGUGCUGGUGUGAUAGGCCAAGUUAGUUGAGGGUCAAUUACAUAAAUAGCCUUCUGUAACAGAUUUUUGGUUAUGUUUUUGAAUGAAAAGUAUCUCGCUGCUUUCUCUCUCUUGUCUGUUAUUUCCCUCCCUUUUCUUCUUUCUCUCUUCCCUCUUCUUAAUCUUGUUUCUUUCUUCUGAUUCUUCCCCCAAAUUCAAUACAAUUCCAGAAAUUAACCUGCAAGUCUGACAUUUGGUAUCAGAGCGGUCGAUUCUUGGCCGCGAAGGUAUCAGAAAUGGCUGAGAGCACGCGAUUCAGGACACUGGAGGAGCAACUCAAGAAGCAGGAGAAUCGGUUGCAAGAACUGGCGGAAUCCAUGGCUGCACUGCAGAGUACGAGUUCCGAGGAGUUGCGGCAUAAGCUACAGGCGGAAAUGGAGCAGAACAAUGCAAAAUUGGACGCGGUGGUGGGAAGUCUGGACCAGAAGUUCAAUAAAAUGGAACAGAGACUCAGUACAGUGUUGAAGCUGCUGAUGAAGGAGAAAGGUCUCCCUGAUGUCGAAGGAGGAAUUUCUGAUCCAAUCUUGCCGACUCCUCCAUCUCAUCUGAGGUUAGCAUCCUCAGUCGAAGGGAUUGGGCACCAACAAGAGUACAGAGGUAGGCAAUUCACUCCUAAUGUACCUCGAUUAGAACUGCCAAUGUUUAACUCUGGAAACCCUAGGGAAUGGACCAGGAAAUGCCAGAAAUAUUUUUUGAACUAUCAGAUAGCAGAGAGUCAAAAGGUAGAGGUAGCAGAGAUGUUUUUGGAAGGUAGAGCUGACAAUUGGUUUCAAGGAGUGAAAUUGGUGAGGCCAGGGUUGUCUUGGGGGGAAUUUAGUGAACUUUUGUGUGAAAGAUUUUCUGGAAGUAGUUCUCGUGACAUUGUGGAGGAAUUUAACAAGUUACAGCAGAAAGGAACUGUUGAGGAAUAUGAGGAGAAAUUUGAAGAACUAAAAGCUCUAAUGCUGAUGAAAACCCCCAGGUUGGAUGAACUUUACUUUGUUUCCAGUUUUAUUAGUGGCCUCAGGGAAGAAAUUAGACCUAUGGUGAAGAUGUUUAAGCCUCAAACACUGAUGAAGGCCUUUGAAGUUGCGGAGUUGCAGGAGUGUUCCCUGGAAAUCCAAUCGAAACAAAACAGAACUUCAAGGAGGACAGCAAUGGAACCCAAGUUUGGAAUGUAUAAGGGCACUACGAGUGAUUAGGGUCGCCAAAAUUCAUAUAAGUUGCCUGGAGUCACUCCUGUCUCCAGGAGGACUAAUGCAGUACACAAGGAAUUUAGUAAGAUAUCAGCGGAGGAAAUGCAGUAUAAGCGUAAGCACAGCCUGUGCUAUAGGUGUGGAGAGAAGUUUGGAAUAGGUCAUCAGUGUAAGAAAGGAAGUCUGAACUGUGUGAGCACUGAGGAAGAGGAGGACACUGAAUUUGAGGAUGCGGAAGGGGAACAGGAUGAGUUAACAGGAAGGGUCGGGGAACUUGCAGAAGUCUCUUUGAAUGCUUUAUCUGGUGCCAUAAGGAGGAAAUCCAUCCUGUUGAUAGGGAACUUAGGGGGGCUUCCAGUCAAAAUUUUGGUGGACACAGGCAGUUCUAACAGCUUCAUUCACCACAGGAUUGUCAACCUACUGCAUCUACCAUAUCAGGCAGUCAGUCCAUUUACUGUGACUCUAGCAGAUGGAACUGACAUUACCAGUGGAGCCAUCAGUCCCAGCGUGUCUUGGUUAAUUCAGGACUAUCAAUUCCAAUUUGACUUAAAAGUAAUGGAAUUAGGGGGAUGGGAUAUAAUUCUGGGGGUGGACUGGAUGUGCCAGUAUAGUCCCAUUACAUUUGAUUUCCACUCUCUUAGCAUUGCCCUUAGUGAUAGGGGUUCUUUACUACACCUCCAAGGACUUGUGAAGCAACCUACUAUGGAACUGGUGAGGGGCAGGGAUCUCAGCUCGUUUAUACAGGAGAAGCAAAGAAACUGUGCAGCCAUGCAUGCUGAUAGGGCCAGGGAAACAGGAGAGCAGCUUCCAAAAGCUAUAGAAAGGAUCCUGGAACAGCACUCUCAGGUUUUCUCCACCCCAACAGGAUUACCCCCAGAGAGGGAAUUGGACCAUCAGAUCAACCUCAAACCAGGAGCUGAACCCUUCAAGCUCAAACCUUACAGGUACCCCCACUCACAUAAAGCAGAAAUUGAAAAAAAAGUUGCUGAGAUGCUCACUAAUGGAAUUGUUAUACAUAGCACAAGCCCCUAUGCCUCCCCUGUAUUGUUAGUAAAGAAAAAGGAUAACUCCUGGAGAUUAUGCAUAGAUUACAGGAAGCUGAACGAGCUGACUAUAAAGGAUAAGUUCCCUAUUCCCAACAUAGAUGAACUAUUGGAUGAAUUACAUGGAACCAGAUACAUGUCCAAACUGGAUCUCAGAGCUGGUUACCAUCAGUUGAGGGUGAAAGCUGUUGAUACCCCUAAGACUGCCUUCCAGACACACCAUGGCCACUUUGAAUUCUUAGUGAUGCCUUUUGGACUCACAAACGCGCCAGCUACAUUUCAGUCCUUGAUGAACAGAAUAUUUCAGCCAUAUCUCAGAAAGUUUGUCCUAGUCUUCUUUGACUACAUAUUAGUGUACAGCCCCACACUAGAGAUGCAUGCACAGCAUCUACAGAUUGUGCUCAAUAUUUUAGAAGAAAAUCAGCUGUAUUACAAGAGGUCAAAGUGCUCUUUUGCCCAGUCCUCAAUUGAAUACUUGGGGCACGUGAUCUCAGAGGCAGGAGUGAGUAUGGAUGUGGCUAAGGUGGAGUGUAUCAAGUCCUGGUCUGUUCCUAGUACAGUCAAGGAGCUGAGAGGGUUUUUGGGAUUAAUUGGUUACUACAGGAGAUUCAUUAAAGGCUAUGGAGUGAUUAGCAAACCCUUGACUGUAUUGUUGAAAAAGGAAGGUUUUGCAUGGAACCAUGAAGCUCAAAUGGCCUUUGAAGAUUUGAAAAAGGUUAUGACCACAGCCCCAGUGCUGAGCAUGCCUAAUUUCGAACUUCCUUUUGUCAUAGAGACUGAUGCCUGUGGAAUAGGUAUUGGAGCAGUGUUGAUGCAGCAAGGACAUCCUAUUGCUUUCCUUAGCAAGGCAUUAUCAGUUCAGAAUUUGGGGUUAUCAGUCUAUGAAAAAGAGCUUUUUGCCUUAGUGCUAGCUGUAACUAAGUGGAGGCAUUACCUGGUGGGUCAUCACUUCAUUAUCAGGACAGAUCACCAAGCUCUCAAACAUUUGAUAGAGCAAAGGCUUACUCAUCCACUCCAGCACAAGUGGCUAACUAAGCUACUUGGUUUGGACUAUGAAAUACAGUAUAAAAAGGGUGCAGACAAUGGGGUGGCAGACGCCCUCUCCAGGAGAAGGAUUGAGGGAAACACUGUUGACUGUGGAGAGACUGGGCAUCAGACCUGCGCCAUAACCUCAGCUCAGCCUAGUUGGAUGCAGGAAAUGCUAGAAAGCUACAUUGGAGAUGCAGAGGCUCAACAGAAGUUAUCUGAGCUAUUGCUGGAUCCCAAUGCAGAUCCAGAUUAUCAGUUAAAGAAUGGGAUGCUCAAGUUUAAAGGGCGGCUGUACAUAGGAUCUGCUAACAACAUUAGGACCAAGGUGGUCAGAGCAUUGCAUGACUCAGCCCUUGGGGGGCACUCAGGUCCUGGAAUCCGUAAGGAUGUCCUUCAAUAUGUGAGAUCUUGUGAUGUGUGUCAAAGGAACAAACAUGAAAAUGUUCCUUAUCCUGGGUUGCUGCAACCAAUUCCUGUACCUCAGCAGGCUUGGUCACACCUCACCAUGGAUUUUAUUGAGCAACUACCCCCAUCCCAUGGAUUUGAUACCAUUUUGGUGGUGGUGGAUAGGUUAACCAAGUUCAGCCACUUCAUUCGACUCACUCACCCUUUUUCUGCACAGCAGGUAGCACAGCUUUUCCUUGACAACAUAUACAAGCUGCAUGGACUUCCUGAGACCAUUAUAACUGACAGGGACAUAAUCUUUCUUAGUAAGUUUUGGCAAGAGUUAUUUGGUAUGGUAGGGGUAAAGCUGCACUACAGUUCAUCGUAUCACCCUCAAUCAGAUGGUCAAAGUGAAAGGGUCAAUCAGUGUUUGGAAAACUAUCUCAGGUGUAUGUGCAGUGAGCAUCCUUCUCACUGGAGCAGUUGGCUUCCUACAGCUGAGUUAUGGUACAACACUAACUUCCAUACUAGCUUGCAGGUGACACCAUUCGAAGCACUAUACGGGUAUAAACCAAAUCACCUUCCCUUAGGACCUUUUCAUGAUAGCCUGGUACCUGCUGCUGGUAACAUGGUGCAGACUAGGCUCCAAAUUCUAUCCCUCAUCAAAGAGAAUCUAGCCACCGCCCAGAAUCGAAUGAAAAUGUUUACUGAUAAGCACAGGACUGAACGUGUCUUCCAAGUGGGGGAUUGGGUAUUUCUCAAGCUGCAACCUUACAGGCAACAAUCAGUGGCCUUACGGAAGAAUUUGAAGUUGGCUGCCAAAUACUUUGGACCUUUCCAGAUCCUUGCGAGAGUAGGGGAAGUCGCCUACAGACUUAAGUUGCCAGAGGGAGCUCGAGUUCAUUCCGUGUUCCAUGUGUCCUUACUUAAAAGGAAAGUGGGAGUUACACAGCAGGUAAAGCCCAGCUUGCCAGAAGUAGACGCAUCAGACCAAUGUUUGCUGAAGCCAGAGAAGAUUCUCCAGAGGCGUGUUAUCAUACGAGCUGCCAAACCAAUCAUCCAGUACCUGGUGAAGUGGAACAACUUACCAGAAUCCGAAGCAUCAUGGGAGGAUAAAAGCUUCAUUGACAGACAAUUUCCGGAAUUUCAAGCUUGAGGACAAGCUUUGCUUAAGGGGAAGAGAUUGUCAGGAACAAGGAAAUAGAAUGGGACGUCGUUUAAUGCAAAGGGUUGUGCGUUUAAGGCCUUAGAAGCAAUACUACGUCAUUCUAAUAACAUAGGCGGUGCUGGUGUGAUAGGCCAAGUUAGUUGAGGGUCAAUUACAUAAAUAGCCUUCUGUAACAGAUUUUUGGUUAUGUUUUUGAAUGAAAAGUAUCUCGCUGCUUUCUCUCUCUUGUCUGUUAUUUCCCUCCCUUUUCUUCUUUCUCUCUUCCCUCUUCUUAAUCUUGUUUCUUUCUUCUGAUUCUUCCCCCAAAUUCAAUACAAUUCCAGAAAUUAACCUGCAGAUCUGACAAGGAGCCCUAUUCUAACCAAAUAACACACUACCAGGGUUAUUUUAGGUUAGCCCGCGUAUUCCCCUGACAUGAAUCCAAUCAUGCCAGUUAUCACUAUUUUGAAACAAUUAAACAAUUACGGAUUUAACGUCCCAAUUGACAAUAGAUUAUCAAAUUAACUAAUUAUCCGGAUCCAAAACAAUCAAUUAAUUAAAUAAUCAUAAGCACUGUAAUCAGGGAAUAUUUGAAUACCAAUAAAUAAAAAGAAAGGACAAAAUUAAAUCGAUUUCACAAUUUUUAAACGAACCACAACCUCAGUUGUUCCUCGGCUAGAUUGAGAAAAUUAGCUCAUGUUCGAUGCGAAAAAUCCACAAGAAAUUGUUAAGAGAGCCGCGGCCAUUGUCCCUUGAAAUUGGGGAAAUUCAAUUCGGUUGAACUACGAAAGAAAAGUAAGCUACAGAGAGUUGCCGAUUGGGUUUUGCUUGUCCCUAACAUGCGAGGGAGCAAAGCCACGAAAGGACGACAAAGGUCAAAAAGAAAGGCUACAGAGCAUGUUCCAGGUCUUUUUGUGCUCUCCACAUCCGAGCCAACGAAAAGAAAUAAAAAACUACCAGGAGCUAAAGGAAAACCGCAAGAAAAGUCAAAGGCUAAAAAAACUUCCUAGUGCUUGUUCUCUGCUUAUCUCUUUAUCUAAUUCUAAGUCCCCGAUUUUUUGCUCCGUGCGGCGGCUCCCCCGGAGAGAAAGGAUUGCAUCCGCUGCCCUCUUCCACCAAUUACCAAAAUGGGCACACCGCUUCUUUUUCAAAAAUGCUCCUGGAUAAACUCUAUCAUCUGGACUUUUUUUCUGUCAAAUUGACAUUUAUUAUUAUAUUUUCGUUCUACUCCCUGAAAUAAAUGUAAAAUAUUAAAAAUGAGUAGAAUCCGACAAUUAAUUCACAUCAGGUCAGAUAAUAAAGAAAAUUAAUAAUAAAAUAAAUAAAUAAAUUGCAACCUAUCAACCAAAUACAACAAUUUCAUGGAGUUUGAUACACAAGCCCAAAUACACGAGAGUGUGUAACCUGAAUUGUUACUUAUACAUUAGUGUGUAAUAGAACGGCAAGCAUUAUGGUGGUCAUUGAGCAACUUGUAGGAGAAAUAGUCCUAUAAGCUGUUCAAUGACCAAUCACAACUUGCUAAUUGGAUGACUAAUAUAGCUCUAGCUGUAAUGUUUUAAUUAAAUUCCAUCACUAACGUUGGGAUGACUUUUUAAUCAAAAAAAAAAAAGCCUUAGUUCAAGCUUUUCCCCUUAUUGUGCAUUUUUUAAAACAUUUGAUAGGCACUGCAAAUCUGUCAUUUUGGACAUUUUAUUAUUAACUAACAAUGAAAGCCGUGGACAUCAACCCAUAUCCAACAAAAUAUUAAAUUAAUAUUAGAAAAAAUUAUUAAGUAAUUGGAAAAAAAAAGAAGAGGCUAAUUUUCAUUGAAACCCACCGACAAACUAUACGCUGCUUUCAAUCAGUUUUAACACGGGAAAAAGAAAAGGCAUGAAAAGCAAAAUUUGUGGGGAUAAUUUCGGAAACCUCCCAUGAAGUUUUUGACUAUUUUACUGGCCUCCCUUCAGAUUUUAAAAAUUGGACUAAUCUUCCUUAAAGUUAAUUAUCUUGUAACAUUUAGAUCCGAUCAAUAAUUUAAAAAAUAAUAUUAUGAGAGAGAAAAUAAUAUGAUUUUAUUAUUGCCCCCAUCUCACCACAUUAUUUAAUUAAUUUAAUAGCAACCCACACAUUAAAGAAAAUGACAGGUCGUCAACCUGUGCAAUAAUAAAAUUAAACCUAAUUGCCAGUUAAAAUGACCAAAACCCAAUUCCAAGUACUGGAGCAGGGACUCUAGGUGUGCAAUGGGUUACUUGAUUCACCCUGUUCCCGAAGAGUUUGCUUGAUCCGAUAUACCCGAAUGGAAUGGUUAUUCCUUUUCACAAAUGAUUAGGAAUUUGUAGACAGGGCAAGUAGGGUCGUAUCCACAGAGACUGGGUAUAUUUGUUUCUUAAGAAAUCCAAAGUAACACAGGGGGUGAUUUUGUAGGAACGACGAUAAUUAAAUAAAUUCAAAUGAGAAAGUAAAAAUAAAUAAUUAACUAGAAAUUAAACCACAAUUUACUGAACUCAGGAUAACAAUAGUUAAAGGCCUCAAUUAAUUAAAAUAAGGAAACAAUCAAAAAUAAAAUAAAGUAGGUAAUUAAAAGUCAAAUGGCAAUCCACUACAAUCAAGGAAAUAUUAACUAAAGAUCUAGCCAAGAAAUAACUUCAGCAAUGGUUCACCUAAUCGAUCAUUGAUGCAAAGCAAUCCCAAUUAUUUACUAAUAAAUAGGUUAUAACUACCAAACAAGCGAUGGCAGUCAACCCCUCCUUACUGUGUCGGUGAUCAAGGUACGCCCGUUAAUCACUGCUCUAAUUGAGAAAUAAUCCUAGGUACGCCCGUAGAAUUUAAUUCCCCAACUGCCUUACGUAUUAGAGGAGCCCUAUUCUACCCAAAUAACACACUACCAGGGUUAUUUUAGAUUAGCCCGCGUAUCCCCCUGACACGAAUCUAAUCGUGCCAGUUGUCACUAAUUUGAGGUAAUUAAACAAUUACGGAUUCAAUACCCCAAUUGACAAUAGAUUAUCAAACCAAUGAAUUAUCCGGAUCCAAGACAAUCAACUAAUUAAAUAAUCAUAAGCACUGCAACCAAGGAAUAUGCGAAUACCAAUAAAUAAAGGAAAAGAUAAAAUUAAAUCGAUCUCACAAUUUACAGGUGACCCAAAGCAUCAGUCGUUUCUUGACUAGAACGAGGGGGUUAGCUCAUAUUGGAUGAACUAAGCCCGCGGGAAAUUCCAGCAAAAGUCACGGCCGUUGUAUGCAUUUCAAGAGCCGCAAUUCGUCAAACACUUGGAAAGCGAAUGUAAGGCACGGGUAACAAUUGAAACUUUCUAAUUGUUCCUAGCAUUCGUAAAGCAAAUUCACUCCAGAAGUACAGUGAGGAAAAGUCAAAGAAAGUGGGCUUCAAUUCCUUGCUCCUGACAUGCGUGGAGACAAGCCAAUGCAAGACUACAAUAAACUAACAAGGAAAAGUCAAGAAUUGGAGCUAAGCUCCCCUGCCAUGCGCAGGAAUCCCAAAAGUAAAAAGUAAAGCUUCAAAGAAAAGUCAACAAUUCUUCCUAAGCUACAGACGGAAGAUCCAGCACAAAAGCCAGCUCCCUUUUUGAUCCCUUUUUCCCCCUUCUUAUUGCGGCGGCUCACCAGGAGAGGAGAGCCCUCCGUCCGUCCUUUCUUCCGGAAAUUACCAAAAUGGGCAUGACAUCUUCUCUUCCAAAAGUGCCCCUGGGACAAGCUUUCUCAUCUGAAUUCUUUUUUUUUCCAAUUUGGCACCUGUUAUCAUAUUUAUAUUCUACUCCCUGAAAUAAACGUCAAAUACUAAAAGUGAGUAGAAUCCAGCAAAUAAAUCCACAUCAAGUCAGGUAAUAGGAGGAAUUAAUAAUAAAAUAAAUGAAUAAAUUGCACCCUAUCAAUUCCCUCCACACCUAAACCAUGCUUGUCCUCAAGCAUAAGAAAAGUAAACGAACACCAAAAUUCGACGAUAGCCAUUGCCCAAUCUCCUAUAUUGCCAAGACAUUCAAGAGAAAAACACAUAUCGAGCAUUGGUGAUUAGAAUCCCAGAAGCAUCCCCCCGGUUAGCCUCUAACCCCCAGAUUCCUUCAAUUUCCAACUUAACUACUCUAAGAAAGAGGAAUGGCACACAACAUUUAUCAGCUAGUGGUCCGAAUAUUCACACAAGUCUUCAUAUCCAAUCCAUAAACCGGCAAGCUUCCCUAUUAUUUAGUCUCUCUUUUUUUCCGUUUUUUUUCAUUUUCAUUCUUCCCCUCUUUUUUUUUUUUUUUUAAAGCAGUAGCAAUCAACACAAAAGACUUAGUCGUUAGCCGUCAGGGCCUUUUGAUGCGAACUCCAACAUUUUUAGAAGGAGGAGCCCGGUUACUCAGCUCCUACCGCUAUACGACCACGCACUCAUAUAAAAUACCACCUUUUGACGCGAGAAUCGACACUUUUAGGUGCCGAUCCCCGGUUACUCAGUAGUAACUUAAUAGCGGAGCACAGUCAAGCUUAUUCUCAGCCAAACAAUGCACAAACGCAAAAUAACAGCACUAACAAUCAAACAUAGGAGCAGCUCGCCUCAUUAUUGUCAAACAUGGAGAACUGGAGUCAAUAUUGGACCAGUUCACAUUAAAAGGCCAUAUUCAUUCCCUACGCCUAGAAAAGUUAACAAAGAAAUCGAAAGAGUCAAACAGUUAAAUAUUCACCAAGGGGAUAUUCAGGACCCAACCACACUAACCCGAUACAUUUUGUAUUUUAAAAACUUGGCAAAAGUAGAUUUGGAGUCAAUGAGUCCACAUCUCAAUUUUAGCCUUCACAUGAAAGGCAAUCACCAAGAAGAAAGAACGGAAAAAUAAGCAACUAGAAAUGAGACUACGAAAAACUACUAAAACUAAAAACUCACUUUUUUUCUUUUUCUCUUUUUUUUUCUUUUUGAAUUUUUUUUUCAUUUUUAUUUUUUUUUAUUUUUUUUAUUUUUUAAACAUUAACUAUAAACAUUAACUACUAAAAACUAAAAACUAAAACUACUAAAAACUAAAAACACUAAAAACUGCUAAAAUGAAAAGCUGAAAACUGAAAACUACUAAAAACGGAGCACACUAGCAUAACUUUAGAUCCCCCCCACACCUAUAGGACACAUUGUCCUCAAUGUGACAAAUAAGAACCAAAAGUGAAGCACAAGUGAGAGGGGAAUCAGCCAAACUUCCCUGAAAUCGGGUCACAGCGGAGGGCGAGGUGGAAAUGGAGGUGCAAAGCCUGUAUGCAUCAGGAACUGUGCCAAAUUCUGUGCUAUGCCGGCGACAUUGGCGUCGACGUUGGUCAUCCGGGCCUGCAAAUCCUGAACCAGCUCCCUGAGAUGCUGCCAAUCAUCGGUCCCAGGUGGUGGAGGUGGCGCAGAAGUAGAGGUAGACGGCCCAGCAGUGUCCGCGGCCGACCCAGGGAAUGAAGAUGGCCCUGCCCGGGCCGAAUGGUGUGCACCCGGGGCUCGAGGUGGUCCCGGACGGGUAAACUGGUGAAAACCAUCUGGCAGACGCUCGACGACCCCCAUUUUCUCUAAGCAAACUACGUCCAAGUGCUCCAUCUCAAAUGCCAAAUGGAGGUCGUGGUCAUCCAGGUUAAGAACUCCCAACUGGGUCGCCAAGUGAGUGAUGUAGGACCCAAGGAUCAGUGGUUUGUUCUUCUUGGUCAAGACCGUCUUGAACUGUGCGGCCAACCAACAUCCCAAGUUCACCUUGAUAUUGUUCUUCAUACUCCAGAGAAAGAAGAAUUCGGGCCGAGAGAGUAUACCGGAGCUGUCCUUGCGCCCCGAGUAGCUAUAAGCUAAGAAUCGCUGAACAUAGCGGGCGCUAGGGUCCUUAAGAAAGGAGCUCCUGGACCGGGAAGGAUCGUAGCGUUGCCUAUCGACGGACAUGUCCUCCCAUACAUCAUGGUAGUGGGAGAGGAAAGGCUCUACGUAGUCACAGGCACUCUCCGCAUACUCCCUAGUCUCAGCAUACUCUCUAGUGAUAAACCCAAAUGCCAGAUUGAAUUGAGUAAUGGAGAAAUUGAAUUCUCGACCCAUGAGCCGGAAAUGAAUGACAUUCGGUGUUUCACCCGUGUAUCUCGUAGGUAAUUCGAACUCAAAGGUGGAGUAAAACUCCCGGAUCAGCUCAACAAAAGCGGGACAAGAAAUAUGGAAAUAUGGGCGCCACCCAAUGGCUGUGAACAUUUGCUCAACCUCCUCCCGUAUACCCAGGGCAGUUAGAGAGAGUCUAUGACAAGACUUACAGGAUAUUAUACGCCUCUCGCAGACCUUAGCGUACCUCUGCCGAUCGGCGGGUCUGGUAAAUGUUAAGUGCCCCCCAAAAUGAACAGGUGCAUCUACCUGAGCACCCCUAUCCCUACCCAAACGGGUUCGAACACUAGAAGAGGAGGGUAGGUUGGUAGGUGAGUUGACAGGAAUAGAGGCUUGUGGAGGGGGUUGAGACUGAGAGGUCCUAGACCUAGAGGAGGAUUUCGGUCUCACCAUUCCCCCCAAAGUAAGUUCAAGGCAACAGAAAAUCCGACAAGUAUAGAAACCAGCAAUUGACAAAGCAAAAAUCUCCCAGUAGUAACCCAGCCAAUAGCAAACAAAAGAGUUCCAGCAAGUAAUCAACAAGCAAUUCAGAAAUAUCUCAACUAAAAUCUCAAGAGAAACCCCAGCGAGUUAUCCAGCAAUUCAAGCAAUAUCCCCAAGCAAUGUGGUGGUCAAAAUGUCAUCUCCAAAUUGAACAAAUAAUCAGAGCAUUGCAACACAUUGAAAAUCUCAAUAAACGGCUCCAGUUGGCCAAGAAAAAUUGCUAACUCAUACUCAGCAAUAGUAGUGCAGCAAAGGGACAGUAACCACGCAAUAAAAACACUUAGCUUGCACUCAAAUGGUCACCCCAAAUAACAACCCAGUAUGAAACCCGCAGGCAGAGUAUUCCUCAAACCGUUAGCCUAAACCCAGUCAACAACCACGGCCAGAAAUAACCCCAUAAAUAGUGCAAUGAGUAAUCCCCAGCAACAUAAUCAGGUGUAAUCAACUGGAGCAAGCAAUUUACAUGGCAUAGAAACCUCCCAAUCAAACAAGUGCAUUAUUCUAGCGCACCCCAAAAUUCCAAGAAAUGGCUCCAGUUGGCCAAUUAAUUUCACAAUGUCACCCAACUCAGGAGAAAUAGCAAUUCCACACAAAAAUAGUCAAACCAGUACCACUGGCGAAAAAUCUUUCAAAUAUGCACAAUUUGCUACCAAAUAUCACCGGCUAACACUGAAAAAUUGAGGGCAAGUGUCAAAUACCUCCACAGGGACUACCCCAGGCGGCAGACAGAGAAGCGGCGUUGAAGCUGGUGGUCGAGCGGGGCGGCGCUCGCGUCGGCGUGCGCAGCGGCGACGGCGCGCGAGGAUGGAGUUUCGGGAGGUUGCGUGCGGGCUUGGCUGAAGACGCGGCGCGCGCUAGGGCUUCGCUGCGGCAGGCGUGCAGCAGGGGAGAAGAAAGAAAAGAGAAAGAAAGAAAGAAAAAGAAAGGAAAGAAAGAACAGAAAAGAAGGAAAAGAAAAAGGAAUUUUUCUUUUUUUUCUUUUUCUUUAGGCUACGGUUUAGAGGACAAAUUUUUCUUCUUCUUGUUUUCUACUUUUUUAUUUUUUUAUUUUUUAGUUUUUAAUUUAUUACUAUUAUUAUCAUAUUUAAUUGAGGAAAAAAAAUGUUUUUUUUUAAAUCCCUACCUUUCCCACGAACGUGACGCGGGCACGUCAAGAGGGCAAGAGAGCUCCCAGAAGUUUCAGAAUUUUCUGAUCGUAAGCGUCCUGCACAUCACCACGCGGGCACGUCAUGAGGACAGGAGAGCUCCCAGAAGUUCAGAAUUUUCUGAUCGUGAGCGCCCUGCACGUCACCACGCGGGCACGUCAUGAGGCCAGGAGAGCUCCCAGAAGUUUGAAGUUUCUGAUUCCUGCCCGUCAUCACGCGGGCGCGUCAUGACUGAAGGUCACCUACAAAUCAGCAAAAACGAAAACUAACACCCAAAAUCAGUCAAAUUCAGGGAAAGCAGAUUUAAACUAUGCUACAAAACCAACAAACAAUUAAAAGAAAUAAUUAGGUUGCCUCCCAAUGAGCGCCUUUCUUUAAUGUCUUUGGCUAGACAUGGUAAAGUGUCACUGAUUAGGACACGGUGGUGCGUCAAGCCUUAUUGUCUCCACCUCUCUACCUGAAAAUCCUUCGUAAUAAUAUUUGAGACGGUGUCCAUUCACCACAAAUUUGUUGUCUGUCUUAGCACUCUGGAUCUCAACUGCACCAUAGGGAAAAACAUGAGUAACAAUGAAAGGUCCAAUCCAACGGGAACGUAGCUUACCUGGGAAUAGCUUGAGCCUGGAUUGGUACAGGAGGACCUUCUGACCAACUUCAAAUGUUUUUCUUGAAAUUUGUUGGUCAUGAAAUGCCCGGCUUUUCUCCUUAUAUAUCAAGGCGUUUUCGUAUGCUUCGUUCCGGAUCUCCUCCAAUUCUUGCAAAUCCAACUUCCGUUGAGCACCGGCCUCCUCUAAAUUCAUAUUGCAGUGCUUUAUCGCCCAAAAAGCCUUGUGCUCGAACUCCACUGGAAGGUGACACGGCUUCCCAAAUACCAACCUGUACGGUGACAUCCCAAUAGGAGUCUUGUACGCCGUCCGAUAGGCCCAGAGUGCGUCUUCCAACCUUUGGCUCCAGUCUUUUCUAUCAGGGCGCACCAUUUUCUCUAAAAUGGACUUAAUCUCCCGAUUCGACACCUCCGCUUGACCAUUGGUCUGAGGGUGGUAUGACGUUGAGACCCUGUGGAGUACACCAUACUUGCGAAACAACGCAGCUAUGGUUUUGUUGCAAAAGUACGUUCCCCUAUCACUGACAAUAGCUCUAGGCAUUCCAAACCGCACAAAGAUAUUAGACCUGAUAAAAUCUGCAACUACUCUCGAAUCAUUAGUUCGAGUGGCCUUAGCCUCCACCCAUUUAGACACAUAAUCAACUGCCAGCAAAAUAUAUAAAAAACCAAAUGAAGUAGGAAAAGGCCCCAUGAAAUCUAUACCCCAGACAUCAAAAAUUUCAACAAAAAUCAACGGGACCUGGGGCAUUUGAUCUCUACGGGCUAUAUUACCUACCAUUUGACAGCGAUCACAUGACUUACAAAACACAUAGGCAUCUCUAAACAAUGAAGGCCAAUAAAAUCCACUUUCUAAAACCUUAUGAGCAGUUCUCUUAGGUCCAAAAUGACCUCCACAGGCAAAAGUAUGACAAAAAGCUAAAAUUGAUUGAAAUUCCAUUUCACUUACACAUCUCCUCAUCACUUGAUCGGCACACCUCUUCCAUAGGUACGGGUCAUCCCAGAUAAAAUACUUGGCAUCGCUCUUCAAUUUAUCCCUCUUCGAUUUCGGCCAACCUGCAGGAAAAUUACCAGUUACCAAAUAAUUGACCAAAUCAGCAUACCAAGGCAACUGAGAAUUUAAGAAAAAUAGGUAUUCUUCGGGGAAUGCAUCCUUCAAUGGCUCGCUAUCCUCUUCAACUAGUAUGCGACUCAAAUGGUCCGCUACUAGAUUUUCUGAGCCUUUUUUGUCCCUUAUCUCCAAGUCAAAUUCCUGUAGGAGCAGUAUCCACCGUAUGAGCCUCGGUUUUGCAUCUUUCUUGGUCAUCAGGUACCUCAAUGCUGCAUGAUCAGAAAAUACAAUCACUUUAGCACCUAACAAGUAUGACCUAAAUUUUUCCAAAGCAAAAAUAACUGCCAGAAGCUCCUUCUCAGUGGUGGAAUAAUUCAACUGGGCUCCAUUCAAGGCCCGGGAUGCGUAAUAGAUGACAUGAGCCGCCUUGCCUAUUCUUUGCCCCAGUACAGCCCCAACAGCGUGAUCACUGGCAUCGCACAUGAUCUCAAAUGGCAAAUUCCAAUCGGGGGGUUGGAUGAUUGGGGGUGAAGUCAGCAAUUCCUUCAGCUUGUUAAAGGCUCUCUCACACUUAUCAUCAAAUUCGAAGGCUACAUCUUUUUGUAGGAGUUGGAACAACGGGGCUCCAAUCUUUGAAAAAUCCUUGAUGAACCUUCGAUAAAAACCUGCAUGUCCAAGAAAAGAGCGCACCUCCCGCACACUCGCGGGGUAAGGUAAUGCAGAAAUAAUGUCUAUUUUAGCCUUGUCAACUUCUAUGCCCUUAGACGAUACAAUAUGACCCAGGACUAUUCCGUGCUCAACCAUAAAAUGACAUUUUUCCCAAUUAAGCACAAGAUUAGUCUCUAUACACCUGAUCAGGAUUAAUUUCAGGUUAUCUAGACAAGUAUCAAAACUAUCACCAUACACACUGAAAUCAUCCAUGAAAACUUCUAUUAUUUUCUCAACAUACUCGGAAAAGAUGCUUACCAUACAUCUUUGGAAAGUCGCAGGUGCAUUGCACAACCCAAAUGGCAUUCGUCUGUAGGCAAAGGUCCCGAACGGGCACGUGAAGGUUGUCUUCUCUUGAUCCUCCGGGGCAAUUGCUAUCUGAAAGUAUCCUGAAAAUCCAUCCAAAAAGCAAUAAUAAGCCCUACCAGCUAAACGUUCAACCAUUUGGUCAAUGAAAGGGAGAGGGAAAUGGUCCUUUUUGGUGACGGCGUUUAGCCUACGGUAAUCUAUACAUUGCCUCCAUCCAGUGGGUUUGCGCACUGGCACGAGCUCACCAGUUUGGUUGGCCUCUACCGUCACUCCUGCAUUCUUUGGGACUACCUGGACCGGACUCACCCAAGGGCUAUCAGAUAUUGCAAAAAUGAUGCCCACAUCUAGCAAUUUUAGAAUCUCUUUCUUUACGACUUCCAUCAUGAGGGGAUUGAGCCUUCUUUGAGCCUGCCUAACAGGUUUGGCAUCGUCUUCCAGCCUAAUCCGGUGCAUACAAAUGGCCGGGCUGAUCCCCUUAAUGUCUGCGAUUGUCCAGCCUAUUGCCUCUUUAUGCUCCCGAAGGACCCGGAUCAAUUUCUCUUCCUGGGUCUUUGACAGUGCCGAUGAGAUAAUCACUGGGAGUGUCUCAUUAUCACCUAGGUAUGCGUAUUUCAGGUGCUCUGGUAGAGGUUUCAACUCCAGUACAGGUGCCUGCACCACAGAUGGCAAUACCCUCUGGUGAGCCUUGGGAGUAAAAAUAGGUAAGACUUCAUACCUUUUCGUGGUGGUCUGCAACGAGUGUAAUGCACCUAUUGUGCAUUUUAAAUCCUCGCUCCACUCCACCUCAGGAGUUGUCUCCAACUCGAGGUGCUUGGUUAAAGCCACCUCCAGCUCAUCCCUGCCAUCAGUUUCAAACACUUCCUGCACUACAGGGUCAAUAGCACUCACAGAAAAAACUGAGCUAAAGUUGGAGUUAGAGGGGUACUUCAUAGUAUCAAAAAUAUUAAAAUGCACAAUUUACCCAUCAAACUCCAUGGACAAGGUACCCUUAUUAACAUCAAUUUUCGUCUGCGCAGUGCUCAUAAAAGGUCUACCCAAUAACAAAGGUGAGGGAUCAGGGGAGUGAUCAUCAUCCAUAUCUAGUACAUAAAAAUCAGCUGGAAACACCAAAUCAUUAACCUUUACCAACACAUCUUCAAUCAACCCAUCAGGAUAUGCAUUAGUUCGGUCAGCUAAUUGAAUAAUUAUUCCAGUUUCUUUUAAUGGACCUAGUUUCAAAGAAGCAUAGAUAGAUUUAGGCAUGACAUUAAUUGAUGCUCCCAGAUCCAGCAUGGCCCUUCUGAUCACAGUAUUACCUAUCUUACAGGGAAUAGUAAACAUACCUGGGUCCCCGCACUUUGGUGGGAGCUUUCUCUGCAGGACCGCAGACACAUUUUCUCCAACUAUGACCCGUUCAUCUCCCCUCAACCGCCUUCGGUUGACACACAAGUCCCUUAGGAACUUGGCAUAUUUUGGUACUUGUUUGAUGGCGUCUAAGAGGGGGAUAUUUAUCUCAACCUUGCGAAAAACCUCCAAGAUCUCCUUCUCCUUAUCCUGCUUCUUCGAUUUUUCCAACCUGCUAGGAAAAGGAGGCGGGUUAGUUUUAACUGUAAUUAUUGGGUCAGGAAGUACCUCUGGAUCUGCACCAUUGCUGUCCUCCCUUUCGAGCUCAUUUUCGAUCUUCUCUUCAUCCUUGUCCUUGGGAAUCACAGGUUCAGGCCCCUGAAUUUCUUUCCCACUCCUUAGGAUCAUUGCGCUCACGUUCUUCGGAUUCAACUCCGGUUGAGAUGGCAGCUUCCCUUGGUUCUGGGACUCCCAACGGUUCAUUCUGGUGGCCAAUUGACCUAUCUGAUUCCUUAUGUCCUGCAUUUCGGAGUCCGUCUUUUGCUGAUUUUGCAUAAUAGCUGCCUCCGUCCUUUGCUGAUUCUGCGCCAUGGUUGUCAUCAUUUGUUUCAGCAUCUCAUCCGUAGAUGAACCAGAUUGAGGGAGCGGAGGUGGUCGGGGUUGGUAUUGCUGCUGGUACCCUGGUGGCUUAUUUGGCACAAAGUUAGACUGCCUGUUUGGCGUGAAGUUGGAUUGCCUAUUUCCACCAUAACUGAGGUUGGGAUGAUCUCUCCACCCGGGGUUGUAGGUGCUUGAGUAAGGGUCGUACUGCUUCCUUGGCGCGGGCGCGUGGUCAGCCAUGUUCACCUGUUCCGCAGUUUCUUCCUGAAUCAUUGGGCACAUGUCUGCAGAGUGACCUAUACCAGUGCAAAUCCCGCAUACCCUGGCUUGUGAUGCAUUUCUCACAGCCUAUUGCCUAACGAACGCAGUCAACUCAUUUAGCUGCUGCUGCACAGAGGGUGUCUCUAUCUCAUUCACCCUACGUAUUGGGACAUCCUAUCUUGUACUGAAUUGCUGUGAAUUCUCUGCCAUCCCCUCUAUUAACUCCCGUGCUUCCUGAGGGGUUUUGUUCACCAGUGCCCCUCCACUUGCAGCAUCAAUGAUGCUCCUGUCUCUAAAAAUGAGCCCCUCAUAGAAAUAUUGUAUGAUCAACUGCUCACUUAUUUGGUGAUGGGGGCACCUGCGCAACAAGCUCUUAUACCGUUCCCAAUACUCGUAAAGUGACUCCUCGGGAUGCUGCUUGAUCCCACAAAUUUCUUUCCUUAGACUCGCAGCCCUGGACGCAGGAAAAUAUUUAUCCAGAAAUUUUUUCUUCAAUUGGUCCCACGUGGUGAUGCUACCUGGUGACAGGUAGUACAGCCAGUCCUUCGCAGAAUCUUUCAAGGAGAAGGGGAAUGCCCUCAUUUUUAUCUGCUCUUCUGUGAUUCCCGGGGGUUUCAUACUGUUGCAAACGACAUCAAACUCCUGCAGAUGCUUAUACGGCUCUUCACCUGGUAAACCAUGAAAAGAGAGUAAAAGCUGAAUCAGACCAGAUUUUAGUUCAAAUGGAAUGUUGUCAUUUAAAGCUGGGAAAGUAAUGCAUAACGGCUGCUGAGUUAAAUCAGGAGCAGCCAACUCCCUUAAUGUUUAUGCAUUAGCCAUGGUGCCUUCCUGCUGGUCAGAGUCACUCGAAGUGUUACCAAACGAAUCUGUUGGUUCAACUUCUGACUCGGGUCUUUGAGAUGUAGCACUAGAGUGCUCUUCUCUGAGCUGUCUGGUUUCCUUUCUCGUUCUACGCGCGGUCUUCUCUACCUCAGGAUCAAAAACCAAAUCACCUGUGCGACAAGAUCGAGGCAUACACUAGAAGAAAACCAGAAAAUUAGGACAAAAUUGAAUUUAAGAAGAAACAAAUAAUAACGCCAGUCCCCGGCAACGGCGCCAAAAAUUGACAGGUCGUCAACCUGUGCAAUAAUAAAAUUAAACCUAAUUGCCAGUUAAAAUGACCAAAACCCAAUUCCAAGUACUGGAGCAGGGACUCUAGGUGUGCAAUGGGUUACUUGAUUCACCCUGUUCCCGAAGAGUUUGCUUGAUCCGAUAUACCCGAAUGGAAUGGUUAUUCCUUUUCACAAAUGAUUAGGAAUUUGUAGACAGGGCAAGUAGGGUCGUAUCCACAGAGACUGGGUAUAUUUGUUUCUUAAGAAAUCCAAAGUAACACAGGGGGUGAUUUUGUAGGAACGACGAUAAUUAAAUAAAUUCAAAUGAGAAAGUAAAAAUAAAUAAUUAACUAGAAAUUAAACCACAAUUUACUGAACUCAGGAUAACAAUAGUUAAAGGCCUCAAUUAAUUAAAAUAAGGAAACAAUCAAAAAUAAAAUAAAGUAGGUAAUUAAAAGUCAAAUGGCAAUCCACUACAAUCAAGGAAAUAUUAACUAAAGAUCUAGCCAAGAAAUAACUUCAGCAAUGGUUCACCUAAUCGAUCAUUGAUGCAAAGCAAUCCCAAUUAUUUACUAAUAAAUAGGUUAUAACUACCAAACAAGCGAUGGCAGUCAACCCCUCCUUACUGUGUCGGUGAUCAAGGUACGCCCGUUAAUCACUGCUCUAAUUGAGAAAUAAUCCUAGGUACGCCCGUAGAAUUUAAUUCCCCAACUGCCUUACGUAUUAGAGGAGCCCUAUUCUACCCAAAUAACACACUACCAGGGUUAUUUUAGAUUAGCCCGCGUAUCCCCCUGACACGAAUCUAAUCGUGCCAGUUGUCACUAAUUUGAGGUAAUUAAACAAUUACGGAUUCAAUACCCCAAUUGACAAUAGAUUAUCAAACCAAUGAAUUAUCCGGAUCCAAGACAAUCAACUAAUUAAAUAAUCAUAAGCACUGCAACCAAGGAAUAUGCGAAUACCAAUAAAUAAAGGAAAAGAUAAAAUUAAAUCGAUCUCACAAUUUACAGGUGAUCCAAAGCAUCAGUCGUUUCUUGACUAGAACGAGGGGGUUAGCUCAUAUUGGAUGAACUAAGCCCGCGGGAAAUUCCAGCAAAAGUCACGGCCGUUGUAUGCAUUUCAAGAGCCGCAAUUCGUCAAACACUUGGAAAGCGAAUGUAAGGCACGGGUAACAAUUGAAGCUUUCUAAUUGUUCCUAGCAUUCGUAAAGCAAAUUCACUCCAGAAGUACAGUGAGGAAAAGUCAAAGAAAGUGGGCUUCAAUUCCUUGCUCCUGACAUGCGUGGAGACAAGCCAAUGCAAGACUACAAUAAACUAACAAGGAAAAGUCAAGAAUUGGAGCUAAGCUCCCCUGCCAUGCGCAGGAAUCCGAAAAGUAAAAAGUAAAGCUUCAAAGAAAAGUCAACAAUUCUUCCUAAGCUACAGACGGAAGAUCCAGCACAAAAGCCAGCUCCCUUUUUUAUCCCUUUUUCCCCCUUCUUAUUGCGGCGGCUCACCAGGAGAGGAGAGCCCUCCGUCCGUCCUUUCUUCCGAAAAUUACCAAAAUGGGCAUGACAUCUUCUCUUCCAAAAGUGCCCCUGGGACAAGCUUUCUCAUCUGAAUUCUUUUUUUUUCCAAUUUGGCACCUGUUAUCAUAUUUAUAUUCUACUCCCUGAAAUAAACGUCAAAUACUAAAAGUGAGUAGAAUCCAGCAAAUAAAUCCACAUCAAGUCAGGUAAUAGGAGGAAUUAAUAAUAAAAUAAAUGAAUAAAUUGCACCCUAUCAGAAAAAUGCAAAAAUUUGUUAUUUAUCAUUAAGGAUCAUAUCGCAUAUAACAUCAAAAAAUAGUAUAUUAUUUAUAUCUUUCACUUAAUAUAAUAUCCAAAUUACUCUUUUCAGUUACAUACCCAUUGUUAGACAAAAUCAACAACAAAUAACCAAAAAAUUUGCAACCAAAAUAUUACCAAAAAAAUAAACUUUAACAUCAUAAAUAUUUUUAUCAACAUAUUAAAGUUAGUUAUUGAAAUUUUUAUGGUGUUAAACUUCACUCUUAGCAAUAUUUUGGUUACAGAUUUUUUUGAUUAUUUAUUGUUGAUCGUGUUUGACAAUGGAUUUGUAACUGAAAAGAAUAAUUUGAAUCUUACAUUAAGUGAAAUAUAUAAAAUAUUAUACUAUUUUUUAUGGCAUAUGUGAUUCUUUUUUUUUUUUUUAUCAGAACGGCAACAUUGUAUUAAUAGUAAACCAAUUACAGUAUAGGUGGGCAACCGCCCUCACAAUCUGCCUGGACUUGUUCCAGCAGCCAAACUGGGAAGUUUUCCUUCCAUUCAGUAUUUUGUUCCAAAGUAAUAGCUACUUUAGCUAGUUUAUGGCUAACAAAGUUGUUCACCCUAUUUGCAAAGGUAAAACAACAUUCAUCAAAUUUUAUUCAUGUACAAUUGUUGCUAUCACCACGUCCUCCUCCUCCUCCUCACUGCACACUACUUGACUACCACCCUUCGCCAACCUUGCUGUUGCAUGUGCAACUAUCAUGGCCUCUCUUAGCGCCUUUGCUUCUUCGACCUUUGGACUGGCACAGCUAAAAUUUGGAACAGCCCAGGCCCACCCGCAAUCUUCCCAACCAAUCCCUGGCCACCCUUUUCCCACCCAGCUUCUAUGGCAUGUGUGAUUCAAUCCUUCUUGAUAGGAUUGGUAAUAGAGGCAGAGGGGGGAGCCGGCUGCAUCCGGUCUACUUUUCAUAGAUAGUACAAUAUUGCGAAAUCGAUCGCAUUCACACAAGAAUAUUUCGAAGUCAUUGCAUCGCUAAGUUGCAAAAAAGUACAAACACUUGUUAUUAUAUAGCUUAAGAUUCAAAACUUUAGAGCACAACCCUCCACCUAACACAAUUGAAUAAUGAAUAUUCACGAUUGUCAAAUCUGUCAAAGCACAGUUUGAGGACAACCCAUUCCAACCUGCAAAAGAUUUUUGACUUUUUUAAAGUUGUUGAGAGCUGUAAAAAGACUUACCAUGCUUACAUCUUCCGAGCCUUGGGAGUUAAAAAUGAAGGCACUGAGUGCUAUAAAAAGGGGGCUAGAGGCUGCCUAGAAGCAUAUCAGCCUAAAACAAGAAUUUGUAGUUAUGAUGGGAAGCAAAGCAAAAGCAAUGGGGUCUGGGCUGACUCCUCUUCUUACCACUGUUUUAGUGGUAUUUGUUGCUCUUGGCUUGCCCUCAGAAACUGCAGCUGAUGAUCACUACAAGUAUUCAUCUCCUCCUCCUCCUUACCACUAUCCCUCACCACCACCUCCAGUGCAUUUACCUCCACCAGUGUACAAAUACAAGUCCCCACCACCACCUCAUCAUGUUUACAAGUACAAAUCUCCACCACCCCCACCACCACACCCAGUUUACAAGUAUAAGUCGCCACCACCACCUCCUCAUCCGGUAUACAAGUACAAGUCUCCUCCGCCACCUCCUCAUCCGGUACCACACCCAGUUUACAAGUAUAAGUCACCACCACCACCUCCUCAUCCGGUACCACACCCAGUUUACAAGUAUAAGUCUCCUCCGCCACCAGUUUACAAAUAUAAGUCUCCUCCACCACCACCUCCAGUGUACAAAUACAAGUCUCCACCACCACCAGUUUACCACUACAAGUCUCCACCACCUCCUCCCCCAGUUUACAAAUACAAGUCUCCACCACCACCACCACCAGUUUACCACUACAAGUCACCACCACCUCCUCCCCCAGUUUACAAAUACAAGUCUCCACCACCUCCUCACCACUACUAAGCAAUUGCUUCUGAGGUAAUAACACUUGUUCAAUAUACCCACUUCUGCAUGAUAAAGCAUAUCUCUAUCAACACAAACUGUCAUGUCUAUCAUGCUAAGUGCCUUCACUUCAUCCACCAAAAUGACUGCUAGAAAAUUUUUUUUAUGUUACCAAAGAAAGGCAUCAUUUUUUCCCUCUGUUAUCAAGAACUUGUACAGUAUAUAGAUUAAAGAGUAUUUUUUUAACUAGCUUAUCAACUGAGAAAUGCAUAUAGCUGAUAGCCAGCUGAAUAUUUGCAGGCAAAGGAGAAGGAAACCAGUGUUUGAGACCUUCUUGAAGAUGUAGAAGCAUAAGAAUUAAAGCCCAAUGUGAAGAUGAUGAUUUCAAGUUUUUCUACGUUACCAUUUCUUUAUCUAAAUUGGUUGUAGCGCCUUAGUUCCUUUGUUUAUGGGAUUUGUAUCGUUUUACGUACCAUGCAGUACAUGUCAUGUUUGUAAGGUUUUCUAUCCUGCCGGCAAACCGCAGGUUCCAUGUAAUAAAUCAAUACUAUUUAUAUUACGACACUUUUCUCUGUUUCUCUUAUAUUUUGUCGUCUUUAAUAUUCUUAAUCAUAUUUUUAACAAAAAUAUUCAAACACUUAGGCAAUCUGGUCUAAUGCUAAUUGUAUGUUUUACUUUUCUUUUUCACCUGCUCCCCUUUUCAACUCAAAAGGAUGCAAUAGUUUGUGAUCACUGUUGAAGACGGAAGCAUGAUACUAAUGAAUAUAUCAUUGAAACUCAAGGAAACUAACAUUAUGAAAAGUGUAAAUCUUGAUUUGAUGCAACUAUUUAUUCGUGGAAUCUAUAGUUACAAAACUCAAACUCUGACUGCGCCAUUGAUAAAUUAUUAAUGACGCUAUCAUCAUUAUUUAUCCCCAACUAGUUUCGACUACAACUGAACCCAAUAUUUUCCCCAUGAUAAAAGUUUUUUACUAUUUUACUGGCCUCUCUUCAAAUUUUAAAAAUUACACUAAUCUUCAUUGAGAUUAAUUAUCUUGUAGCAUUUAAGUCCAAUUAAUAAUUAAAAAAUAAUAUUAUGAGAGAGAAAAUAAUAUAAUUUUAUCAUUGCCCCCCAUCUUGCUAUAUUAUUUAAUUAAUUUAAUAGCAACCCACACAUUAAAGAAAAAUACUAAAAUUUGCUGCUUUUCAUUAAAGAUCAAAUUGCAUAUGCCAUAAAACAUAGUAUAUCAUUCUAUAUGUUUCACUUAAUGUAAGAUCCCAAUUGUUCUUUUCAAUUACAAACCCAUUGUCAAACAUGAUCAAUAACAAAUAACCAAAAAAUUUGCAACCAAAAUAUUACAAAAAAAAACUUUAACAUCAUAAAUAUUCUUACCACCUCUAGUGCAUUCACCCUCAUAAAAUAAUUCAAGACCCUACUGUCAUAAAAUGACUGAUCAACUCCUGUAAACCUAAUUUGACAACAUUUAAAUGGAGAACUUUAGCUAAAAGAAUUAUGGUCAAGCUAAAGAAAAAACCAGUUAUUUUCCAACAUAUGCAAUCAUUGAUCAGGGAAAAAAAAAAGAAGCAAAAAGACAUCUUCAAUCAUUUAAUAGCUUACAGGGCAAAUUAACCCCUAAGCGAAAACUGGUUGCUCUAGAAUCAAAAUUUUACUUUAGUUACCCAGGCAACUUUUUUUGUUGCCUUUUCUUUUUCUUUUUUGGGUAUAUAUAUAGCUCCAGUUUUGCCCCCUCUGUCAAGCUUAUAUAAUUAUUAAGAUAAUAAAAGUGCCUUUAAUAGUAUUAAUAUAUCCAUUGACUUGAGCUGUCAUCGAUCGGUUUGGGCUACUUCGAUUCCAUGAGAACAAAUGGUAAUAAAAGUACUCAGAAAAUGGGGAGUCAUGAAACCCUUUUGUUCUAUUCAUUGCUAAGAUGCUUUUCUCUAUAAAGACACUUCCUAACGAAAAUACUUUGUAGAUUUCUUUACUCCAAGUGGUGCAUGGAAAAUUAAUAUUUUCAAUUAUCAAAUAAAAUUCCCUUUUUUCGGUGUAGAUUUCAUCCAUUCAGCUGUUAACACUCCGAAUUGACUAAUCUUUUCGUUUCCAUUUUCCAACUUGCGAAUACGGCAUCUUACAUAUUGUCUGCUGAAUAUGAAUACAUAUCCCUUUUCUGAGCAGGUGCAGAGUCAUUAUCAUUUUUAUUCCCACCUAACAAAUUAGUUAAUAAUCUUUUAAAGAACAUGUUAAAUUAAUUUAUUGGUAUGAAUAGUAGUCAAAGAAGUAUGUUAAAGUUAGUAAUCUUUAAAAUAAUAUGUUAAAAUUAUUCGUACAAAUUAGCCAGAGAAGUAGCAUAAACACCGCGAUGCAAUUAAUACUUUCAAUCUCAAGGUCUCUAUUAUGGAAAUUUGCAUCGGUCAACAUACACAAAGCAUUAUUGUAUGCACGUCUCUCUAUUAUGGAAAUUUGCAUAGGUCAAUAUACACUUGGCAUAGUUGCAUGCACGUCCAAUUUUUUUUUAUUUUUAUUUUUGGUAUUUUACUUCCUGCCUUAAGUUGCCUGCAGAUGUUUGUAUUACAAAUAUAUGGUAUACUAAAUAUAUAGUAUGCACAUUAAUUUCUUUGGGUUGCUUAAGGGUAUAUUGUUAAUAAUAGGGGGUUUAACCAUAAAUUAUAACAAUGAUGAAGUAAUAUAUAUUAGAAAAUUAACACAAUUAUGAUUUUUUUUUUUGUAAAAUUCAAAUUUUAUUAAUAAGAAAUGAAAUAGGCAGUAAGCAUUUACAAACCGAAAACAAAAUCCUACAACAACUCUAGGACUCUACACCUUAUUAAAAAAAAACAUUUUGAUAGCGUUUUUCCAAAAGCAGAAGAUGGAAAAUUGCCCAUUUGUACUGGGGAGUUCGUGAUCUUUUCCUCAUUCUAGUCUACUUACAAUUCUUGGAAAAAGGAAUACUCACAUCUCAAACAACAGCCUGUUCAUCUGCAGUGUCCUGCCGAAUUCUAGAAAGUUUGGUGGCAAUGUUAAUUACAUUUCAAAAUUGACUGCUGCGAUAACUAAUUCGAUGGCUUACUACAUGGUCAACGUUUGGAUCUCUUCCUGUCCUUUUUGGAUGCACAUUUUUUUUCUCUAGGUAAUAUAUAAUCUCCCAACUCAUUUCUUUACAAAUGCACCUUUAAUCACCACCAAAAGGUGUGGACAUGAUCUUUACCCUAGAAAACUAUUCACCGACAGGCAAAUUGACGUCAGAAAUACUAAGAGGAAUUCUAGUUUCCUUCGGGUUAAUGCCAUUUUGUACCCUUCAACUGUAACUCAAUUUCUAAGCUGUAAUUUGUGACAUUAUAGUCCUUAAACUAUGAAACCCUUUCUUAUUUAAUUACAAUGGUUAAUACAAUGCCCGUGACUAGACAAGUAUGAAGCAACCAUAACAAAAAAAAAAUCCAAAAUUAGAGAAAAGAAAGAAGUUGCGACCAAAGUAUGUAUCAAGGCAUAGUAUAGAAAUAAAAGUGUCAAAAUUAAGAGUUUAGGGAUAAAAAAGAAUCAAAAUAUAGUUUAGGAAUUGAUUUGUCUCAAUUAGAGUUUAGAUGUCAACUAAGAAGAGAGAUAUAGUUGAAGGGUAGAAUAUAGAUAUAACAGUUCAAUGAUUGAUAUCAACGAGACAAUGACAACUUUGGAUUAUUACCAACCUCUUCUUGAUGGAAAAGGAAAUAGAGAAGAAAGUCGGGCCUGGUCUAAGCCUGUUUCGGAGGCAAAACAACAUUAUGAAAUCACCGGCAUUCACACAAAUAUGUCAAAGUCACCGGCAUGCUAAGUUGCAAAAUUUAUACAAACACUGAAUAUUAUAUUCUUCUCAAAAUUUUUGUUUAAGAUUUAACAAUUAGAGCACGGUACACGAAUUAGCAAUAUUAAAUAAUGAAUGUUCACGAUUGAUAAAGUUAUCAAAGUACAGUUUGAGGACAACCCAUUCCAACGUGUACAAGAUGUUUAGCCUUUGAAAAGUUAAUUAGAGAAGGUGACGAGAUUUUACUAGGCUUACAACUUCUAGGCCUUGGGAGUAAAAAGUGAAGACACUGAGUGCUAUAAAAAGGGGGCUAGAUGUUGCCUAGAAGCAUAUCAGCCUCGGACCACAUUUUGUAGCAAUGGGGAGCAAAGCAAAAGCAAUGGGGUCUAGGCUGACUCCUCUUUUUACCACCGUUUUAGUGGUAUUUGUUGCACUUGGCUUGCCUUCAGAAACUGCAGCUGAUUACGACAAGUAUUCACCUCCUCCUCCUCCUUACCAUUAUUACUCACCACCACCUCUUGUGCAUUCACCUCCACCACCGCCAGUUUAUAAGUCACCCCCACCACCUUAUCACUACUUCUCACCACCACCUCCAGUGUAUCCAUCUCCACCACCAUCUGUUUACAAGUCACCUCCACCACCUUCGCCAGUAUACAAGUCCCCACCACCACCUUAUCAAUAUUCCUCACCACCACCUCCAGUGCAUUCACCUCCACCACCACCGAUUUAUAAGUCACCUCCACCACCUCCUCCAGUUUACAAGUCCCCGCCACCACCUUACCAUUAUUCCGCACCAUCACCUCCAGUGCAUUCACCUCCACCACCACCGAUUUACAAGUCACCUCCACCACCUCCUCCAGUUUACAAGUCUCCAUCACCACCUUACCAUUAUUCCUCACCACCACCUCCAGUGCAUUCACCCCUACCACCACCGGUUUACAAGUCUCUGCCACCACCUUACCAUUAUUCCUCACCACCACCUCCUAUGCAUGCACCUCCACCACCAAUAUACAAGUCACCUCCACCACCUCCUCCAGUUUACAAGUCUCCACCACCACCUUACCAUUAUUCCUCACCACCACCUCCAGUGCAUUCACCCCUACCACCACCAGUUUACAAGUCUCCGCCACCACCUUACCAUUAUUCCUCACCACCACCUCCUGUGCAUGCACUGCCACCACCAAUUUACAAGUCACCUCCACCACCUCCUCCAGUUUACAAGUCCCCACCACCACCUUACCAUUAUUCCUCACCACUACCUCCAGUGCAUUCACCUCCACCACCACCGAUUUACAAGUCACCUUCACCACCUCCUCCAGUUUACAAGUCUUCACCACCACCUUACCAUUAUUCCUCACCACCACCACUCUUCAAUUUGGAUGUAAUUCAAUUUUCCUUGUAAUCGGUGGCCCUCCUUCGGAAUCCAAAUAGUCAUUGAGUGCAGCCUUCUUUCUUUAUUUUUUACUCAUUUUCACCUCAUAAAUUGCUUUCAUCCCCUAAAACUUGUUCGCUGGAAUUUUGAAUUUACCCAUACAACUAAACUCAGAAAAUUCUUACACAAAGGGAUUAGUAGCAUGAAUAGCAAACACAGAAUAAGAGAUAACAGUAUGUUUUAUUGUAUUAAAAAUAUUAAAGUGGAUUAUUUCUCCAUCGAAUUCCAUUGUGAGAGUAUCGUUACUAACAUCAAUCUUAGUUUGAGCAGUACUCAAGAAUGACCUUCCUAAUAUAAUGGGUGAUGGAUUUGGGACACUUUCAUCAUCCAUAUAAAACACAUAAAAAUCAACAGAAAAAAUUAAUCCAUCUACUUGAACUAAAAACAUCCUCAACUACCCCAUUUAGAUAAGCAAAUAUACGAUCAGCCAAUUGAAUUAUUAUCCCUAUUUCUUUUAAAUGUUCUAAAUUUAGGGAAUCAUAAAUUGAUUUAGACAUCACAUUAAUAGAAAUCUUUAAAUCUAUCAUGGCAUUUUUUAUAUUAGAAUGUCCAAUCUUACAUGAGAUAGUAAACAUACCUAGAUUCUCGCAUUUAGGUGGUAGUUUCCUUUGUAAAAUUGCUGAAACGUUCUCAUCUACCACAAUAUGCUUGUCCUCCUCAAUUUCUUCUUGUUGACACACAAGUUUUUCAAGCAUUUAACGUAUUUUGGAACUUAUUUGAUUUGCGUCCAACAAAGGGAUAUUGAUUGCCACCUUGCGAAAAUCUCUAAAAUCUCCUUUUCUUUAUCUUGUUUCUUUGAUUUCUCUAACCUGCUUGGAAAAGGUGGUGAGUUAGUUCCAACUCUAAUUAUAGAAUCAACAAUUACCUUUGGAUUCACAUUUCUCAUUCCUUCCUCCUCAAGCUCUUUGUCGAUUCGAUCUUCAUUUUUAUCCUUUGGAAUCACAACUUCGGAUCCCUGAAUUUUCUUCUCGCUCCUUAAGGUCAUUACACUUACAUUCUUCAGGUUCAGUUCAGGUUGAGACGACAAUUUUUCAUAGAUUUGGGAUUCCAGGCGGUUGAUUGCUAUUACCAUCUGACUCAUCUGACUCUGCAGUGCUUGCACCUGUCCCAAUUGAUUCCUCAUACUUUGCAAGUCAAAAUCCAUCUUUUGUUGAUUAGCAAUUAAUUGCUUCAUUAUCUCUUCUAUAGAUGGACUUGAGUUUGAAAGAGGUGGUGGCGGGCGAGACUGAUACUGUUAUUGAUACCCUUGCUAUCUAUUUGGUGCAAAAUCUGGCUACCUAUUUCCUCCAUAGCUGAGGUUGGGAUGAUCUCUCCAACCAAUAUUGUACGUAUUCGUGUACGAGUCGUAUGGUUUUCUUGGCACGGCGCGUGACCAGCCAUGUUCACUUGCUCCGUACUUUUCUCUUGAAUCAUUGAGCACAUCUCUGUAGAAUGACCCAUAGCAGUGCAGAUCCCACACAUCUUGACUCGUGAUGCAUUUCCUAUAGCUAAUUGCCUAACAAAGGAUGUUAAUUCGGUCAACUGCUGUUGGAUAGAAUAUGUUUCUACCUCAUUUACUUUGCGUGUUGGGGCAUCCUCCCUCGUACCAAACUGUUGCGAAUUUUCCGCCAUUCCUUCAACUAGCUCCCACGCUUCUCGAGAAGUCUUGUUCACCAAUGCCCUUCUACUUGCAGCAUCAAUUAUACUCCUGUCUCUAAAACGCAGCCCCUCGCAAAAAUAUUGGAUGAGCAAUUGCUCACUUAUUUGGUGUUGAGGGAACUUGAUGCAUAACUUCUUGAAUCGCUCCCAAUAAUCAUAAAGCGACUCUCCUGGAUGCUACUUGAUACCGUAUAUCUCCUUCCUUAGACUUGCAGCUCGAGAUGCAAGAAAAUAUUUGUCCAAGAACUUUUUCUUCAGCUGAUCCCACGUGGUGAUGCUACCUGGUGGUAGAUAGCACAGCCAGUCUUUUGCGGAGUCCUUCAAGGAGAAGGGAAAUGCCCUCAUUUUUAUCUAUUUUUCUGUAAUUCUCGGAGGUUUUAUGCUGUUGCAAACGACAUCAAACUCUUGCAAGUGCUUAUACGGUUCCUCACCUGGUAAACCAUAGAAAGAUGGCAAGAGAUGAAUUAGACCAGAUUUUAACUCAAAUGAAGUGUUAUCAUUUAAAAAUAGAAAAGUAACUGAGAUGCAGCACUGGAAUGUUCUUCUCGAAAUUGUCUGGUCUCUUUCUUUGUUCUACGCGUAGUCUUCUCUACCUUAGGAUCAAAAAUUAAUUUACCUGUACGAGAAGAACGAGGCAUACACUAGAAAAACACUAGAAAAUUAGAACAAAAAUGAACAUAAAAAGAAACAAAUAAACCAACGUCAGUCCCCAGCAACGGCGCUAAAAAUUGACAAGUUGUCGAUGCCUGUGCAAUAAUAAAAAUAAACCUAGUUACCAAUUAAAAUAAUCAGAGCCUAAUUCUGAGUACUAGAGCAGGGACUAUAGGUGUGCAAUGGGUUACUUGAUUCACCCUAUUCCUGAAGUUUGCUUAACCCGAUAUACCAGAAUGAGAUUGCUUAUUCAAAAGGAAUUAUUGAUUUGUAAACAGGGCAAGUAGGGUCGUAUCAUCAGGGAUUGAAAAAAUUUGUUUCUUUUCAAAUCCACAGUAACAAGGGGAUGUUUUUGUAUAAAUGAUAACAAUCUAAGGAGUGCAAAUAGAAAUAAAUAGAUAACUAGAAAUUAAAUGACAAUUCACUAAAAUUAGAGUAAUAAUAAUUAAAGGUCUAGCUAAGAAAUAACUUCAGCAAUGGUUCACCUAAUUGAUCAUCGACGCAAAGGCAAUUCCAAUUAUUUACUAAUAAAUAGGUUAUAACUGCAAAACAAGCAAUGACAGUCAACCCCUCCUUACUGUCGGUCGGUGAUUAAGGUACGCCCAAUCACUGCUCUAGUUGAGAAAUAAUUUUAGGGACGCUCGUAAGAUUUAAUUUUCCAAUUGCCUUACGUAUUAGAGGAGCCAUAAUCUAACCAAAUAACGCUACCAGGAUUAUUUUAAAUUAACCCGUGUAUUCCCUUGAUACAAAUUCAAUCAUGUCAGUUGUCACUAUUUCAAGGUAAUGAAACAAUUACGGAUUUAAUAUCCUAAUUGACAAUAGGUUACUAAAUCAAUUCACUAUUUCGAUCCAAGAUAAUCAAUCAAUUUAACAACUAAUAGCACUGCAAUCGGAGAAUAUGUAAAUACCAAUAAAUAAGAGGAAAAGAUAAAAUUAAAUCGAUCUCACAAUUUUUAAACAAAUCAAAGUAUCCGUUGUUUCUUGACUAGAAAAGAAAAUUUAGUUCAUUCCUAAUGUGAAAGACCCACGUGAGAAUUCAAAAAUAAUAUUCACGGAUAUUGUCUUGAUUCAAUAGAUUCAAUUGCGUUGGAAUAAGGAUAAAAAGCCAAACUAUAGAGAGUGAUUCAAUGUUUUGUUUCGUUUGCAUUUUUUCUACACAUAUGGAAGAAGAAAAACAACUAAAGGACGAAAAAAAAAAGUCAAAGAAAGGCACCCAAAGUAGUGCUUGGUCUCUACCAUCCUAUUUCCUAUCUAAUUACUACUUCCCUUCUGCGGCUGCCUAGAGGAAGAAAGAGAAAGCAGACUUCAGGUCUUGUUCCAUCUCCUCCCUUUUCGGCAAUUCCCCAAAAGUAGAAAAGUUCCUCCGUUUACCAAAAUGCCCCUGGAAUGAGGACUGCUACUUGAACUCAUUUUCUUGAUAACUGUCAAAUUAGCACUUGUUAUGGUAUUUGCGUCUACUUCCUGUAAUAAAUGUAAAUUGCCAAAAGUGAGUAAACUGAUAAUUAAUUUACAUCAGGUCAGGUAAUAGGAAAAAUUAAUUAUAAAAUAAAUGAUAAAAUUGCAACCUAUCACUUAGAAUAACCAGAAAUAAAACAAAACAAGAAAUGAAAGAAAUAAGAGGGUAGCAUAGACAUUUUGGAUUUUUCUGUUAAUUUGGAUGAUUUCCACCUACGGUCUAAUUUAAUCCAAAACACAAAUGGAUUAUGUGGAGAUUUUUAAACAAUGAGGGAGUAUCGUGACCGAAUCCCAAACCACAAAGGGGAUUUACUAUAUUUUACUCUUAAAUUUUGGUUUCAUCUCAUAGCAUACAAGAGUACUAUUUCACUGUCUGUCGACCAGGGAGGAGGGUUGGGUUGGGUGGUACGGGGGAGGGAGUCUAAGUAAGAGGUCUCAGGUUCGAAUCCUCCUGUUUAUACUAAAAAAAAAAAUUUACUAUCUGUCGACAAAGAUUUUCUAUGGUUGAUGUACCAUAGGAAAAAUCUGCCUAUACAAUUAUUUGGAAAAAUUAUCCAUCCAAACAUAGUCACGAUAGCAUUUUUUCAAAAACACUAGAUGCAAAAUUGUCCCCUUAAACGUGGAAAUUCAUGAUCUUUCCUCGACUAGUCUACUUGUCAAUUUUUGAAAAAAGAAUACUCACGCCAAAAACACGGCCUCUUCAUCUGCAGAAUUCUAAAAAGUUACGUAAACUCUAUAAACAAGUUGAUAGGUACAAUCGUACCCAAGAUCAAGUACAGAUAGUUGUACAUUCACUGCUGCAAUAACUAAUCUGAUGACUUACAAACACAUCAUGGUCAAUCGUUGAAUGGUAAUGAGUCUUUUGUUAUGCAUUAGUAUUAGUGUGUACACUCUAAUAGAUUGAUACUUAUACUCUUUAAAUUAUCAUAAUAAUACCCUUAAUUAACUUUAACCCUUAAAAAGAAUACGUGUUAAUACACGAGAGUGUGUAACCUGAAUUGUUACUUAUACAUUAGUGUGUAAUAGAACGGCAAGCAUUAUGGUGGUCAUUGAGCAACUUAUAGGAGAAAUAGUCCUAUAAGCUGUUCAAUGACCAAUCACAACUUGCUAAUUGGAUGACUAAUAUAGCUCUAGCUGUAAUGUUUUAAUUAAAUUCCACACUAACGUUGGGAUGACUUUUUAAUCAAAAAAAAAAAAGCCUUAGUUCAAGCUUUUCCCCUUAUUGUGCAUUUUUUAAAACAUUUGAUAGGCACUGCAAAUCUGUCAUUUUGGACAUUUUAUUAUUAACUAACAAUGAAAGCCGUGGACAUCAACCCAUAUCCAACAAAAUAUUAAAUUAAUAUUAGAAAAAUUAUUAAGUAAUUGGAAAAAAAAAAGAAGAGGCUAAUUUUCAUUGAAACCCACCGACAAACUAUCCGUGUCCAUAGCUUUUGAAUAGUGCAUUCAACGUUUAAUUGUAUGGUCCAGUUCAUUGCCGAUUACAUGGAGUAAAGAUUGUGCUCUUUCCUUUUUCACCCCUUUUGGAAUCGAUACUGUGGAGAAUUGGGUUUUUCCCUCCUUUUUUUCUUUUCUUUCCUUCUGUGCUUUGCAAAACAUACGUAAAAAUAUGAAAUCCGAAGCAUUCUUUAAUUGGGAUUAAGUAUUGUUGUUGAAAUUAAAAAGAAGAAAGAAAGAACAACAAAAAUCCCAAUCUGGGUUGAUUGUUGAGCUCUAGAUUGGCUGCAUCGUGCUUCCAUAGAAGUUCUCUUAGUGUGAUACGCUGCUUUCAAUCAGUUUUAAUAUUUAAGUAGAGUGCAAAAUAACUUUACUAUUUAAUGGGUUAUAAUGCACCAUUUGGUACCUCUCACCCACCUAUGAUUUGAUUUACUACUGGCAUGGUAAUGGACAGAGUUGGGGGAGCAGGAGGAGGGAGAUGGCGGUACCAGUCCGUCAACCACAGCACACCCUCCCUCGGACUUUGCGUGGUAGCGAAGUGGAGGCAGAUCGAGCACACAUGCACUAACGCCUUAAGUAUGUACAAUAUAUGUAUGCCAAAAGCAUAGCCAAGCCUACCAGCGCAUUUCAAUAAUAUAACCCGGAAAUUAAGGGCAUUGAAUUAAGUACGAUGAAUCAUAUUGGUGCACAAUUACAGUUUGAAGCUACCGAUUCGAGUAAAUUUAAGCGUAAGCACAAUCAAUCGCCAGUCAAAUGCUGAAAUAUGCAUAUGCAUGGAUGAAUGUAUGGGUUUCUUAGUUCCAGACCAAAGGCCAACAAUAAGGGAAGGAAGGACAGUUCUCAUUUUUAGCACGGACAAGGAGAUGAAGAAAAGUGUAUGUAGCUUGAGACAGAACAAUGGCAUGUGACCGCUCCUGAGACCACAUAACGUGGGGUGGGGAUGGGACGGCCAAGAAUGAAGAUGCCUGUCGGUCUCUCCGUGCUGCUACCAUAUGAAUCCCCCGUUAACCAAUUCAAGAUAAGCCUGAAGUUCUUUUCAUCCCCAAACCCUGUCCCAUCUGUGUAAAUCCAACAUCAUCAUUUACGACCUGCAACUCAGGUUAAGCAUGUUCUAUUGAGAUUCAGACACCACCCUUCAAAAGAUAUACUACUGUGAAACCAGCAGCUUAAUAUCAUUGUAUAAAAAAAAAAAAAAAAGAAAGAAGAAAAGACAUGAAAAGCAAAUUUUGUGGGGAUAAUUUCAAAAUCUCUCCUAAAGUUUUUUACUAUUUUACUGGCCUCCUUUCAAAUUUUAAAAAUUACACCAGUCUUCCUUGAGAUUAUUUAUCUUGUAACAUUGAGGUCCAAUCAAUAAUUAAAAAAUGAUAUUAUGAGAGAGAAAAAAAAUAAACUUUAACAUCAUAAAUAUUCUUAUCAACAUAUUAAAGUUAGUUACUGAAAUUUUUAUGGUGUUAAACUUCACUCUUUGUAAUAUUUUAGUUACAGAUUUUUUGAUUACUUGUUGUUGAUUUUUUUUUUUUUAGUGUAAACAGGAGGACUCGAACCUAAGACCUCUCACUUACACUCCCUCCCCCCGUACCACCCCAACCCAACCCAACCCUCCCCUCGUUGUUGAUCAUGUUUGACAAUGGAUUUGUAAUUGAAAAGAACAAUUUGGAUCUUACAUUGAGUGAAAUAUAUAGAAUGAUAUACUAUUUUUUAUGGCAUAUGUGAUUCAAUCCUUGAUGAUAAAAGCAAAUUCAAGUGUUUUCUUUAAUGUUUGUGCUGAUAUUAGAUUAAUUAAAUAAUUUAGUAGAUGAAGGAAAAUGGUGAAAUCAUAUUAUCUUCUCUUUCCUAAUAUCACUAUUUAAUUAUUGAUUGAACUUAGAUAUUACAAAUAAUAAAUCUCAAGGGAGAUUAGUAUAAUUUUCAAAUUUUGGAGAGAAGCUAAUGAAAUAGUCAAAAACCUUAAGGGAGGUUUACAAAAUUAUCCCAAAUUUGUGGGAAUUAGAAUAAUUGUACUGGACGGCACUGCCGCAACAGAGGGAAAGAGGAGGAGGUGCAGUUAACUUUUUGUUGUUUGAAAUCCUUGGUGAAAUAUUACAGAAAGACAGAUAAAACAGUUAGUACAUAGAUGUAUAUGACAGGGAAAAUGGUACGUCUGUUAAUCACAUUUGAAACACUUUCAUUGGUGAAUGACGAAAACUAUCAGGCUUGCCCAAUAGUUGAUCAUUGACCAAGACAAAUCUUGCCAUGCUAGAGGUACCAUCUUUUCGUACCUCUUUAGUGCACAGGACAUUCCUUUGUUUCAUCUAGCUAAUAAUCUACCAACUCAUUUCUUUGCAAAUGCACCUUUUAUGGUCACGUCUACGAAAGCUUUACAGGAUCUUUACCCAAAAAAUCAAUUCACCGACUCGCAUUUGAUGUCAAAAUUUCUUUACUUUACUCCAAGAUUGACUGUUAAUAAUAAUGCCACUUUGAAUUAUCACACCAUCCUUCUUGAUAGGAUUUGUGCUAGAGGUAGGGAGGGAGUCGCUGCAGCCGGUCUUCUCUUCAUAGACAGUACAAUAUUGCGAAAUCGAUCGCAUUCACGCAAUAUUAUAUUUCCAAGUCGUUGCAUGGGUAAGCUGCCAAAAAGUACGAACACAUGUUAUUAUAUAGCUUAAGAUUCAAAACUUUCGAGCAUAACCCUCCACCUAACACAAUUGAAUAAUGGAUAUUCACGAUUGUCAAAUCUGUCAAAGUACAGUUUGAGGACAACCCAUUCCAACCUGCAAAAGGUUUUUUUACUUUUCUAAAGUUGUUGAGAGCUGUUAAAAGAUUUACCAUGCUUACAUCUUCCGAGCCUUGGGAGUUAAAAAUGAAGGCACUGAGUGCUAUAAAAAGGGAAUAGAGGCUGCCUAGAAGCAUACCAGCCUAAAACAAGGAUUUGUAGUUAUGAUGGGAAGCAAAGCAAAAGCAAUGGGGUCUGGGCUGACUCCUCUUCUUGCCACUGUUUUAGUGGUGUUUGUUGCUCUUGGCUUGCCCUCAGAAACUGCAGCUGAUGAUCACUACAAGUAUUCAUCUCCUCCUCCUCCUUACACUAUCCCUCACCACCACCUCCAGUGCAUAUACCUCCACCUCAUCCUGUUUACAAGUACAAAUCUCCACCACCCCCACCACCACACCCAGUUUACAAGUAUAAGUCACCACCACCACCUCCUCAUCCGGUACCACACCCAGUUCCUCAUCCGGUGCCACACCCAGUUCCUCAUCCGGUGCCACACCCAGUUUACAAGUAUAAGUCACCACCACCACCUCCUCAUCCGGUACCACACCCAGUUCCUCAUCCGGUACCCACACCCAGUUUACAAGUAUAAGUCACACCACCACCUCCUCAUCCGGUACCACACCCAGUUUACAAGUAUAAGUCACCACCACCACCUCCUCAUCCGGUAUACAAGUAUAAGUCUCUCCGCCACCAACACCCAGUUUACAAGUAUAAGUCACCACCACCACCUCCUCAUCCGGUGCCACACCCAGUUUACCACUACAAGUCACCACCACCACCUCCUCAUCCGGUACCACACCAGUUUACCAUACAAGUCACCACCAAUCCUCACCCAGUUUACAAAUACGAGUCUCCACCACCUCCAGUUUAUAAGUACAAGUCACCACCACCUCCUCCACCAGUUUACAAGUAUAAAUCUCCUCCACCACCACCACCAGUUUACCACUACAAGUCUCCACCACCUCCUCCCCCAGUUUACAAAUACAAGUCUCCACCACCUCCUCACCACUACUAAGCAAUUGCUUCUGAGGUAAUAACACUUGUUCAAUAUACCCACUUCUGCAUGAUAAAGCAUAUCUCUAUCAACACAAACUGUCAUGUCUAUCAUGCUAAGUGCCUUCACUUCAUCCACCAAAAUGACUGCUAGAAAAUUUUUUUUAUGUUACCAAAGAAAGGCAUCAUUUUUUCCCUCUGUUAUCAAGAACUUGUACAGUAUAUAGAUUAAAGAGUUUUUAUUUUAACUAGCUUAUCAACUUAGAAAUGCAUAUAGCUGAUAACCAGCUGAAUAUUUGCAGGCAAAGGAGAAGGAAACCAUGUUUGAGACCUUCUUGAAGAUGUAGAAGCAUAAGAAUAAAAGCCCAAUGUGAAGAUGAUGAUUUCAAGUUUUUCUACGUUACCAUUUCUUUAUCUAAAUUGGUUGUAGCGCCCAAGUUCCUUUGUUUAUGGGAUUUGUAUCGUUUUACGUACCAUGCAGUACAUGUCAUGUUUGUAAGGUUUUCUAUCCUGCCGGCAAACCGCAGGUUCCAUGUGAUAAAUGAAUACUAUUUAUGUUACGACA
rnacentral:lncRNA from 1 species